rnacentral:lncRNA from 1 species
UUCACAUAUACUUAUCAGAAAUGUUGUAUUGCUCCCACUCACUUUCUUGUAAAUACAGGCUUCACUGCAAGUCUGUAUAAAACUAUAUGCUUUGAUCAACUUAUCAAAGCGUAUAUUCCAACUCCGAGAUGCUUACACCAGUCCAUAGAUGGAUAGCUGGAGUUUGCAUAUUUUGUUAGUACCUUUAGGAUUGACAAAACCUUCUGGUUGCAUCAUAUACAACUCUUCUUUUAAGAAAACCAUUAAGGAAUCCAGUUUUGACAUCCAUUUGCCAGAUUUCAUAAAAUGUGGCAAUUGCUAACAUGAUUCAGAUAGACUUAGGCAUCGCUACAGUUGAGAAAAUCUCACUGUAGUCAACACCUUGAACUUGUCAAAAACCUUUUUGCGACAAGUCGAGCUUUGUAGAUAGUAACACUACUAUCAACGUCCGUCUUCCUUUUGAAGAUCCAUUUAAUCUCAAUGUCUCGCCGAUCAUUGGGCAAGUCAAUCAAAGUCCAUACUUUGUUUUCAUACAUGGAUCUUAUCUCAGAUCUCAUGGCCUCAAGCCAUUUUGCGGAAUCUAGGCUCACCAUCGCUUCCUCAUAGUUCGUAGGUUCAUCAUGGUCUAGUAACAUGACUUCCAGAACAUGAUUACCGUACCACUCUGGUGCGGAUCUUACUCUCGAAGACCUACAAGGUUUGGCAACAACUUGAUCUGAAGUUUUAUGAUCAUCAUCAUUAACUUCCUCACUAAUUGGUGUAGUAAUCACUGGAACUGAUUUCUGUGAUGAACUACUUUCCAAUAAGGGAGCAGGUACAGUUACCUCAUCAAGUUCUACUUUCCUCCCACUCACUUAUUUCGAGAGAAACUCCUUCUCUAGAAAGGAUCCAUUCUUAGCAACGAAUGUUUUGCCUUUGGAUUUGUGAUAGAAGGAGUACCCAACAGUUUCCUUUGGGUAUUCUAUGAAGACGCACUUCUCCGAUUUGGGUUCGAGCUUAACAGGUUGAAAACCUUUUUCAUAUAAGCAUCGCAACUCCAAACUUUAAGAAACGACAGCUUAGGUUUACUUCUAAACCAUAGUUCAUAUGAUGUCGUCUCAGCGGAUUUAGAUGGUGCCCUUUUAACGUCAAUGCAGCUGUCUCUAAUGCAUAACCCCAAAACGAUAAUGGUAAAUCAGUAAGAGACAUCAUAGAUCGCACCAUAUCCAAUAAAGUGCGGUUACGACGUUCGGACACACCAUAAAGUUGUGGUGUUCCAGGUGGCGUGAGCUGUGAAACUAUUCCACAUUGUUUUAAUUGAAGACCAAACUCGUAACUCAAAUAUUCGUCUCCGCGAUCAGAUCGCAGAAACUUUAUUUUCUUGUUACGAUUAUUUUUCCACUUCACUCUGGAAUUCUUUGAACCUUUCAACUAUUUCAGACUUAUGUUUCAUCAAGUAGAUAUACCUAUAUCUGCUCAAAUCAUCUUGUGAAGGUCAUAAAAUAACGAUGCUUGCCACGAGCAUCAACACUCAUUGGAUCACAUACAUCAGUAUGUAUUAUUUCCAAUAAGUCAGUAGCUUGUUCCAUUGUUCUGGAGAACGAGUUUUAGUCAUCUUGCCCAGAAGGCACGGUUCGCAAGCAUCAAAUGAUUCAUAACCAAGUGAUUCCAAAAAUCCAUCUUUAUGGAGUUUCUUCAUGCGCUUUACACCGAUAUGACCCAAACGGCAGUGCCACAAAUAAGUUGCACUAUCAUUAUUAACUUUGCAUCUUUUGGCAUCAAUAUUAUGAAUAUGUGUAUCACUACGAUCGAGAUCCAACAAACUAUUUUCAUUGGGUGUAUGACCAUCAAAGGUUUUAUUCAUUUAAACAGAACAACAAUUAUUCUCUGAUUUUAAAUGAAUAGUGUAUUGCAAUAAACAUGAUCAAAUCAUAUUCAUGCUCAAUGCAAACGCCAAAUAACAUUUAUUUAGGUUUAACACUAAUCCCGAAAGUAUAGGGAGUGUGCGAUGAUGAUCAUAUCAAUCUUGGAACCACUUCCAACACACAUCGUCACUUCACCCUCAACUAGUUUCUGUUUAUUCUGUAACUCCUGUUUCGAGUUACUAAUCUUUAGCAACCGAACAAGUAUUAAAUACUCAGGGGCUACUAUAAACACUAGUAAGGUACACAUCAAUAACCUGUAUAUCAAAUAUACCCUUGUUCAGUUUGCCAUCCUUCUUAUCCACCAAAUAUUCAGGGUAUUUCCGUUUCCAGUGACCAUUUCCUUUGCAGUGUAAGCACUCAGUUUCAGGCUUUGGUUCAUCUUUGGGCUUCUUCGUGGGAGUGACAACUUGCUUGUCAUUCUAGUUGAAGUUCCAUUUCUUUCCCUUUGCCCUUUUCUUGAAACUAGUGGUCUUGUCAAUCAUCAACACUUGAUGCUCUUUCUUGAUUUCUACCUUCGUUGAUUUCAACAUCACAAAGAGCUUGGGAUUCACUUUCGUCAUCCCUUGCAUAUUAUAGUUCAUCACGAAGUUCUACUAACUUGGUGAUGGUGACUAGAGAAUUCUGUCAAUCACUAUUUUAUCUGGAAGAUUAACUCCCACUUGAUUCAAGCGAUUGUAGUACCCAGACAAUCUGAGCACAUGCUCACUAGUUGAGCGAUUCUCCUCCAUCUUUUAGCUAUAGAACUUGUUGGAGACUUCAUAUCUCUCAACUUGGGUAUUUGCUUGAAAUAUUAACUUCAAUUCCUGGAACAUCUCAUAUGGUCCAUGACGUUCAAAACGUCUUUGAAGUCCCGAUUCUAAGACGUUAAGCAUGGUGCACUAAACUAUCAAGUAGUCAUCAUAUUGAGCUAGCCAAACGUUCAUAACGUCUGCGUUUGCUCCUGCAAUAGGUCUGUCACCUAGCGGUGCAUUAAGGACAUAAUUCUUCUGUGCAGCAAUGAGGAUAAACCUCAAAUCACGGAUCCAAUCCGCAUCAUUGCUACUAACAUCUUUCAACACAAUUUUCUCUAGGAACAUAUAAAAAUAAACAUUUGAAAGCAACAACGCGAGCUAUUGAUCUACAACAUAAUUUGCAAAAUACUACCAGGACUAAGUUCAUGAUAAAUUUAAGCUCAAUUAAUCAUAUUACUUAAGAACUCCCACUUAGUCAGACAUCUCUCUAGUCAUCUAAGUGAUCACGUGAUCCAAAUCAACUAAACCAUGUCCGAUCAUCACGUGAGAUGGAGUAGUUUCAAUGGUGAACAUCAUUAUGUUGAUCAUAUCUACUAUAUGAUUCACGCUCGAACUUUCGGUCUCCGUGUUCCGAGGCCAUAUAUGUAUAUGCUAGGCUCAUCAAGUUUAACCUGAGUAUUCCGCGUGCGCAACUGUUUUGCACCUGUUGUAUUUGAACAUAGAGCCUAUCACACCCGAUCAUCACGUGGUGUCUCAGCACGAAGAACUUUUGCAACAGUGCAUACUCAGGGAGAACACUUCUUGAUAAUUUAGUGAGAGAUCAUCUUAUAAUGCUACCGUCAAACAAAACAGAAUAAGAUGUAUAACAGAUAAACAUCAUAUGCAAUCAAAAUAUGUGACAUGAUAUGGCCAUGAUCAUCUUGCGCCUUUGAUCUCCAUCUCCAAAGUACUGUCAUGAUCUCUAUCGUUACCGGCACGACACCAUGAUCUUCAUCAUCUUGAUCUAUAUCAAUGUGUCGUCACAUGGUCGUCUCGCCAACUAUUGCUCUUGCAACUAUUGCUAUCGCAUAGCGAUAAAGUAAAGCAAUUAUUUGGCACUUGCAUCUUAUGCAACAAAGAGACAACCAUAGGGCUUCUGCCAGUUGCCGAUAACUUCAACAAAACAUGAUCAUCUCAUAAAACAACUUAUAUCUCAUCACGUCUUGACCAUAUCACAUCACAACAUGCCCUCCAAAAACAAGUUAGACGUCCUCUACUUUGUUGUUGCAAGUUUUACGUGGCUGCUACGGGCUUAGCAAGAACCGUUCUUACCUACGCAUCAAAACCACAAUGAUAGUUUGUCAAGUUGGUGCUGUUUUAACCUUCGCAAGGACCGGGCGUAGCCACACUCGGUUCAACUAAAGUUGGAGAAACAGACACCCGCUAGUCACCUGUGUGCAAAGCACGGCGGUAAAACCAGUCUCGCGUAAGCGUACACGUAAUGUCGGUCCGGGCCGCUUCAUCCAACAAUACCGCUGAACCAAAGUAUGACAUGCUGGUAAGCAGUAUGACUUGUAUCGCCCACAACUCACUUGUGUUCUACUCGUGCAUAUAACAUCAACGCAUAAAACAUAGGCUCGGAUGCCACUGUUGGGGAACGUAGUAAUUUCAAAAAUUUCCUACGCACACGCAAGAUCAUGGUGAUGGCAUAGCAACGAGAGGGGAGAGUGUUGUCUACGUACCCUCGUAGACCAUAAGCGGAAGCGUUAUGACAACGCGGUUGAUGUAGUCGUAUGUCUUCACGAUUCGACCGAUCCAAGCACCGAACGUACGGCACCUCCAUGUUCAGCACACGUUCAGCUCGAUGACGUUCCCCGGGCUCCAAUCCAACAAAGCGUCGGGGAUGAGUUCCGUCAGCACGACGGCGUGGUGACAAUGAUGAUGUUCUACCGGCGCAGGGCUUCGCCUAAACUCCGCGACGAUAUGACCGAGGUGGAAUAUGGUGGAGGGGGGCACCGCACACGGCUAAGGAACGAUCCGUAGAUCAACUUGUGUGUCUAUGGGGUGCCCCCCUCCCCCGUAUAUAAAGGGGGAGAGGAGGAGGGGGCCGACCUAAGGGGAGGCGCGCCCUAGGAGGGGGAAACCUACUCCAAGUAGGUUUGCCCCCUCCCUUUCCUAUUCCAAGAAGGAGGGGGAAGAAAGGAGUGGGGGAGGGGGAAGGCAAGGGGGGCGCCCCCCCCCUUUCCUUGUCCUAUUCGGACUCAAGGGGAGGGGGGCGCCUCUUGCCCUGGCCGGCCCCUCUCUCUCUCCACUAGGGCCCAUCAAGGCCCAUUACUUCUCGGGGGGGUUCCGGUAACCCUCCGGUACUCCGGUUUUUCUCCAAAAACACCCGGAACACUUCCGGUGUCCGAAUAUAGUCAUCCAAUAUAUCAAUCUUUAUGUCUCGACCAUUUCGAGACUCCUCGUCAUGUCCCCGAUCUCAUCCGGGACUCCGAACUCCUUCGGUACAUCAAAACUCAUAAACUCAUAAUAUAACUGUCAUCGAAACCUUAAGCGUGCGGACCCUACGGGUUCGAGAACUAUGUAGACAUGACCUAGAACUAUUCUUGGUCAAUAACCAAUAGCGAAACCUGGAUGUUCAUAUUGGCUCCUACAUAUUCUACGAAGAUCUUUAUCGGUCAAACCGCAUAACAACAUACUUUGUUCCCUUUGUCAUCGGUAUGUUACUUGCCCGAGAUUUGAUCGUCGAUAUCCAAUACCUAGUUCAAUCUCGUUACCGGCAAGUCUCUUUACUCGUUCCGUAAUGCAUCAUCCUGCAACUAACUCAUUAGUCACAUUGCUUGCAAGGCUUAUAGUGAUGUGCAUUACCGAGAGGGCCCAGAGAUACCUCUCCGACAAUCGGAGUGACAAAACCUAAUCUCGAAAUACGCCAACUCAACAUGUACCUUUGGAGACACCUGUAGUACUCCUUUAUAAUCACCCAGUUACGUUAUGACGUUUGGUAGUACCCAAAGUGUUCCUCCGGUAAACGGGAGUUGCAUAAUCUCAUAGUUACAUGAACAUGUAUAAGUCAUGAAGAAAGCAAUAGCAAUAUACUAAAUGAUCAAGUGCUAGGCUAACAGAAUGGGUCAUGUCAAUCACAUCAUUCUCCUAAUGAUGUGAUCCCAUUAAUCAAAUGACAACACAUGUCUAUGGUUAGGAAACAUAACCAUCUUUGAUUAAUGAGCUAGUCAAGUAGAGGCAUACUAGUGACUAUAUGUUUGUCUAUGUAUUCACACAUGUAUCAUGUUUCCGGUUAAUACAAUUCUAGCAUGAAUAAUAAACAUUUAUCAUGAAAUAAGGAAAUAAAUAAUAACUUUAUUAUUGCCUCUAGGGCAUAUUUCCUUCAGGUCCAUCUUGGCACUGGUGCAGAAAGGACCUUGACUUGGAUGACAAAUGGGAAACUUUUGUCCGUCAAAUGGAAGGCGUUCAUGGAAUUGUUUGGGAUUGAAGAUCAAGGGCUUGAGAAUCCGGUUGGCUUUCGUCCUCAUUGCAAUGCAACGUCUACUCACAAGCAAUCUCUCUGGCCUUACUGCACCUUGAAGAUGAACUCCGAGACGAAGAAUGAGACUUACAAGCUACCUACCUUUCUGGACAUCCUUCACCGCAUCUUUAGGGAGACUCUUUUCCUCGCAUUGGGAACUUGGAUAUGGUUCACUCGUUUCUGGUGGAUAUGUUACUUUUCUGUCAGCAUGAGAAGGAAGGGAACACUGGAGAUUCCUUGGAUAUCUCUCAUGUCAUGUGGCUUGAGCUUUUCUCCGCUAUCUCUGGGCGCAAGUGCCCUAUCUAUGCUCCUUUUCUCAUGUUGCUUAUUGAGAAGGCUUGGGAGCACACUUAUCCUGGUGUCGUGCUGGAGACUGGCGAGUUGGUCCUUCAUGAGAUUAAGCGUCUGAGGAAGAAGGAGAACUAGGGCACUUUGGUUUCAAAGUAUGGGAUUCCGUCAGGAGCUGACGAGAUUGAGGCACAGGCUGAUGCUGACAAUGAUAAGGAGUAUGUGCCCUCUAGAGCAGAGCCCUCAUGGGCAAAGAAGCUCAAGCGCAAGAUGAAGAAACUUUUCUGCAUGGAGUCUCAUGGAUAGUAUAUGGCUCAUGGGUCUGAGAAGAAGGCCAGGAGCCACCACAAGGAGCUCAUGCGUCAGUUUGGUGCGACAGUUGCCAACUGAUCUGAGGGCAAGAUCACUGAUGAGGAGGAGUGGGUUCAGCAGCACCGCCCUUGGACGGACUCAGACACCGAGCAGCCCCCUGUCGAUGACGGAGGAGCGAACGGUCACGCGGGGGAUGUGAUGAUGGAGAUCGUCAGUUAUGCUAUCACUUGUGGCCGUAGCAACACUCUUUGCCCUUUUGGUGUCUCGAUGCCAAAGGGGGAGAGAGUUUAGGGAUUUGUUGUAUCGAGUUGUGAGUGUGUCUUAUUUGCCUUGUCUUUCUCUCUCGCAAACUCUUUUCUCGUUGUUUGCUUUGGUUUGGCUUGUGGUCGUGAGACCUCGUACCCUAUCAUAUGGUGUGAGACAUAUGCUACCCUAUCCUCUUAUCAUCUUUGUAUAUCGAGUACUCUAGUAGUUUGUGAGAUCAUGCUUGUCUCAUAUGUCUACUUUGCUCACUUGCUACUCUAUUGCAUCCUAGCUCUUAUAUGUCUCUUCUUUGAUGCAAAUGUUGUCUGACUAUAAAAUAUAGGGGGAGUGUUGAUCCUAGUGUGUGUACUUUGCAAUCCAAAGGCCCCUCUAAUUAAGUGCACACAUCUAGGGGGAGCCCCGUCUAUAUUUUGUAGUCUUUGGAAUUUGCUUAUUCUCAUGUCAUUCCUUUGUGCAAAUCCCGUGUUGUCAUCAAUCCACCAAAAGGGGGGAGAUUGUUAGGGCAUGUCUCUCUCUAAGUAGUUUUGAUGAUUGAUGACAAUGCUUUUGCUAACUAAUCGUGUGCGUUAAGUUUUCUAGAGAUUCAUUAAUUGGCACGAGAUGAUUCUUUCCCCUCGGAGCUUUAAGUGAAGACAGUAUAGUCUCUUUCAUUUCGGUUUUGGUGGACUUGAGUCGUAGGAGACACCGUACUAUCAAGAGGGGGGUCCGCAUUGUAGAGGAUAGGGUGGAAUCAACACAUACACUUGUUGGGGAACGUAGCAGAAAUUCAAAAUUUUCCUACGUGUCACCAAGAUCUAUCUAUGGAGAAACCAGCUACGAGUAGAAGGAGAGUGCAUCUACAUACCCUUGUAGACCGCUAAGCGGAAGCGUUCAAGUGAACGGGGUUGAUGAGGUCGUACUCGUCGUGAUUCAAAUCACCGAUGAUCAAGUGCCGAACGUACGACACCUCCGCGUUCAACACACGUACAGCCCGGUGACGUCUCCCACGCCUUGAUCCAGCAAGGAGAGAGGGAGAGGUUGAGGAAGACUCCAUCCAACAGCAGCACAACGGCGUGGUGGUGGUGGAGGAGCGUGGCAAUCCAGCAGGGCUUCGCCAAGCACCACGGGAGAGGAGGAGGAGGAGAGGCAGGGCUGCACCAAGAGGGAGAAUUUCUCAUGUGUAUGGCAGCCCCAAACCUCAUCUAUAUAUAGGGGGAAGGGGGGGCUGCGCCCCCUUUAGGGUUUCCCACCCCCAAGGGGUGCGGCCAGCCCUAGAUGGCAAAGGGGAGGCGGCCAAGAGGGGAGAGGAGAGGGAGGCGCACCAAUAUGGGCCUUAAGGCCCAUCUGGACUAGGGUUUGCCCCCUCCCACUCUCCCUUGCGCCUUGGCCCCCUUGUGGGGGGCGCACCAGCCCUCCUAGGGGCUGGUCCCCUCCCACACUUGGCCCACGCAACCUUCUGGGGCAGGUGGCCCCACUUGGUGGACCCCCGGGACCCUCCCGGUGGUCCCGGUACAAUACCGAUAUCGCCCGAAACUUUUCCGGUGAUCAAAACAGGACUUCCCAUAUAUAAAUCUUUACCUCCGGACCAUUCCGGAACUCCUCGUGACGUCCGGGAUCUCAUCCGGGACUCCGAACAACAUUCGGUAACCACAUACAAACUUCCUUUAUAACCCUAGCGUCAUCGAACCUUAAGUGUGUAGACCCUACGGGUUCGGGAGACAUGCAGACAUGACCGAGACGUUCUCCGGUCAAUAACCAACAACGGGAUCUGGAUACCCAUGAUGGCUCCCACAUGUUCCACGAUGAUCUCAUCGGAUGAACCACGAUGUCAAGGACUUAAUCAAUCCCGUAUUCAAUUCCCUUUGUCUAUCGGUAUGUUACUUGCCCGAGAUUCGAUCGUCGGUAUCCAAUACCUUGUUCAAUCUCGUUACCGGCAAGUCACUUUACUCGUUCCGUAACACAUCAUUCCGUGAUCAACUCCUUGGUCACAUUGCGCAUAUGAUGAUGUCCUACCGAGUGGGCCCAGAGAUACCUCUCCGUUUACACGGAGUGACAAAUCCCAGUCUCGAUCCGCAUAAAACAAUAGAUACUUUCGGAGAUACCUGUAGUGCACCUUUAUAGUCACCCAGUUACGUUGUGACGUUUGAUACACCCAAAGCACUCCUACGGUAUCCAGGAGUUACACGCUCUCAUGGUCGAAGGAAGAGAUACUUGACAUUGGCAAAGCUCUAGCAAAUGAACUACACGAUCUUUUGUGCUAGUCUUUGGAUUGGGUCUUGUCCAUCACAUCAUUCUCCUAAUGAUGUGAUCCCGUUAUCAACGACAUCCAAUGUCCAUAGCCAGGAAACCAUGACUAUCUGUUGAUCACAACGAGCUAGUCAACUAGAGGCUCACUAGGGACAUAUUGUGGUCUAUGUAUUCACACGUGUAUUACGAUUUCCGGAUAAUACAGUUAUAGCAUGAAUAAAAGACAAUUAUCAUGAACAAGGAAAUAUAAUAAUAACACUUUUAUUAUUGCCUCUAGGGCAUAUUUCCAACAACACUUCCUUUUUGCACCCCCAAGCUCCUUUCCUCUCCUUGGAGUUUGUCGUUUCAACGGAAGUGGAGAUUGUGAGGAGAUAGCAAUGGUACCGCCGCCAGCGCGGUAGUACCACCCAUGGUCCUCAAGCGGCAGUACCGCUGUCCUACAACGGUAGUACCGCUUGUAUGCAUCGGCGGCAGUACCGUCCUGGUUCGGCACCGGUACCGACUCGAUUCGAGGAUGUCUCUUCUCGUGUUGGGUUGUGCGGCAGUAGUACCGGCAGUAGCAGCGGUAGUACCGCGGGUACCACCGCUACUGGUGCCGCCCAACCCCUCUUUCUUUCUCGCGUUCUCCCUCUUAUGCCUCUGCUCUCAGUCUCCAUGGUAGUACCACUGGUGGUCGCGGUAGUACCGCUGCUACUACCGCGAUCAGCAGUAGUACCGCACCACUGUGCAGUAGUAUCGCUCUGUGCGAGCUGAAGAGGGGGUAAUGGUUGGAUUGGUUCCCCCUCUAUAAAAGGAGGUGUUCUUCUCCAAGUUGACUCACCUCUUUUCCCCCAAGCUCCAUUGUUGCUUUGAAGCUCAUUUUAGCCCGAUCUCUGUCCCUAGCCAAUCAAACUUGUUGCUUUUCUAGGGAUUGGUUGAGAAGGCCCGGAUCUACACUUCCACCAAGAGAAAUUCGAUCCCCCCUCUAAUCCCUUGCGGAUAUUGUUACUCUUGGGUGUUUGAGCACCCUGGACGGUUGAGGUCACCUCGGAGCCACAUUCCAUUGUGGUGAAGCUCCGUGGUAUCGUUGGGAUCCUUCAAUCAUGUUGUGGAGAUUGCCCCAACCUUGUUUGUAAAGGUUCGGUCGCCGCCUUCAAGGGCACCACUAGUGGAAUCAUGGCAUCUCGCAUUGUGUGAGGGUGUGAGGAGAAUACGAUGGCCCUAGUGGCUUCUUGGGGAGCAUUGAUUGUGCCUCCACACUGCUCCAACGGAGACGUACUUCCCCCAAAGGGAAGGAACUUCGGUAACACAUCCUCGUCUCCACCGGCUCCACUUGUGGUUAUCUCUUCCCUUUAUUUUGUGCCAGUUUAUAUUGUGUUGUAUCAUUUGCUUGCACUUGUUGUUGGGGUUGUUUGCAUCAUAUAGGUUGUUCACCUAGUUGCACAUCUAGGUAACUUAUUUGUUGCUAAACCCAAUUUGUGAAGAAAAGCUAAAAAUUGGUAGUUGCCUAUUCACCCCCUCUCUAGUCAACCAUAUCAAUCCUUUCAGCCAGGUGUGGCCACCUUUAUAUAGCGGAUUCCGGUGAGGCGAGGCGUCCGAGUGCGUCAAUGCGCGGUGCUGGAGUGGGUUUCUUGGCCGACGAACUUGCUUAAUGGCGGCAUACAGAUGGAGAACGACAUUGAAUAAGUGUGGCAGAUAUUUGCCCCGUUCAGUCAUGCGUCUCCGACAUUGAACAUGCGCGGACAACGGAGAUGCAUCGCGGGCUACGCCCUCGACUGGCAUGCCGCUUCAAUGGCUGAGGCAGUGAGAGGUCACGUCCAUCCUGAGCCGUCUUCAAUGUUGAGCGGCGCGCUCUACAGCGGCAUGAAUGCGAGCAACUGGCGCUGGGCGGGAACGCGCGCAGGCGAGGAAGAAGGCGUUUUGGUAGGCUAGGGCGGUUAAAAGAGGGCGUAGGACCGGUCCGGACUCCCGCAAAGGCCCCCAUGUUUUGUCUCCAGAUUGCGGGAGAAAUCACGUCCGGACCGCCCUGCAGAUCGAUACAAUACCGCAUUGGAUGACUUCCGUGGUCGGGACAAUUGCGGGAGGUUUGCGGGGCCGCCUUGGAGAUGCCCUAAUAAGACACAUGGAUGUAAAACUAAAUUUGACCCGCCUUAUACCUUUCUCGACCACAAAUACCUGGCACCUUUUUUUUUCUUUUAACAAAUCCCACGCAUCGAACGCUCCAGCCCUCGUGUGAACUCAUAUCUAGUGUUUCCAUGUCUCUCGUCGGGGCCGCCAGUCCCCCUCGUCCCCUAUGGUACUUGGACCAUGAAGGUAUGGUGGGUCCCGGCCUUUGCCUGCGGGAGGGCUUCAUUUUUAGGUGUUUUUUCUGAAUUUUGUUAGGGUUUGUGCCAUGCUCAAGAAGACGAGGCGAUGACGGCUUCUUGAAGAUGGAAUAAGGUCAUCCCUGCCUAGCCCCUGUCCCGGUGAUGUUUCAAGCGCCAUCGGAAGGCGUUUGGAGGUUUGUCUCCGAUGGAUCUCAUGGGAUCCAGUCGACGUUUGUCUUCGGGAUUUUGUACUGGAUCCGGUCUUCGUUCGUCUAUGUGUGUGUGUCUGCAGGUUGGAUCCUUCCAAUCUAAACUUCUCUUCAUCGACGACGGUUGCUAUUGUGGUGCGCUGGUCCUAUGCGGCCUUAGCACGACGACUUCCCGACUGUCUACUACAACAAUGUUUGCCUAACUCCAACGAGGGAGGCGCGAUGAUGUCGGUGCGCCUUCGGCUCGCUUCAGUGCUUAUAGUCGUCGCUAGUUGGUCUACGGACCUGGAUGUAAAUUUAAUUCUAAUGUUCUUUACAUUUUAUUACCUUGAUAGUUGAUGAAUAGAUUGGAAGUUUUCUCGUAAAAAAAUUCCUUUCUCAAUCUUUUGACAAAGACAUCUUAAUAUUGCAUCUUCUUUACCCCCGUUCAAAGUAUCAUCACCGCACUGAUCAUCGGAACCAAUAAUCUAUCCUCGCAUGUAAAAUCAAGAGUAACAACUAUAUUUUGCAAUUUUUUUUUUAAAUUAAUAACUAGAAAACAAGAAAAUUGACAACCCCUAGCAAGCCAGCUUUGGAUUUGGAUCCAAUCACAGGCGGCGGUUGGUGUAUUUGUUGAGGGCACAGGGGGCAUAGCAUGCGAUGUGACCACGGGGGCGCGAUCGGUGCACACCCUCCCCCGUGAGGUCAAAAGCUCCAAAGGAGGGCGGUCCAAUGGGACACCGACACGUACGUCCCCUCCCCCCACCGGUCCACUGGACACGCCCCACGCCGCGCGGCCACCCCCGCGCCCGGCUCGCGCGGACUCCCGCUUUGACCGGGCCCGCCCACGCCCGGGCGCGACGCGUCGGCCCGCGAUUGGACGGCUGCCCCCGUAGCCAGGCGAGCUUCUCGAGGGGCCGCACCCAUCGCCCUCCUAUUUUUCUAUCCCCCAUCCCGCACCCCUCCCCUCCCNNNNNNNNNNNNNNNNNNNNNNNNNNNNNNNNNNNNNNNNNNNNNNNNNNNNNNNNNNNNNNNNNNNNNNNNNNNNNNNNNNNNNNNNNNNNNNNNNNNNNNNNNNNNNNNNNNNNNNNNNNNNNNNNNNNNNNNNNNNNNNNNNNNNNNNNNNNNNNNNNNNNNNNNNNNNNNNNNNNNNNNNNNNNNNNNNNNNNNNNNNNNNNNNNNNNNNNNNNNNNNNNNNNNNNNNNNNNNNNNNNNNNNNNNNNNNNNNNNNNNNNNNNNNNNNNNNNNNNNNNNNNNNNNNNNNNNNNNNNNNNNNNNNNNNNNNNNNNNNNNNNNNNNNNNNNNNNNNNNNNNNNNNNNNNNNNNNNNNNNNNNNNNNNNNAAAAUGCGCGCCGUGCUGAUGUUCGUUGUGGUGCUAGUUCGGUAGAUCCAGCGCGCAUCUCGGCAGAUGGGGUGCGAAUCUCCUGUAGCGAGGUCUAGAUCUAGUCGCCUUGCUAAGAGAAGGAUGCAUGUUUUUAUUUGCUUGUGCCGAUCUAAUUUCAACUUCCAGUUCUGUUUGGUUGUUAUUCCGUGGAAUAUUGUUUUCUCAACCUGAAGCUCGCUGGUGUUAGAUUAGAUUUGUCCAAUAGAAUAUCAGAAAAGUCAAAGAAUCAAAGGCUGGUAUGGAUGGCUCCUUUUGAGGAUGUAGUAGGGACAUUUAGAUGCAUACACUCCCCAAAAGUGAUUCCUUACCUAGGUUGUAAAAAGUUGGGCUAGCUCUCUAACUAUACUGUAUCAUAUGAAAAUUGCUCACACCACUUGCGAAUCUGGGAAAGAGGAUGAUUUGUAGCAAUUGUAUAUUCACUUUCGUUUGGUUCAUUUUCUUCAGAUUUUGAAAUUAGUUUGCUUGUUGAUCCCACAUCCACUGUUUUUUGUAGCACGGUGCAUAUAUGGGCAAGUAAUAACAGUGACAAUUUGUAUUUGCAGGCACUGAACUAGUUUGCAACAAAGAAGAGAGAAAAUGUCUACCGCUGAGGCAACCCGUGAGGAGAAUGUGUACAUGGCCAAGCUCGCCGAGCAGGCUGAGCGUUAUGAGGAAAUGGUCGAAUUCAUGGAGAAGGUGGCCAAGACCGCUGAUGUAGGUGAGCUCACUGUUGAGGAGCGCAACCUGCUCUCUGUGGCUUACAAGAAUGUGAUUGGUGCCCGGAGGGCUUCCUGGAGGAUCAUCUCCUCCAUUGAGCAGAAGGAGGAGAGCCGUGGGAACGAGGCCUAUGUCGCAUCAAUCAAGGAGUACCGUACCAGGAUUGAAACCGAGCUCAGCAAGAUCUGUGAUGGCAUCCUCAAGCUUCUGGACUCCCACCUUGUCCCCUCUGCCACUGCAGCAGAGUCCAAGGUGUUCUAUCUGAAAAUGAAGGGUGACUACCACAGGUAUUUACUUGCUGCGUACAGAGAAUUAUGCCAGUCCAUAGUUGUUGGAUACUUGGAUGUACACCAAUUUACUCUCUACUCCCUGAUUGUGAAUCCAUAGGUACCUUGCGGAGUUCAAGGCGGGUGCUGAGAGGAAAGAAGCAGCUGAGAACACUCUUGUAGCAUACAAGUCAGCCCAGGUUAGCUUUCAUGGACUGUUUGCUAAUUUGAAACAUACGGUAUCAUGAACCAGUUUGCUUUAUCAUCAUCUUUCUCUUGCAAAGUUGAAUACAUGUUCUGUCAUUCCUGGUUGGGAUAUACUGCGCAGGCUAUUCUUCUGUUUGUGUGUGUAUUGUUCCAUUGAGUGUGCACACUGACAUUAAUUUAUUUAUUAUUAUGUAGGACAUCGCGCUUGCUGACUUGCCUACCACCCACCCGAUAAGGCUUGGACUUGCACUCAACUUCUCAGUGUUCUACUAUGAGAUCCUGAACUCUCCAGACCGUGCUUGCAACCUUGCCAAGCAGGUUAGUCUUCUGUUUUAUACAUCACAUAUUUUGUUGAUGAGUUCUUCUGUGUGGAAACUAUUUUGCCCUGCUUGUUAAUUCUUAUUUGAUGGGAACUACACCUGAGUGCCAUUUCUCAUGGAAGCUAUAGAGUAGGAUUCUGAUCUUUGGUGAAAUUGUUGUUUCAGCAUUUCUUAUGCUUUACUUUAUGGUACUAUAGCAUUAAUGAACAACUAUCCUUGUUAACUAUGCCAACCAGUCGAAAUGAUUCAUGCUAUUGAAAGUAUAGUUUGAACCAUCACUUGACAUUGAGGAAAAGGGUCUCAGUCUUACCUCUGUUAUAUAUCUAGAAUGCGAUUAAUUCUGGAAUGUUUACUUGUUGGUAGGCAUUUGAUGAAGCUAUUGCUGAGCUGGACUCCCUCGGCGAGGAAUCCUACAAGGACAGCACCUUGAUCAUGCAACUUCUUCGUGACAACUUGACUCUCUGGACCUCUGAUAACGCAGUAUGUGUCUCCCCAUCUGAACCUCUACCUGUAUUGGUUCGUCAUGGGUGGUGUUGAAAACCUUGUUACUCAUAAUCCUGUUAAACUUUUCCAGGAGGAGGGUGGUGAUGAGAUCAAGGAAGCCGCCUCAAAGCCAGAGGGAGAGGGGCACUGAUUGGCCGGCCCUUGAGCGUGCCCAAGUUUAUUUCUGAGUCCAUUUACGCAGCUACCUGUAUCAUUCGGAUCAUAAGAUGUACUAGGGUCAGUUGCACUAUGUGAAUCAUAAGAUGUGGUAGGAUGGUGCUAUGCGAAGCGUGUCGAGCUGAAGUACCUAGUGGACUACAGUCAUGAGGGCGGUCAUGUGGACAUCGUCGCUUCUUAGUUCAUUAGCAGAUUUCAAACUAUUUCCUGUAUUGCAGCACAUUAUUAGUAUUGCUGUAUUAGCAAUUUUCAUGGCUUGUUGAUGAUUGAUCAUACUUGGCGUCAAGCACCCCCCUGAGUUUUUCUUGUCCUACUUCCCUCUCCAAAUAAUUGACUUGUAGGAUUCUUCUAAGUCAAAAGUUUGAUCAUUUUGAUAUAAAAUUAAUUAUAUCAGCAUCUACAAAAUUAAUUUUAUUCGAAAUGUAUUUUCGUAUUAUAUAUGUAUUUGAUACUCUGUUGUGUUUUUACUGUUGACAUAUAAAUCCCCUUUAUGUUUCUACUGUUAGACAAUUCAACUUUGUUUCAAUUUAGUGACUCAAAUUUAAAAUGCAAAAUUCAAUAAAAGAUAUAUGAUGGAACUUCAAAGAAACAUAUUUCCCCUUGUGACACAAAUCCCAGGCCAAGAGCAACCCGAGAAUCCGUGCCCCUUCUAAUUUCCAAAAGUGAUUCUUCUUUGUCACCCAUCCCAUUUGGAUCCAUCAGUUUGUACCUUUUAUCUCUCUCGUCAACUUCAUCUCCUUGAAAUUGAAUGAACCAUACGCCCCAAGUCAGCCUUGCGCUUCGCCGUGGCCCCCAUGCCCACCUCGUACUCCUCUUGUUUCCUCGGCUGUCUCUUCUCAUUCUUUUUUUUGACCAUGCCUCUUCUCAUUCUCUUUGACUUCUUAUCACCUUGCUAAUUUCUCCUAUUUCUUGAACGGGAUUACUUCAUGUACUAUGCUUUGUGUCCGAUUUUCAUACAAUGGUCAGAUGGAUGGUUGUAGGCCCAAAUAGAUGCUAACAUGGAUGAAAAGUGCAAAUGGAUGAUGGGUGCAUUGGUGGACUUUAUUAAAAAAAUAAUUCAAAUUGCAAAAAAAAAUGUACAUACACAAAUACAUAUAUAACACAUUCACGAAAAGUUUCGUAACAAUAUACUCCCUUCGGUCCUUUUUACUCUGUAUAUAAGAAUUGUUUGAAGUCAAACUUCACAAAAUUUGACCAUAUUUAUAUGAAAAAAUAUCAACAUCUACCAUACUAAAGUUAACAAUAUAAAAAUUUAACUCAUGACACAUAUACUGAUAUUGAUUUUAUACUGUGAAUGUUUGUAUUUUUUUCUAUAAAGUUGGUCAAACUUUAUGAGGCUUGACUUUAGACAAAUCUUAUAUGCGAACUAAAAAGAACCGGAGGGAGUACUACUUGCAUACAUGGCACAGACAAAAAAAACACAUACAUGGAAAUGGGCCACCAUUUUCUUUUUGGUGUUGGACCGAAAUCUUGUUUUUUUGUGCAACUUGCAAAUCGUAAUAUUUUUGAACAAAAUUUUACAGAUCCACCAUGAAUAUGUAUAAGUUCUCGUAGACUUUUUUGAACUUAUAAAUAUCGUUUUUGAAUCAUUUGAAAUGAAGUCUUCCAAUGCCCCCGUCCACACAAACUUCGCACUCCUAACAUGGAUGGUUAAUAUUGUGUGUUAGUACAAAUAUCGUAUGGAUUUUAUUACAUGUGUAGCGGUGCUCUUUCUUUAAUGUCAAUUCCACAUUGUCUCUGCCAACUCAUCCCUCGACAAAAUCAUCUCAAACUUUUCUCUCUAGGCAUAAAACUUUGCUCCCUACCAAAGCCUCUCCUACUCUUUCUUCGUCCUACAAGCAUCUAUGCAGUUAGUAUGACUUUCUAGACCUCCCAUCCUCCUCCUCCCCAUCUACUUCAUCAUUGCUCUUUGAGAAGAGGAGUGAUUUGACAUCAGUCUUUUAGGCGGAGGGUCACCAUUCCUGGUUUGUCACUUUUUAUGCUCUUCGGAAAUGCACGAUAGUGACGGAGUGUUGAGAACUUUCGUUCGGACUUAGGCAUAUGCUUGUAUGUAAUUGUCAUGUGGCAUCGAACAAUUCAGGAUGCAUAUGAGAAGUCAAUUCUUAGCCCAUAGUAUAAGAGAUCAACUCUUAGCUAUGAGAAGUCAAGUUUUAAUUUUCUCUCCAUUUCUCCCUUUCCCACUUCACCAUUUAUCCUACCUGAUACCGCUAAGAUAGUUUUAAUGUAAACGCCCUAAGCAAGCCCAUUAAUUUUUCUUAUUUUCUGCCACUUUUCAUUAGUACAGUAAACCAAUACAAAUUCAUGCUUUGCUAUUGCGUGUUCCCAAGUUUGUAGUUGCUUUUGCACUACCUUUUAUUUGUUCUUUAUUCCACGGCUCGGGUAGAACUCAAAAUUGCUUAGGAGCAUAAAUAGAGAUCUGUUGCUAAUGAUUUCUCCAUUGCCAUACCGUUUAUAUUCGAUAUCUAAUUUAUGAUUCCAUAGUAUGGCAUUUUAGACCUAGAGGAAAUGUUGACCAAUCGCUAGCCUCUUCUUUCCCCUCUCACAAAGCAACUGGGGCAUAGUCUUCCUCCUCUCGAUCUCUGUUAGUGAGAUCGUGGAUUUGCCUCACCUCUAUGUGCCGAUUCGACACCCCGGGGUGGGGAGGGAAUCUUGGUGCCUUGGCUAUGGUUAGUAUAUAUGGUUUUAGUCCUAACAAGAGUGAUACUUGACGGAUGUCGAUGCCUCAUCUCUGAGUCAAUCUUUCAGGCUCCAACCCUCCACGAGUUCAUCCGUUGGGACAGAUUAUGCAGAGCUUUGACAUAGAUUCCUGCCGGCUCCUCGGGGCGUCUAGGUUGGGUUUUAUCGACGUGUGUGCGUGACGGUGAUAUUUGGUGUCAAGUUCUUCAGAUCGAUUCAAAGGUUUAAUGACUUUGCCUAUGACUUUAGGGCGCCGAUCCUUAUGGUCACAUGCAUACGGAAUUAUUGGUUGUCAUCAACAUGAUGAGGCCGACUCCAGUAUGAGAGAGAGAGAGAGGCGACAUCGACACAUCAGCGCUUAUUUUGUGGUUCAAAGACCUCAAUACAUUUUUAUUAUUUUUGGUGUGCUUUGUACCUCUGAUGAUUUUUUCCGCAAAGAAACCUCUAGAUGAAAUGCUUACCAGAGAGCCCGUGGAUUUGCCUCCCCUCUACCCGUCGCUCCGGUGGCCGGCGGAGAAAAGAGGAAUUCAUGUGCCUUCGCCUAGAUUAGUAGUUUAGGUUAGUUUUUUUAAUCCUCGCAGGUGCGACGCUUGAACGGGCGGUGACACUUCUUCUUCGAGUUUGUCUUUCGUGCUCCGACCCUCCUCGAGUUCGUCCGUCUGGACAUAGUCGAUGAAGCUCCGACAUAGAUUCCUGACAUCUCCUUGGAACGGUGAUGUUAGGGUUUCUCGUCAUGUAACGAGAUUUGCUGUCAGAUGCUUCAGAUAUAUGCAAGGAUUCAACAAAGACAACUGCGGCUCCAGGGUCCUGGUCCUUAGGGCACAUGCAUGAAGACUUCCCGACCGUAAUCGAUAAGGUCAAGCUGGCUUAGAUAGGGGGAACGGCGACAACGACGCGUCGGUGACUCAUUCUAUUGGCAAUAGUGGUCGUCCGAUGAUCUUGAAAUCUCAAUAUAAUUUUAUUAUGUUUGAGAUGCUUUGUACUUCCAACAAAUUUUUAUAAUAGAUUUGAUCCUCUUUCCGGGGAAAAAACUAGUAGAAAAACAAUCCUACCAUUCUCACAGACGUCACUCGAACGUUUGCUCCCACGCGGCUACCAGGCAGAAGGAAGAGGAGAGCGGACGCACCAUCGCCGCAACAAAGCCAACAACUGCGUACUGAAGAAAAGAAAACCACUUGUAAAGCAGAUCACAUAUACUCACCGCACCGCACCGCGCGUCGUCGCCGCGCCGCCCCGCCCCACCCCACCGGAUCCCGCCAGAUCCAGGUGCCCAGAUCCCGGAGCGCCCGACUGGCCCGAUGGACCCCUCGCCGGCCGCGGCGGAGCGCGACCGCUCGCCGCCGCCGCCCCCUCCCCCGCCCCCGUCCUCCUCCACGUCGCCUCUCGCCGUCGUCUGCAGCUUCUGGAAAGGUCCGCGUCGAUCCCCACCUUCGCUGCGCUUGGUUCGAACUGGUGUGCCCGGAAGGCCGGCUGGUCUGAAUUGCCGCGGAGCAUCGCGAUUCCCAGUUGCGCGCGCCUGUACUGGCUCGCAGGGUGCAGAAUCUGUGGGGUUUUGCACUAAUCGCGACUGGAGAGAUCUUAAUUUCCUUGAGAUGCUUACAUUUUCCACCUGCAUUCAAAUCUGCUACUAGCAUGUUUUUGCUUGCCACCUCCUCAAUUGGCUCCAAACUGUAUGACAUGCUCGUGACAGGGAGACCAAGUAGUUUCAGUAGAGAAAGGCCUGAGUCUUCGUCUCGAACUUAAAUUCGUUACCUAUGAAGCUUGGCAAGCUUUUGCUGUCCUAGUUUAGUUUCUGCACUGAUCGAAAAAAGCAAAUAAUAGAUAUUACUAGUUUUUGUGCAUAGGCCAUGUAUAGCCACUCUACAUCAUUCGAACAAUGAGCUAGUGAUUGAUCACAGACGUCAUGAACUUUUAUUGCCUCCUUGAAUUAUUUGCAUCCAUACCGUGUAGGGAGAGUAGCUGUGAGUUGUCAUGCCACGUGAUCGAUACCGUGGUUCCCAUGCGGGGGUUUGGAAAGCUACAACGCCUAAAUAGCUUCCAAGUGUGAAUGCUCAUGUGCUGUAGAUAACAUGUUGAUUUAUUUAGUUAUUGUAUGUGGAAUGUAGGUUGAUGCCUUCGCCAUGUAAAAUUUUAUGCUAUCCAUGGUGGAGAAUCUGACUGUUGUCUCUUGUACAAUUUAGACUUUGAUUUGGAGAAAGAAAGAAGUGGGUUGGAUGAGCAGGGUUUAAAGAUUGCGGAGAAUCAAGAGACGAGCCAGAAGAACCGACGUAGACUUGCUGAGAAUACUCGGGACUUCAAGAAGGCAUCUCCAGAUGACAAGCUUAGUUUGUUCAACUCAUUGCUUAAGAGUUACCAGGAGGAAGUUGACAAUCUCACAAAAAGAGCAAAGUUUGGAGAAAAUGCAUUUCUCAACAUCUAUCAGAAGCUCUAUGAAGCCCCUGAUCCAUAUCCAGCUCUCGCUUCUAUGGCUGUAUGUCUUUCAAACUUACUCUCUACCGUAGCUUCUCUAAUUCGGCAUUGUUUGUUGUAUUCAUAGAGGAAACUGCCUUCAUGGCUGUCCCGACUUCUCUAAAUUGCAAGUUGCCACCAAUACUUAAUUUCUUGCCUUGUCGCAAUAAUCACUUGCCAUCUUAUUGGUAUUCAGUAUUGACGCCUACUGAUAUCUGAUAAUAACAGAUAAUUAUUUGUAUGAUUCUAUCGUCACUCUCCGAACAUAGAACUUUUGCUAUAAUAUGUGUCAACUUGCACUAAAUUAAACUAUAGGUGGGAAGCUGUUAAUCUGCAAAUAUAGAUGCGAGUUAGUUUGUUCCAACUUAAAAGUAGCGGUCACGUGUUAACACUAGUGCAGAUCAGAGUUAGCAACUUUGGGAAAAACCAUGAUAUGGCACUGCAGUUUCCUCCAACAAAAGUCUGAUGUGUUCAGUUUUGUUUAUUCCUUUGCUUGAAUGUCAAUAACUAGCAUCUUCUUCGAAUAUAAUAAAUGACAUUCAGUCAGAUUUCACCAAAGUUUGUUGCUAAUGAUCUCAAUUCAUUCAGGAUCAAGACCAGAAACUAUCUGAACUGGAGACUGAAAACCGGAAGAUGAAACUUGAGCUUGAAGAAUACCGGGCGGAAUCUGCGCACCUAAAGAACCAACAGGCGACGAUUAGGCGACUUGAGGAGCGAAACCGCCAACUAGAACAACAGGUCUGUUCCAAGGUCACUUGGUUUCCCGCUCUGUUUUUUUAAACUAGUCAGUUUUCCUUCUGGUUUUGAUGUUCUGCAUGAACGAUGUCAGUUUCACAGUCGAAUAAUGUUAGUUCCUUCACACUGGUGCUUUAUGAAAUUAUCCAAUUGGCCUCCUGUAUCCAUACAAUGGUAUUCUUAAUUUUCAUUUUCAUACUUGAAUGGCCGCAUUGUUCUUGUUUACAAAGUUUCAGAAGCCUCAUACUUUUCAUGAUAGAAAACUUAAGCCCUUCUUUUUACAUUGAUGCAUGAAUUCCAAAUUUCACCUGAACUAAAAACAAUUGUACCAUGGUCUGUCUGCGAAUAUACUGGCCCACUAGCCACUAAUACUGCUUUUUAGACAUAACACCAUUAGUCAAAAUAUUUUGUAAAUAUCUAAGUGGCAUUGCACUUGCAGCUGAAAUAUAUACAUUCCUUCCAGUUUAUGAAGUUUGUGUAUAGCGAGCAACUACUUUGAUGAAAAAACAUCGCUGAUUUCUUGUUCCACAUAGUUUUAACACACUUCCUGUUUCUUGAAUCAUAUCUCUUUUACCUUCUAAUGAGUUAUUUUAUUUUUGUGAUUUUAGAUGGAAGAAAAAGUUAGAGAGAUGGUUGAAAUGAAACAGCGAAGCUUGGCAGAAGAUAGUCAGAAAACUCUCGAAGCCCUGAAAGAUAGGUAUGAUAAAUAAUUGCAACGAAGAAAAUAAUUGCUUAACGAUUAUCACAAUUUAAAUUUAAGCUUUUUGAUUUUGAGAAUUUGCCACAUCAAAUAUGAUGAUGCAUAUGCUUAUUUGAAUCUUCGAUUGCCAUGAUUGUAGGGAACGGGCGUUGCAGGACCAACUAAGGCAAGCUACAGAAAGUGUCAAGAAUAUGCAGAAGUUACAUGAAUCGGCACAAAGCCAAUUGUUUGAGCUUCGUACUCAAUCAGGUUUUCUUCCUUUCUUUAGUUGUGUUACCUUGACGAUCGCUAUGCUUAAUGGUUCAAUAAUUAUGGAAGUUCUAAUGAAGUUUUAUAUUUUGUUCAGAGGAGGACCGGACAGCAAAGGAAGCUGAAGUGAGCCUUCUGAUGGAUGAAGUUGAACGCGCUCAAUCACGAUUAGUUAGCCUUGAGAGAGAAAAGGUAAUGUUGCCUGUUGCUGUUUUGGCUUUAGGAAAAUCCCUUGCAUUCAUAUGGUUGCAAUUCUCCCACUAUGGCAAUCGAGAUCUAUGCACAUUCUCUCAUACUACUGCACGAAACUUAUGGUGAAUUGGUGAUAGACUAUUAUCAAAUAAUCCUCAGUCGGUGAAUACAUUGAAUUGAUGACUGACACAUGUCAUGUGUUUGACCAAAAUGUGCACAUCCAUUAUUGGCUUCCCUAACAUACGAUUUUAUUCUUAUGUUCACUGCAGGGGGAUUUACGGUCUCAGUUGCAGACAACAAAUGAAGACACAAGUAAUAAUAGGUAAUUUUGUUUGCAUUUUUCCUGUGUAUGAAUGAGUAUGCAAGUGUGUAUUUGCAUAAUUUUUAUCAUUCAUAAUGCUGUUGAUACAGUGACUUUCAGCAGUAUUGCUAUUAUUUUAGCUGGGCCUUUAUGAUUAUCUAGAACUUAAUACUAACUUAUUAUCUGAAUUAUGUAAUUAUGCAGUGAUUACAUGGACCCAAGUGAUAUACUUGAGAGUUCUUUGAAUGCCAAGGAGAAGAUCAUAUCAGAGUUGAAUGCAGAACUGCGUAACAUUGAAAGUACUUUAUCAAGUGAGAAAGAAAUGCAUGUGAAUGAAGUAAAGAAGUUGACUGCUUUACUCAGUGAGAAGGUACCCAGUCAUUAAAAUUGCUAUGUCAAAAUUCAGUUGUCAGUAACCAACUCACUACUCGUAAUGUUGGCUAUUGGGUGCCAAGCUAUAAGUGAGGGACUCUACCAUUCUCUUAUUUAGAGAGUCCCCCUGUUUAUUCUUUUCCAUCAUCUGAAGGGCACAGUAGUCUUCUUAUGUGUAUCAUCAACCUGUCUAUUUACUUACAAUCCAUAUUCCAAAUAUUGUUCAAUAUAUUAAUUUCUUUGCUUCUAUCACUAUCAACAUUCUGUGAUAGGUGAGUUUCGUAGACAUGGCUACAGCCACUAGGUUUGCAUCUGAACCUGAAAAAAGCACACAGAGUGAAUAGUUCUAAUGAAGAUAAUAAUAAGUUACUUUUUCUACUAUAUGUGUGAGCCAUUUUCCAGUCACGAGUCGAUCCACCAUAUAUAUGCUCUUGGAAUGAUUUGUAUCUAUGCACCCAUGGUCCACUUAUUUGUUGUUUUGCUAAUUACUUUCUCUUUGUAGGAAACUGCGAUAACGGAGUUGAAGAAAGAACUUCAAGAAAGACCUACGACUAGACUAGUUGAUGAUCUCAAGAAAAAGGUUCAGAUUUUGCAGGUUGGAACAAAACAAGCUCUAUGGAUAAACAUGUUUUUGUUAAACCAUCUACUUUAGUUCGGACAUUUGACGACGUACCGUCCAUAAUCAACUGGAUCUUAACCUGAAUUCAUUGCCUCUUUAUCCUUUAGUGAAAUUUCAAAUACACAUGAUACAUGAGAUCAGCUUUUCAGUGUUGCAUCUUAAUUAUACUAAAUUUGCCCACAUCAUUUUGUUGGUGAUCACAGAGAUAUGCUUGAGAUACAUUUUGUUAUUCCUCCAUAUUACCCUCACUAUAUUUGAUUUUCUGUCCCCAUGCUUGCUGAAAUUCCUUUUUUUUUCCAAUAGGCUGUUGGGUACAACUCAAUUGAAGCUGAAGACUGGGAGCUAGCAACUAAUGGUGAAGAAAUGAGCAAACUGGAAGCUUUGCUUCUUGAUAAGAACCGCAAAAUGGAGCAUGAACUUACACAGUUGAAGGUUGGUACCUAGUUUAUAUGCUGGAAAAUGGUUUGGCUCUUUGGAGGACAGUCAGUAUUUGUCAUGUAUACAUACUUGUUAUCUUCUCUCCUGGAACUGUCUUGUAAGUUCUUUUUUUUUUUGCAUCUCUUAAAGGUUAAAAUAUCAGAGAAGUCAAGUCUUCUUGAGGAAGCUGAGAAAAAGAUUGCUGAACUAACUUCAAAGGUUGAAGAGCAGCAAAAAUUGAUUCUGAAACUCGAGGAUGACAUAUUAAAGGUUGCUCUCCUUACCCUUGUGAUAAUAUUUCAUAUAUUGCCAGUUGAUCCCCGUUGUCCUUUGAAUUUGAAUAUAUAUAAUCCUUACGAGCAUGUCUUCUGCAUAUACGGUUACCUUAUUUAGUGCUACAGUCUGAAUAGUGAUAUUAUGUUAUUACAAUAAACUACACAAUCCUGGGUUUCGAUACUUAAGAAACCAAAUAAUUUGUUAUGCCUUUUGUUUUUUGAAGCACACGUGUAGCUGAUAUGUUUAUUAACUUUGUUACAGGGCUGCAGUUCAACUGAUAGGAGGAGUUCUCUUUUGAAUGAUUGGGAUCUUCAAGAAAUAGGCUCAAAUGAAGUAUCGGAGGUAAAAUUCUAGUUUGGCUUCACUUAUGGCGAACCAUGUCGCUUUAAUUCUGCAUUACUCUUAGAAGCUGCAUAGUUCAGCCGUGGACAAUAAAUGCACGGGAAACACAGUUCAGAUGAUCAACUUUAAGUCCUCAUAGACAUCAUCUUAAAGCUAGUAUAAAGAUCUGCAAUUGUCAUAAAUGUUACCGUUACAACUGUUAAUACACGACACUGAAACAUUGAAGAGUUAGUGAAUUACCAAACACUUGUCUUUUUUGCACCAUGAUUUUCACAAAUCAUAACUGGUUUCAAAUCAACAACUGCUACAUUCGGUUGGUGAAUUUACUGUCUAAUUCUGAAAUCUAUGUUACUACGUGGCCCACUAGUCCGCAAGUGGUCUGUGUUAACCAUUUCUUGGUAGAACAGUUGUUCUCCUCGAAACAAAAUAACUCUUAAUAUAGCAAUCUUUCUUAUAUGUUUUAAUAUUUAGCGCCUCAGUUUCCCAGAAAAAAACUCUUGAUACACUGGUUUUGCAAACAUGCGUGUGAUUUUAAUAUUUAGCAGUAUAUGCAGUUGUUAUCAACAGUAUCCACAGUUCUACUCCCUCCGUCCGAAAAAACUCGUCAUCAAAAUGGACAAAAAGGGGUGUAUCUAGAACUAAAAUACAUCUAGAUACAUCCCCUUUUAUUCAUUUUGAUGACAAGUAUUUCCGGACGGAGGGAGUAGAUGUUAAGGCAAAUACCAAAUGUGCCUAAGAAUCAUUUCAAUACUCACUUUUUUUGUAACAGUGCAUUUGAUUUUGAGUUAUCUAAUCAGAUGGUCACUACAUCCAUGUGUAGCUUCACUUGUUUCUUUUCAUUUAUUUACAGGGUACUGAUCCAAGGAAUUCAUCACCAGACCAAGAUCAAAGUUCCAUGCUCAAGGUCAUCUGCAAUCAGAGGGACCGUUUCCGUACACGACUACGUGAAACCGAAGAGGUAUAUAUUAUAGGCUUCUAUUUUCGACAAGGUUUGGUAAUGAUAUAAGAGGGUCAUUUUCCUUGGUUUUCUUGAAAGUUGUGGUUCUGUUAGGCUUUUCUUGGAUUUUUUUUUAUCCCAUGACUUCUCUUUGCUUCAUGAAAUAUGAAAAUGCAUCACCACUGACCAUGUAUUGUCAUUUUUACGUAUCCCAGGAACUGAGGAGAUUAAAAGAGAAGUAUGAAAUGCUAGCUGUAGAAUUGGAAAAAACAAAAGCUGAUAAUGUUCAAUUGUACGGAAAGAUUCGAUACGUCCAGGACUACAGUCAUGAGAAGAUUGUUUCUAGAGGACCAAAGAAGGUUUAGCAUAAAUCCUUAUGAUGGACUUUACAUACUUCACAUUGUCUAGCAUUUGACCUUUGUUAUGUUGCGCCUUGCAGUACGCAGAAGAUAUUGAAAGUGGUUCUUCAGAUGUUGAAACAAAGUACAAGAAAAUGUACGAGGAUGACAUAAAUCCUUUUGCAGCUUUCUCGAGGAAGGUAGAUAUAUUUGAACAUAUCAUCAGCAACACAUGUUAUCUCUGGUAUUGUACACAGCUCAAUUAUGUUCUUUUUUUGCCAUAUCCAGGAAAAGGAUCAAAGAUACAAGGAACUUGGUAUAAGAGAUAAGAUCACUCUCAGUAGUGGCCGUUUUCUCCUCGGUAACAAGUAUGAUACUAUCAUUUUUUGUGGGGUGUGCAGUUCAGGUUUUCCUUUUCUUUGUAUUUGUUGUAUUACCGAUCUUUGAUGAUAACUUUUAAAUUGUUGUAGAAACAGCAGAGCUAUACAUGCCAAGUUUUUUAUUUGACCAUUCCCAAUGUCGUAUGUCUUUUUUGAAUUAAAUAAGUACAGCACCGAUGACUCAGGUGUGCAUGGAUCUGCCACUGAGAUGUACUCCCUCUGUAAUGAAAUAUAAGAGCGUUUAGAUAGUGCUAUUAUAUUUCUUUACAGAGGGAGUAGUUAAUUUGGUUCCAACUUCUUAAAUUAUACCCUUCGUCUGAAUCUUUGUUUAGAUUUUAUAUUUGGUCAUUGUGCUCAUGUCUAAACUUUAAAACUGACCACCAUUGAUUAAUCCUAGCCCUUCAUGGAUAAGAAUGCACAAGUGAUUGCCAUUUUGUAUUACAUGAUGCCUUAGUUUCUUUAUUGUAUGAUUUUAUCCAUGAAGCGGACUGAAAAUAAAUAUAUCAAGUGUUUUGUUUGUAUUCACAUAUUUGCCUGGACUUUUAUAUUCUCCUACACUAAUGAAUUGCUUGAAUUUCUGUAUUUGACCAAUGAAGCGGACUGAAACAAGAAAUUAAUGUAGCAUGUGUUCUGUUUGUAUUCACAGAUUUGCCCGGACAUUUAUAUUCUUCUACACUAUUGGAUUGCAUCUCCUCGUGUUCACGCUGCUGUACAGAAUGUCAGCUUUGAGCUAUCUGAGGUAAGCAUGCAUCGCAUCGUCAGUUUCAAUUUGAGGCCCUAAGCAUGAGCACGGCUAACUUGAAAUAUUUGUGCAGCAUAACACCUGCACAUGAUGAGAUCAUCCUUGACGCUGGCAAUCAGACAUUAUCGCACAUGCCCUGAGCCAAGUUUGAUGUAACAGUAUUAUCACUUGAUCAGUACCGAAAGGGAAGCGUUCCUGGGUUUUGGUCUCGAGAAUCUCUGCAUAGGAUCAUGACUGAAGUUUUUAGUUUACUAUGCCCUUUAGGUGCCUUGAUAUGUUCUCUUCUGUAGAUAAAUUUCCAGUAAAGCGGGUGAGGAUUAAGGGGCGAGGUGGCGGAUGAGGUGUGGUGCUUGAGUCAUUCUGUAAACUGUUGUAUUACCAAAUUGCCCUUUCGAUGACAAAUGAAAGCACAUAUGUACAAACACAAUGCCAUCCAAAGUAUGUUUUCAGCAUAUAUGGUCGGAAGUUUGUGGCGAGGACAGUUGUACAGAAUCUAGAAAUAAAAAGGAUUGAGGGAGUAAUAUUAGAGUUGUCUUCACAUUAAUUUAGCAGGAACAGCCUUAAGCAGAUAUUUGGCAAAAGCAAGUUAUCUGGAUUCCCUUGUAUGCGAAAGAUGAAGUUUACAAGUUGAAGUAUUCAAAAGUUGAAUUCUUGCAACUAAAAGAUUUUUUUCCUGAAAAAGGAGAUGACUGCUUUGCCUCCGAAAAAUUGAAAGGAAGAAGAGAAACCAUGGGAGGCAACGUUCCUGUUGACAGAGGCGCAUGUAAUGGCUUUGUUAAUCUUAAAACCUGUUAGCUUAGUAUCUUGGAGGUGUUCAUAGGAUAGGGCAUGCAUGCCUGUAUUUGUAGAGAUGAGCCUAUUCAUGGGGAUAGGCGUAUGUACUUGUUUGUGUACUGCGCUUCUGAAAAAACUGGGGAGGCAGGGAGAGAAGGCGUGCAAGAGUUAAACUUGGCGAGCUUUAUCCAUUUAAAAAAAACAAACUUGGUGAGCUUUAUCUGAAGAGCGAUCCAGCCGGAUUACCUGUCGAGACCCACCCGCACGCACAGUAAACCCGCUUGUCUUCAACCACGAUCAGUCGCUGUACGCUCCCACGCCCACGGAUUGUCCCCAACCACCGUGCACAUCCACUGCAACCCGCAACCUCUCCCGAGCUACAAAAAAUUCACACCGUUUUGCCGACCCUCCGGCACGCGCAAGUGACACCAACAGCGACGGCGCCGGGAACCUGUGGACCGCCGAGGAGCCGAGGGGCAGCCCACACGCAGGCUCGCGCGCGCGCAGCUAGGAGCCAGAGCGGGGAGAGGGACCGGGCUGUACUAGGGUCGCUGUUUGCGGUCAAUUCACGGCGGCGCGUAGCGCAGCGCCGAAUCGACAGGCGGCCGCAGGUUGGCUCCGGGAGGGGCCUGGUAGCUGGCUACUACGGGCCAUGCACGGUCGUGGUCUCCGAUGCCUACGCGCCACAAGGGAGCCCGCGGGGCGGACCGGGCCACGUCGAGCCCCAGGCGCCGUCGUGAUCUGGCGCCGCUAUCCGCCGAGUCGCCGGAGGGCGAGAUGCUGAAAAUAUGUGUGGGGCGGCAAGCCGGAGUGGCCGCGUCGGGUCGACACGUCGGCCCUCGCGUACAUGUGCAUCCCUGUGGUAGGUGUGUUUCACUGUACUUGUGGUGUGCUACCAUCACUGUCCUGUGAGCAUCACCGAUAACUAAUCCGGCUGAGGUACAGUACUCGUUUUCUUUUUGCGAGUGAAGGUACAGUACUUGUUAGGAUUACACGUUAUAUCCCCUCAAAAAAAAAGGAUUACACGUUAUAAAGCUGCGGAAAUGAUUAUACACGAACAGAAUCGGUGUACAAAUAUUUUGUUGAUUUUGAUAUAAUAAAUAAAAGACGUAACCAUUGCAAGUCAUGCAAUUAUUUUGUUUGUAAAAAUGCAUUAUUUCAUAAAAAAUGUAAAAACAUGACCAUUAGCAAGUCAUGCAAAAAAUGUAAAACGAAUUAUGCAUAAUAAAAUUCUUACACGUUUAUGCAACUUAUUGCGCAACAAAUUCCCCCUUUUGGAGACAUUUCUAUCAAUCUUUUUCCCGUAAUUUUCUUAGCGUUUUUUGAUUUUCCCCAUAGCAUUUAAAGAUGAUUUCUGCAGUAUGUUAUUCAUGUUUUUUGUGCGGGCAUGUUAUUCUAGUGUUUGCUAACCACAUGCUCCAUGGGGUUACGUUAUUCAAGUGUAUGCUUCAUACUAGUACAGUUAUUAGGUGCCAUGCCGUAACAUCAAUGUAUUGCUUACGCAUAUCAUUUCAUUAGGGCAUCUCCAAUCAAUUACAUAUUAAGUCGCAUCAUUUACUUAAAACAUACAAAACAACCAACAACAUAAAAGGAGAAAGAGCAACCAGCUAAGGCAACGUAAUACCAGUUUCCUCCUAACAAACUUUUGUCAUACGCAGAAUUCCACAUGGCAUACUACAAUAUGCCUAAAACCUCGCAGAUGAGAGGCAACCUACUCGCCAACUUAUUCUUCCAUUGUAUAUUAGCUUGUCUGCAAAAUGGUGAUGUGUGAACCUCCCAACUUUCCAUGUUAGCAUGAAAAUUCUGUUUUGCUAGUGGACAAUGGAGGAAAAUAUUGCACGCUUUCUUAGAUGAAACAAAACUUGUGGGGCGAUUGACAAUAACUUCUCUCUCUCUCUCUCUCUCUCUCUCUCUCUCGCUCUCUCUCUCUCUCUCUCUCUCUCUCGCGCGCGCGCGCGUGUGUGUGUCUCAUAAAUAUUUCUACACACACAUUUACUUGUUUUGGAAGCAAGGGUGUGAAGAAGCCACCCAUAGUCUCACAUUGGUGUUGUCGAAGCUAGAAUUACAAAGGAAACGAUAUACCUAGUUUCAGGUGUUGUAUGAUAUGCCAUAACAUCGGUGUAUUGCUUACGUGUAUCAUAUGCCAGGGCAUCUCCAAUCAAUCAUAUGUAAAAUUGUAUCUUAGAGCUUUCACAUCAUUUUCAUCAAACAAAAUGAAUUAGCAGCUCAAAGGGAGAAAGAACGGCCAACACUGUACCAAUUUCCUUCUAAUGUCAUACGUAAAAUCCCAUAUAUCAUACUACCUACCAAUAUGCCUGAAAUGUCCUGUUGAAAGGUAACCUCCGCACCAAUGCAUUCUUCUAUCUAUCUUAGUACGCCUGCUUAAUGGUGAUGUGCAAAACUCCUAUAUUUCUACGUCCGCAAGAAAAUUCCUUAUUGUUGUUGGACAAUGAAGAAAAUAUUGCACGCUUUCUUAGGUGAAGGAGAACUUGUGGUGCGAUUGACAAUCUGUUCCCCAUCUCAGUUGGAGAUAAUUUUUUUUGGCACACACACUAACUUGUUACAAAAUGGAGGGCGUGAAGGGCCCACCCACAACCUCACUUGGUACCACGUGUCACCCGAUGUAUGGAGCUGGUGGAGCCAAAAUUAUUGAGAGAAUGAUAGGCACAUGUGUUGGUAAUAUCUCUUAGAGGCAGUCAUAGAGAUGAUUAUAUUUCAUUGUGUCCAUAAAUUGUUGAAUUUAACUUGAAUAAUAUCAUUUGUAUUCAUUGAUAAGUAUGUGAAUUGUUUGUAGAACUCUAUGCUUUAAUGAUUAUUCUAAACUAGUCCCUAGUUAGAGUUCAUACUUGGACAUUUAAGAAUACUAGACUAGCAUAUGAAUUGGUUGUUAACCACGUGUCAUAGGUCAUUGAAAUGAAGAUGUAGAACCAAUAAUGUGAACACAUAGUAUGAACCUGGGGCUGGACAAACCCAAAUUGACACAUAACGGGAAUGCUUUUAGUUGUCUAUUUACAAUGUAUAUGCUACAUCCUUAGACGUGAGACUAUCACAUGUACUUUUGAUGUGUAGUGAAUUAGGGGUUACCAAACGCUACUCCGUAACUAAGUAAUUAUAAAGAUUGCUUUUCUUGUUUAUCAUAAAACAUGCUUUAAGGCAUGCAUGUCAAGAUUGGAUUUGCUCCUCUCUUCAAUGAGAGAUAUGUCUAUGGGCCCCUAGAGUGAUCAGAUCCAGAAAUGCAUGGUUGUUCUACUUAUGGUUAAAGAGUUAACCUAGCAAAGAGUCCCAAGUCACAUGAUCAAGAAAGAGUGGUCAAGCUUGAGCAUAAUCAAUAUCUUCAGGCAAAGGGAAUAUCGUUUAUGCAACAUUGUGUAGGUUCGUCUGAUAUGAUCUUUACGUGCACUUGGAGGUUGACACAUUCUGCUAGGGGUCAUUACUAACUACUACCUCUGUCCGGGUUUAAAAGUUCCCUUAGCCAAAUCACCAACACCAAGACAUGCUCUACCACGAGAUCCCUGUAAGCUCGUGUCUAGUCUAACCAACUAGAAGGCCUCAUUUCUUAUUUAUACACCGGCUGCUAACCUCCCAAGCUUAACUGCAGCGCGUGCCCCACCAAAAGAAAGCGAAUGCAUUGGCUGCCUUUCUACUGUGGCCGCAUGCAGUAGCUGGGAAGUAGGAACGACUGCUGCAUGCUUUGGUUUGCACUUACUACCAUGGACACAUACCAAUGAGGAGAAGCGGGGCUUGCGCAAGCGACCUUUUAAUCCCGGACGAGACGUAGUGGAUCUCAAGCCCUUUAAUCCCGGACGGAGGUAGUAGUGACCAAGUAGAGGUACUCCGGUCAUGUACAAACGUGCGUGAGCCUGUAGUGUUACAUACUUAAAGGACAGAAGUCAAAACGGAUAUGAUCCAGAGGAUGUAAAGAAGAAAGGUGAUUGGGCCUUGAGCCCAUUAGGGGAAAGAGUUGAGGGAGCUCCCCAAGCCCUCAAGGGAUCGUCCCUUGUAAGGGGUGGGGGGUGGGGGUGAUGAGGGAUGCAUAAGAUGAAAGGUUGCUACUCUCGCACACACCCACUCUCCACUCCCGCACAAGAUUUCAGAGUUGCUACCAGAACUUUGCUAAUGGCUCUAUAUUUUACGCAUUUUUAGAGCUCAUUUGUCGCAUGUUCUCUUUAUAUAUCAUGUCCCGUUGAACCAAAUAGUUGUCCAUUAUACAUGUUUACCGGUAUUUGCACUUAUCAUUGUGAGCAUUGCACAUUUAGUAUUUUAUUUGGUUUUUAUUAGUUUUCCUUCUUUUCUUGUGUCUACAAGUGUUUUGGAGCAACCUAGGACCAAGCACGAUAAAAUGACCCAGGAUGGGUGAGGGAGUCCUGGAUAAUGGGGUAUCCGGACAGCCGGACUAUAUACUUUGGCCGGACUGUUGGACUAUGAAGAUACAAGAUUGAAGACUUCGUCUCGUGUCCGGAUGGGACUCUCCUUUGCGUGGAAGGCAAGCUUGGCGAUCCGGAUGAUAGAUCUCCUUCUCUGUAACCGACUCUGUGUAACCCUAGCCCCCUCCGGUGUCUAUAUAAACCGGAGGGUUUGGUCCGUAGGACAGGACAAUCAUAAUCAUAGGCUAGCUUCUAGGGUUUAGCCUCUACGAUCUCGUGGUAGAUCAACUCUUGUAAUACUCAUAUCAUCAAGAUCAAUCAAGCAGAAAGUAGGGUAUUACCUCCAUCGAGAGGGCCCGAACCUGGGUAAACAUCAUGUCCCCAGUCUCCCGUUACCAUUAGCCUUAGACGCACAGUUCGGGACUCCCUACCUGAGAUCCGCCGGUUUUGACACCGACAUUGGUGCUUUCAUUGAGAGUUCCUCUGUGUCGUCAUUAUAAGGCUUGAUGGAUCCUUCAAUCUUCAACAACACAGUCCAGGGUGAGACUUUUCUCCUCGGACAGAUCUUCGUGUUCGGCGGCUUCGCACUGCGGGCCAAUUCGCUUGGCCAUCUAGAGCAGAUCGACAGCUACCCCCUGGCCAUCAAGUCAGGUUUGGAAACUUAAAUUACGCGGCCGAUAUUCGCGGAGACUUGAUCUUCGACGGAUUCGGGCUUGCAUCAGGAGUGCCGAACAGUCACGACGAGCAUGGCUUAAAUCUGCUAUCGGACAGUAUUUCAGAUAUCGCCCCUGCAACCGCUCCGGACCUAAAUCCGGGGCAGAUUGCAUAGACCGAGGACGGGUGGAUAGACCCCGCCACGGAGGCCGCAUACUCUUUGGCGGUAGAGCCGAACACAGACUCCACCGUCAAGGGGAUCUGCGCCACCGGACCCCCGGACCUGUGUCCGGGCGUGGGCUCCAAACCGCGCGCGUCCGGACCCAUCGAGUCCGAUUGGGCUCUAAUAAUGGAGUUCACCACCGCGGAUAUCUUUCAGCACUCCCCCUUCGGCGAUGUGCUAAAUUCGUUAAAGUCUCUCUCUUUAUCAGGAGACUCUUGGCCGAACUAUGCCCAGCCCGUGUGGGACACGGAUGACGAAGAAAGUCGCAACCCACCCACCACCCACUUUAUAGUCUCUGUCGAUGACCUAACAGACAUGCUUGACUUCGACUCCGACAACAUCGAUGGUAUGGACGUCGAUGUAGGGGACGAUCUGGAACCACCACCCACGGGGCGCUGGACUGCCACUUCAUCAUAUGACGUCUACAUUUUGGAUACGCCUAAAGAAGACAAUGGUGACAAAAAGGACACAACGGAGGACAAACCCCCCGGACAAAAGUCAAAACGAUGAUGCAGGCGCCGCUCUAAGUCUAGUCACAGUAAAAAUGGCGAUAACAACGCAAGAAAGGUUGACACUCCGGUCGACUGGAAGGGCAACAACGACCAUAUGGACCCAGCGAUGGAGCAGGAUAAGCUAGGUCACGCCGAACACAACUCGGAGCAGACGCUUGAUAAUAGCGAUCCCGAGGGCCGAACUCAUCAAACCACCCCCGAAGAGGAUGAGAGUCCGGUCGACGAUGCAUUCAUCAUCCUGGAAAAACGUUUGGAAAAAGAUAACCUCCGCAGAAGGUUUAUUGCCACGGCGAGGAGCUUAAAGAAGCAGAAGCAAAGGCUUAACACCGCGCAGGACAUCUUCAAACGAAGAUGGAAGAAAGUGCUAGACACUGAAGAAAAAUACGGCGAUGAUCGCCACACAAAGAGCUACCAAAGUGCAAGCUACUACUCGAAUUCGACAAUGAAGCCUUAGAGCCCAUUCCACCAAAGAAUACUACGACCGAUCAACCGGACCAACCACCUCAUGGCCACGAUAGAGCAGCCACCGGUGCCGCACACAAGCCAACCCACGAUCUACGUGAGCUCUUGGACAAAAAGGCUGGUGCGAAAGGUCCAUUUACGGAUCUAGAGGACGAGUUCUGACACAAGAUUAUGGUCACCAAAAUCAUAAUGAUCAAAUACCAGUUCAGAAUCAAACCCGGACACAACAACCGUCGACAGUAUGCCACAACAUGUCCAAGUACAGAGGGGCUGCGCACCCCCUGUGUUUCACCGACGUGGUGCUGGAUCACGAAUUCCCACAGGGAUUCAAACCCGUGAACAUAGAGGCAUACGACGAAACGACAGACCCUGGGGUCUAGAUUGAAGAUUUUAUCCUUCACAUACACAUGGCUCGUGGGUACGACCUCCACGCCAUCAAAUACCUUCCCCUCAAGUUUUAAGGACCAGCUCGGCAUUGGUUGAAAAGCCUCCCCGAAAACUCAAUUGGAAGUUGGGAGGAACUUGAGGACGCUUUCAGGGCAAAUUUCCAAGGGACCUAUGUCCGACCCCCAGAUGCAAACGAUUUAAGUCAUAUAAUACAACAGCCCGGAGAGUCAUCCCGUAAGCUUUGGAACAGACUUCUCACUAAGAAGAAUCAAAUUGUUGAUUGUCCGGAUGCCGAAGCCUUAGCAGCCUUCAAGCAUAGUAUCCGGGACGAGUGGCUUGCCAGACACCUCGGCCAAGAAAAGCCAAGGACGAUGGCGGCCCUAACAAGCCUUAUGACCCGCUUUUGUGUGGGCGAAGAUAGUUGGUUAGCACGUAGAGGCACCAGCGACCCAGGCACAUCUGAAAUUCGAGAUGGCAACAGGAAACCACGACGCAAUAAGCAUAAGCGUCGAAACAAUGAAGCAGGUCCGGACAACACGGUGGUCAACACCGGAUUCAGGGGCCCUCGACCCGGUCAAAGAAAGAAGCCAUUUAAGGGCAGCAAUGAGGAACCGUCCGGCCUGAAUAAAGUCCUGGACAGAUCAUGCCAAAUCCAUGGCACCCCCGAAAAACCUGCAAAUCGUACUCACAGAGAAUGUUGGGUCUUCAAGCAGGCCGGCAAGUUAAACGCCGAACACAAAGGAAGGGUAACACCAAGUGAAAACGAGGAUGAGCCACGACAGCCGAACACUGGGGGAUAGAAAAAAUUCCCACCAGAAGUCAAAACAGUAAAAAUGGUCCACGCAACUCACAUAGAGUUCGUUGCCCCCAAGUUCAACCCCUGGGAGGCCUGCCCGAUCACUUUUGAUCACAUGGACCACCCGGCCAGUAUCCGGCACGGAGAAUCGGCUGCCUUGGUGCUCGACCCAAUAAUUGAUGGAUACCAUCUCACUCGAGUCCUAAUGGACGGCGGCAGUAGUAUUGAUCAGAUAUAUCAGGACACUAUCCGCAAGAUGGGGAUAUACCCAUCCAGAAUAAGCUAGAGUAACACCACCUUUAACGGAGUGAUACCAGGCAUUGAGGCCCGCUGCCGGGGCUCCCUCGUAUUAGAAGUGACAUUUGGUUCUCCUGACAACUUCAGAAGCGAGGAAUUACUCUUUGAUAUUGCUCCCUUCAGCAGCGGUUAUCAUGCAUUACUCGGAAGAACGGCCUUCGCUUGCUUUAACGCAAUACCGAACUACGCCUGCCUUAAACUUAAGAUGCCCGGUCCACGUGGCGUCAUAACGGUUAAUGGAAACACAGAGUAGUAUGCGACAGCUCCCGUAGCCAGACACUAAGCGGCCUCUCCCACCAGAACGCAUGAUCGGUCGUUAAGACCACGGACACGGCUAGACAAGUCCGGUGCACCAUCAUCAACAACAGCCCGGUAAACCCGGGCUGGGUGCUAUACAUAUAUCCCCAUAAAUGGUACUAGGGGCUGUCAACACAUAAUAAAGCCCACAAUUCGGCUUGCCUUAUCAAUAGGCCAAUAUCUCAUAUUUCUAAUAUCCAUUGAGAACAACCAACUUCCCGCAUGCUUACUCCUCUAUAUGAGUUUUCGUUUUUACAGACACUACUCGUGCGACACCCUUCCAGGAUACGACACAACGAAGACAAAGGCGCAGACGUGCAGCAGGGCCCCGCUCAAAGGUUUCUCUUUAGAUUAAGCCCCUGCAUAAACCUUCUUUACUGUCUUUUGUUGCUUGACAUCCCAUGGGUAUUCCAUACACCCACAAGGGACACUGGCAUUAUAGGCUUUUUGCCACGACAGAUUAAUGCACGUACCUGGAAAUACAGGGUCAAGGGUGUAACUCAGCCUAGUAUAUGUUAUAAAGUCCGAAUACCUUCGGGAGUGUUCGGCGUCGCGAGUUUGGCCUUAUAUGCAUCAGCACCGAAUCAUGUCUUUGGUCAAAUGUUGGGUUAGCCCGGCUCCUGGGUUUGCCGCCUUACGUUUAGUUCUAUCGGCUAAGGCGGCCAAAGGAGAACUACUGCGAUUGUGCCUUGGUUAUUCCGGAUGAGCACCUCAGUAGAGAGAGCCGAAAACUGACUGUCAUGAUACAACGAGAGACUGUUCAACCACUUGAAGACUCAUCGAAAUCUAUAGGAUUCCUUCGCAUUAAUGAAGGACCGAUUCGCGGUCAUGUACAUAUGCGACCCUAUCCAGAUGCACGCGGAAGUACCAGGGGCUACGUAGUAGCCCCACCUUUAAACUCCUAUGACUAAGUGGAAGUGUUACAUCUAUAUAGUCCGGUUGCCUGAUUCGAUGUGCGAUCACCUCCUUCAUGGACCAAGACAUUGGAUCAAGUGUGUUUACAUAUUUUUUUGAACACCCCUGCAUUAUAUGCGUGGGGGCUAAAGCCAACGACUGCUAACUUUCAUGUUAUAUGCAUACAUAAACGACCACACAGGAGACAUUAUAAUACUUUCAGGCAAAAGUAUAAAAACAACCUCUAUAAUUAACACAUAAUUGUUUACAAUCAAUAGACGAGAGUCACUCGAACAUGACAUUCUUCGAGCACUAAGCCUCUAUUCUACGGGCACCUUCUAUGACUUGCUCAAAAUAGUGCUCGGCUGGGUCUUGGCUUCCUGCUGGACCCUGGGUUGCAAUGCUGGUGGCCUCCAUAUCCACCCAAUAUGUCUUAACACGGGCAAGAUCCAUCCGCGCACCCUCUAUGCACGCCAACCUCUUCACGGCAUCAAUUCGCGAUCUAGCGCCAAAUAGUUGCUGCACUAAACCAAAGUAACUGUUCGACCUCGGUCCUUUCGGCCAUAGAUGGUCUAUUACAGACCUCAUUGCAAGACCGGACAACCUAUGGAGCUCAGCUAUAGCGGCCAUCUUCUCACUUAAUGGCAAUGAGCGCGUUGGAGCGCUAAAUUGCGACCAGAAUAGCCUCUCUAUUUCAUUAUCUUUAUGAUCCUUGAAUAACUUGGUCGCAUCAGCGUACUCUUCGCCAAGUCCGCGUACUCAUCUGCAGCGCUCCAAAGUUGAUCCAAAGGAGCAUACUUUGGAUCUAAGAACUUCAUCCGCAACAAAUAGGGGUUUCCAGCCGCGAUUUCUCCAGCUUGUCGAAGUUCCUCCCGUGCAUCUCUAAUGUUAGAGUGCAUCUCCUUAGCCGAAUCCAGCACCUUCUUCAGGUCAACCGCCUUUGCCUGAUUCUCCUUCUCGAGAAGCUCAUACCGGACGGCGGCGUCCCUCAGCCCCACAACCAUCUCGGCUAUCUUUUCUUCGCUUUGGAGAUGAGCAGCCUGUUCGGCUCCCAAGUCUUCGGCUGCCUUUAGGGCAGCCGCAUUGCUAACUCGGGCUUGUUCCUUGGCUAGGGCAAGCUCCGCCCUCAGGGCCUCAAUGGCAGCAGCUCCGCCUGCAGCCACAUCACAUCAUAUUAAUAUUAUAACCUUCUUACAGUUUCCUAAACAAAUAAGGAAAUACGAGCGCAUACUCUACGACUCGUCGAAUCGCUUGUUUACAAGCGUGAUGUCGGCAUCCACCACGUCAACCUGUCGCCUCAAUUCGGCGAAUCCAGCGGUCUGGUCUACCGCCGGACCCUUAGCAACAUGCACAUCAAUACAAGUGCGAUUAUUACCUGGGAGUGUGAUCCUCCGUUUGCCGCCAUGGGCUGGCAACCACAGUCUCAGGGGCUACUAUCUAUACAGAGCACAUCUAUCGCGUGCGGUGCAACCAAAAAUUACGUAUUUCAUUGCUUACCUCAAAGCCCUUGAGCAAGCUUCUAAAAGCUUCAUUUAACCCGCUUGUGGCCGAAGAAAUUUUCUCCAACACCGUACCCAUUAGUGUACGGUGAUCCUCCGAGAGAGCAGCUUGCUCCAGGAGGCCCGUCAGUAUGUUCGGCCGGGCACCAGACUCUCCCGGACCCUUCUCAUUGCCCUCCACAGGAGCUGAACGCGUUGGGCUCGGGACGGCCGAAGUGUUAGCUUCUGGCCUCAGUGGAUCUAGACUCCUCCGUGACGACACCUUAGGGUCGCCUGCCCCAUGGGGCGGAGAGGCAGGUGGGGUUUCACUCUCCAUCAUCUCCGGAAGAAGAUCGCCCGAGGACGAACCCUGUUGAGACGAACUGCUAGCCGGACUGCAAAAAAUAGGUCCUGGUUAUUACUCUCAGAGGAAAAAGCAAUAAGCUUCUUGUUUAUUAACUUACAACUUGGUGGAGGGCUGGUCCGUUAGCGGGCAUGGUGCGGUAAGAACGCCCUUCGGGGCAGGGCCCUUUGGUGAAGUUUUCUUCCCUUGUUUAGGCGCAUCCGUUUCCAAGUCUUCGGAGGCGGCCCUCUUCCUCCCGCGGGGGGAGGAAAGCUUAGAUUCACCUCCCCGAUUGUCCUCCUCCAUGGAAACAUUAAUUCCCCCGGUUCGGAUGCAUAAUGUGUGAAGCUCACUCUUGGCUUCUCCACUCCUCCCUUCAUCUUUCUCCGAUGGCACUUGACUUAGCUCCCGUUUAAGCAUCCUGGCUAUUGCCAGACUGGGUGAGACUUCGGGAAGCGGGGCCAGACACCUGAUUCUCUCUGCCUUACUGAGCCAAUCUUGGUCGCGGACAGUUUUUCAGAACAAUGUUAUGAUAACUAUAAACGAAGUGUUCGGUCACAGGGUUACUUACUUGGGUAUCUGGGCGGUUGCAGCUCAGGCCCGCAUCCUCGGUGGUGUCCGGACACUUUAUUCAUGGUCCGAAGAACAACUUAUACAUUCCUUCAGGCGUCAUGCCGAAGAAGUGCUGAAUGGUUCGCGGACCUUCUGGAUUGAACUCCCACAUCCGAAGAGGUCGACGUUUACAUGGCAGGGCCCGCCGAACUAGCAUUAGCUGGAUUAUUUUGACAAGACUAAUAUCCCUCUCGAGAAGCUCCCGAAUGCGGCUCUGCAACGUCGAUACAUCAUUUGCAGGCCCCCAGUCUAGUCCCACGUUGGCCCAUGACGCCAGUUGAGGCGGAGGGCCCGAGUGGAAGGCGGGGCGGCCGCCCACUUUGAGCCUUGGGGAGCUGUGACAUAGAACCAUCUCCGUUACCAUAGAUCGGACACCUCCAGGAAGGAACCUUCGGGCCACGGGGCAUCGACGUUUCUGUUUAUUUUGGCGCCUCCGCACUCUGCGUAUCGCCUCUCGAUCACCCUCGGCUUCACACUGAAGGUCUUGAGCCAUAAGCCAAAGUGUGGGGUGACAUGGAGGAAGGCUUCGCACACGAUGAUAAACGACAAGAUGUGAAGGAUGGAAUCCGGAGCUAGAUCGUGAAAAUCUAGUCUGUAAUAGAACAUGAGCCCUCUCACGAAGGGAUCAAGAGUCAAGCCCAAGCCCCGGAGGAAGUGAGAGACAAAUACGACACUCUCGUUGGGCUCAGGAGUAGGGAUAACCUGCUCAGGGGCGGGAAGCAUGUGCUUAACAUCGGCAGUCAAAUACCCGGCCUCCCUAAGCUUCACAAUGUCCUCCUCUGUGACAGAGGAAGCCAUCCACCGGCCUUGAUGGUCGCAUCCGGACAUGAUCGAAGAUCCGAGGUGCUUAAGCUUGAGCUUUGGGUGUUGGAACUCGAAGUGCGGGAAGGUGCAAGCGUGGAGAUAGAGGGAUAGGCCUUGACCCCUCUAUAAAGGGGGAGAAUAUCAAGCGUCCCCAGCGUAACCGUUCGGGACUUGCCUAAAAACACGGAGUCAUGCCAACAUGCAUGCUUGGAUUACCAUACCCGUAUUGAUCAGGAUGCCAUGAUAAGAGGGACACGAUCUCUGCUUUGACAAGACGUGCCAAAGGAACCACCUCGUAAUGUGUGCGGUAGCUGGUUAUAAAAAACGGUUCGAAUAAAUGCCGGACCGUGGCGUGAUGUCACGUUUCGAAGAUUUGUCAGCAGAUUAGAUUCGUGGAUUAUUAUUCUCUCUACGGUGGUAUGUGGAAUUUAUCUUGCAGAGCCAGACACGGUCCUUUUGAUCGGAAUUUAUCUUGAAGUAUUCGGAGAUGGAACCCGCCUUGCAAUGCCGAAGACAAUCUGUGCGCCGGACUCAUCAUCAUUGAAGCCUGGUUUAGGGGCUACUGAGGGAGUCCUGGAUAAGGGGGUAUCUGGACAGCCGGACUAUAUACUUUGGCCAGACUGUUGGACUAUGAAGAUACAAGAUUGAAGACUUUGUCCCGUGUCCGGAUGGGACUCUCCUUUGCAUGGAAGGCAAGCUUGGCGAUCCGGAUGAUAGAUCUCCUUCUCUGUAACCGACUCUGUGUAACCCUAGCCCCCUCCGGUGUCUAUAUAAACCGGAGGGUUUGGUCUGUAGGACAGGACAAUCAUAAUCAUAGGCUAGCUUCUAGGGUUUAGCCUCUAUGAUCUCGUGGUAGAUCAACUCUUGUAAUACUCAUAUCAUCAAGAUCAAUCAAGAAGGAAGUAGGGUAUUACCUCCAUCGAGAGGGCCCGAACCUGGGUAAACAUUGUGUCCCUAGUCUCCUGUUACCAUUAGCCUUAGACGCAUAGUUCGGUACCCCCUACCCGAGAUCCGCCGGUUUUGACACCGACAAUGGGUUUGAUAUGGAGUCAGCCAGGGGUCAGACUUAGUCAUUUUGAAAGUCAGAAAAAUUCAUUUUUCCAAAGUGCUCCAAAUCAAUAUCUAAGUCCAGAAAUGGAUCAGUGUCGUUCAUACAAAUCCAACAAGCCCAAGAACGUCAAAUUCUGAGUUCGCAUGAAGAUUUGGCAGCCGUUUGACGUGUAGACAACUCCGAAAGUUGCCCUACCAGACGGGAUUCUUCACCGAUUUCGUCCAUGUUUGAUCCCAGGGGAUCCUCGGCUCGUAAAGAAGAGAUUGGGUGAGGAUUUGACUCAUUGAGAGCCCUUGGAUGAAGCCCAUAAAGAGAGGAGGCUAGGGAGGCUCCUAUAUAUGUCAUCAACCCUAUCUGCCGCAUCCAUCAUACACACCAGGUCAUUCAUCUCAUUCAUCCACAACCAUCUCCAUUGCUCCACCACCAAGAGAAGGAAGGGACAAUCACCAAAAAAAGAAGAAGGAGGUUCCACCACCAUGAGCAGUGGCCUUCGGGCUCGCGCCCUCGCGCCGGCGCCGCCACCAUAGGUGGUGCCCCCAUCUCCAUCACCACUGGCGCCACCACCAUCUUCAUCACCAUCACCACCGCGUCGCCUCCAUCACCACCAUGUCUUCUCUCUUCACCAGCUUGAUGCUAGAUUGUAACUUGUCCCCAACCUUCAUGUGUUUGAUUGAGUAGUUGUACUAGUUCUUGAGGAUGGUUGAACCCUAUAUGAUAUUUGUUGUGAUCAAAUAUUACCUGUUCAUGAUUCGUGUUAGUAGCCUUCGCGAAUGUUGACAGGAGCACUCAAUCGCAUUUGUGCCUUGUGUCGUGAAGUAUGUUACAAUCCUUGUGAUGGUUGGGGAUAUUAGGGUAAGUAGAGGUGACAAUAAAAGCCUCGGUUCCUCGCCCUUGCAAAUGAUUGGGGAGUAACGAAGAACCCUUAGAGAGGCCACUUCCAUGGAGAAACCCUUAAUUAUCAUUAAUUGUAACCUUAUGGGGGAGACUAUGAUGGUGAUGUGCGUGGCAUGAAGUCUACCUUGAGUGGAACGUGUAUUCUACCCGGCUCCACCCACUUAUGUAUCUGACCGGUUACUAGAGGAUACGAUAGUUCAUAUGUGGUAGUGAUUCCAGAACCCUCAAGAACACUUCACUACUCAAGCGCCGUCUUACUAACUUAGUGUCAUUUAAUUCCUAUUUUUAUUCUUCUUGUUAGUAGUUUAGUCAAAUCCCUUUUAUCUAGUUUUCCUAGCAAUGAUAGAGUAGACUAUUUCCAAACUCCCGUUUGGGUGCCUACGUGGCUGCGUGAAGGUGACAACAUAGUUGCGGGGUUUGUGGUGCCUUCCUAUUAGCUGCCUAUGGGUUCGACACUCUACUUAUCACGACGAAAGUGCUACAAUAGCCUUGUGCACUUGCAGGUCAUCAAGCAUUUUUUGGAGCCAUUGCUGGGGAGCAUAGCGCUUGGUCAUUACUUACCCACUCACACUUAGUUCCUUUGUUUGUUGACAUUUAUCUUACUGUUUUUCUCUUAGCCCAAAAAUACCAAAAAUAUGUCUUGUCCUGAGAUGUCUUCUGCAGAUGCUGCAAUAGAACAAACCGAAAAGAGAGGAAUGACGUAUGCCCAUUACUGGUAUUCUCUUAAAGGUAUUGAUGUGGAAACAAAAUAAAAUUCUUGGAUUACUAUGCUGAAGAUAUAUUUAAAUUCCGUACUUUUUGUGAGUAUUGCCAGUACAAUGAGCAUAUGAGUUUUUAUUGCAAGUUCCACCCUUGCCUUAUUAUAUCGUCAUACAAUCAUGAUGAUUAUCCUUUUGAUUAUGUUGAAUCGAUUGAGGAGCAAGUACUAUUCCUUAGAACCUCUUAACUUAUGAGAAGGGUAAAAGAGCUUACUCUGUACUAUCUAGAGGUUUCUACAUAUAAGAGUAACUUGCAGGAUAUCCAUGACUUCUGCAUUACUAAUAAUUUUAAUAGAAAUACUUCUUUCAUGGAAUAUGAGAAGCGGAAUCUCAUAAGGCUCUCAAUUACAGGAAAAUAACCUCAUGAAAGAAAUCGAGGAAAUACUCGAGCGGUGGAAGAGAAAUACACUAGAAGCUACAUUCUAGGAAGUAUGUCUAAGAGCAAGAAGAAAAAUGAACACGGAGAUGAAGGAGGGAAAGGCCACCUUCCGACAACUCCUACUAAUCAUGGUAACUUUCUAGACACAAUUAAUGGCCAGCUCGAUGAUCAUUUAUCAUAUCUACAUUCUGCCAGAGCUUUCAUGAAACCUAUUGAAACAAUGCUUGAAUGUUUUCCACCAGAGGAUAUUGUGAGAGCUAAUGUUUCAAAGUUAUAUGUUGUGCAUGAACUAGAUAUUGCCAUUGUCCCUGAUGUGCCUUCAAUGACUCCUUUUGAUGAAAUGUCAAUUGACAUUUGCCUUAAGGGCGAGAUAGCACAAAAGGAGGGUGAGUUGCUUGCAUUACGAGAAAUACCAGAAAGUGAUGCAACCACCGAGAUGGCUAAUCAUUACUCAUUACCUGUGGAUUGUUGAUAUUGGACAAACCCCAAAUUGCAUAUUCAUAAAUUGAUCUUGAUGAUAUAUGGGUUGAUUUUCUACAUGCUCUCCAUAGACCUCCUUUGGAGAGUAAAUUGCAAAGCCUUAUAGAUGAUAAUAGCCUUGAUAUUGAAUUUGUGAAUUUGGAUACUAACAUUCCCAGGUACACUCAAGAUGAAUCCAUAUCCUCUUUGUUUCAAAAAUAUUAUCAAAUUCCAGCUACUGAAACUUUCAGGCAUCUCAGCUGAACUGUGUGCAUCGGUACUCGCCAAAGAGCUAGUACGAAUUUACUUAUAUGAUGCUAAUGCAACGUAAGCGAGUGCGACUCCGACCGAGCCUUGCUAUGAGGUGCUCCAAACCCCGGUCGGAGUCUAGCCUCACACUCGUGGUUGAUAUCCCUUGGGAUCCGGGUGGAUGACCUUACGAAGCACCGAAGCCUAGCUAUAUGGCUAUAAAUAAAGCACUGCUUGGGAGGUAACCCGGAAGUCCAUAGGUGUCUUUUUUAGCUUUGUGUCUUGAGUCUAUAUGCAUUCAUUAUUGCAUUGGCACUUCUAUUUUUUGAUUUGAGUAGUUGCUAUUUGAGUUGGUUGCAAUAGUUUCUGUUGGUAAAACUUAUAGCAUGUCGGUAGCCUAUUUUUGUUGCAUACCUCCUCCUAUUUUUAUUGCAAUAUUGCUAUGUGCCUAAUGUGAGGAGGAAGCACAAAAAAUUUCAUGAAGUUCUGCAGGUCCAGGAGAAAAAAAUGACAUUACAUUACAUUCAUGAAUUUCCUGAAGUCUUGAAGGUAAUGAUAUGCACCCAGGUGUAACGAGAGAAAUCGUCAACUAUGACGAAUCCAUAGAGUGAUGCUGCAUUGGUUAGUGUGGCAUAAUGUGUAGGACCAAAUAGAUCCAUAUGAAGUAAUUCAAAGGGACGAGUAGUGGUUGAUACGUCUCCAAUGUAUCUAUAAUUUAUGAAGUAUUCAUGCCAUGUUUACAACAAUUUUAUAUGGUUUUGGUAUGAUUUGCAUGGAACUAACCCGAACUGACGUUGUUUUCAACAGAACUACUGUGGUGUUGUUUUUUGUGCAGAAAUGAAAGUUCUUCAAAUGAGCUGAAACUUUUUGACAAUUUUUUGGAACAAAAGAGGCACUAGAAGCUUCAUGGGGAGGGGGGGAUACGUCUCCAACGUAUCUAUUUUUUUGCUUGUUCCAUGCUGUUAUAUUAUCAUUCUUGGAUGUUUUAUAAUCAUUUUAUAGCAAAUUUAUAUCAUGUUUUGGGACUAACCUAUUGACAUAGUGCCCAGUGGCAGUUGCUGUUUUUGCUUGUUUUUUACUUUGCAGAAAAUCAAUAGCAAACGGAGUCCAAACAUAGCAAAACUUUUUGGAGAUUUUUUGGACUAGAAGACACCUGUUGGGCCAAAGAAGUACCAGAGGGGGGCUCCGAGGGGAGCACAACCCACCUGGGCGUGCCUGGGGGCCCAUGCGCGCCCUAGUGGGUUGUGCCCACCUUGGCCGCCUCCCCCACCGCCUCUUUGCUCUAUAAAUACCCCAAAAAUCCAAAAACCCUAGGGGAGUUUACGAAACACAAUUCCAGCCGCCGCAAGUUCCAGAACCACCAGAUCCAAUCUAGACACCAUCACGGAGGGGUUCAUCAUCCUCAUUGGUGCCUCUUUGAUGUUGCGUGAGUAGUUCAUUGUAGACCUACACGUCUGUAGUUAGUAGCUAGAUGGGUUCUUCUCUCUCUUUUGAUUCUCAAUACAAUGGUCACUAGGAGAUCAAUUUGAUGUAACUCUUUUUGUGGUGUGUUUGUUGGGAUCCGAUGAGCUUUGAGUUUAUGAUGAGAUCUAUUUUAUCCAUGAAAGUUAUUUGAGCCUUCUUUUGAUCUCUUAUAUGCAUGAUUACUUAUAGCCUCGUAUUUCUUCUUUGUAUCUUUGCUUUCGCUAGGCCGACUAGAUCGAUUAUUCUUGCCUUGGGAAGAGGUGCUUUGUGAUGGGUUUAGUCAUGUGGUGUUCUUUCCCAGUGACAGAACGGGCAGCAAGACACGUAUUGAUCGUUGCCAUUAAGGAUAACAAGAUGGGGUCUAUUCCUACAUGAAUAGAUCUUGUCUGCAUCAUGUCAUCGUUUUUAUUGCAUUACUCCGUUUCUCCAUGAACUUAAUACACUAGAUGCAUGCUGGAUAGCGGUCGAUGUGUGGAGUAAUAGUAGUAGAUGCAGGCAGGAGUCGGUCUACUAAUCUUGGAUGUGAUGCCUAUAUAAUUAUCAUUGCCUGGAUAUCAUCAGAAUUAUCUGAAGUUCUAUGAAUUGCCCAAAAGUAAUUUGUUUACCCACUGUAUGCUAUUUUCUCGAGAGAAGCCACUAGUGAAAUCUACGACCCCGGGUCUAUUUUCUCAUCAUAUAUUUUCAGAUCUAUAUCGCUAUUUUCCCUUUUUUAUUUAUUUGCAUCUUUUAUUUUUAGAUCUAUAUUAUCAAACACCCAAAAAUACCUCGCUGAAUUUUAUUUACCGUUAUUUGCAUCUAUCAAUCUACCACAAUUUUUAUCCCGUCAACAUGACAAUUUCUCGCACCAUUACCUAGAAGGGAUUGGCAACCCCUUUUACACGUCGAGUUGCAAGUAUUUUUUCUUUAUGUGCAAGUACCGUUUACAUAGUGUUGCUUGGUUCUCCUACUAGUUCGAUAACCUUGGUUUCAUAACUGAGGGAAAUACCCACCGAAGCCGUGAUGCAUCAUCCCUUCCUCUUUGGGGAAAUACCGACGUAGUUCAAGCGACAUCAAAAGGAAUUUCUGGCGCCGUUGCCGGGGAGACAUCAUCAACAUCUAUCAGGUUCCUAAUCACAAAUCUCAUCUCCUUGCAAUUUACAUUAUUUGCCAUUUUCCUCUCAUUUUCAUCUCUCCCACUUCAAUUUUUUAUAUUUUAUUUGCCCUCUUUUUCGUUCGCCGUUUUCUCGUCGGAUCUAUUUUUGUGUGCAAUCUUGUUUGCGUAGUCACGAUGACUCAAGAGAACACAAAGUUGUGUGAUUUUUCCAAUACCAACAACAAUGAUUUUAUUAGCACUCUGAUUUCUCCUCCCGCCACUAGUGCAGAAUCUUGUGAUAUUAAUGCCUCUUUGUUGAAUCUUGUUAUGAAAGAUUAGUUUUCCGGUACUCCUAAUGAGGAUGCCGCAUUCCAUCGUAACACAUUCGUAGAACUAUGUGAUAUGCAAAAGAAAAAAAUAUGUGGACAAUGAUAUUGUGAAGUUGAAAUUAUUUCCGUUUUCUUUGCGAGAUCGUGCAAAAAUUUGGUUUUCUUCUUUGCCUCGCAAUAGUAUCGAUUCUUAGGAUAAAUGCAAAGAUGCUUUCUUUACUAAGUAUUUUCCUCCCACGAAAAUUAUUUCUCUUAGAACCCAAAUUAUGAAUUUUAAGCAACUUGAGCAUGAACAUGUUGUAGAAUCUUGGGAAAGAAUGAAAUUGAUGCUAAGAAAUUGUCCUACACAUGGUUUAAAUCUUUAGAUGAUCAUACAAAAUUUUUAUGCGGUAUUGAAUUUUGUCUCUAGAAAUAUUUUAGAUUCCGCCACGGGUGGUACUUUUAUGGAUAUCACAUUGGGAGAAGCUACUAAAUUGCAAGAUAAUAUCAUGGGAAAUUAUUCACAAUGGCAUACCGAAAGGGCACCUACUAGUAAAAAAGUUAAUUUGGUUGAAGAAAUUAGUACUUUGAGUGAAAAAGUUGACGCUCUUAUGAAAUUGGUUGCUAAUAAAAAUCCUCCUAUUGAUCUUAAUGAUGUGUCUUUGUCUACUUUGAUUGAGCAAAAUAGUGAUGCCAUAGAUGCGAAUUUUAUCUCGCGAAGCAAUUUCAAUAACAAUGCUUAUAGAGGUAAUUUUAAUCCUAGGCCUUUUCCUGGGAAUUCCUCUAAUAAUUAUGGUGACUCCUAUGGUAACCCUUCUUAUAGUAAUAAUAGGAACACCUUGAUCUUGAGAAUAAUAUUAAAGAAUUUAUCAAUGCUCAAAAAGUUUUCAACAAUACGAUAGAAGAAAAGUUGAAUAAGAUUGAUGAUAUGUCUAGAAGCAUUGAUAUAAUUUCUCAUGAUGUAGAAAAUCUCAAGAUAAAAAAAUUUGUACCCAAGGUUUAGGAAUCAAUUAAAGCUUUAUAUGUUUCUAUGGAUGAAAUUAAGAAAAGAACCUCUAUGCUUAGAGCUAAAAGAGAAUUUUUAGAAAAAUCAUUUUCUUGUGAUUGCUUUCGUAGAAGUGAUGAAGAUCUUAAAGUGAUUGGUGUUUCUUCUAUUGAUUCCUUGUUUAGUAAGAUUAAAAUUGAUGAUAAAGCAACUAGAGAAGAGUCAACUUUAGCUAGAAGGCGUCCAAUAAUUCGGUGGGUGAAUAUCUUGAUGAAAAAUUGAUAAAAGUGGGUUUGGAGAGGUCAAAACUUUAGCUAAUUAUGUGCCCACUCUUUUGGAUUACAAAGACUUUAAUUAUGAUAGUUGCUCUUUUAUUGAAUGUAUUUCUUUGUUGUAAUCCAUGAUAAAUUCACCCCAUGCUUACGAACAAAAUAAAGCUUUUACUAAACAUAUCGUAGAUGCUAUGAUGAAAGCUUUUGAAGAAAAGUUGGAAUCAGAGAUCUCAAUUCCUAGAAAAUCACAUGAUGGAUGGGAACCUACCAUCAAAGUCAAGAUCAAAAAUUAUGAGUGUUUUGCUUUAUGUGAUUUGGGUGCUAGUGUUUCUAGAAUUCCGAAAUCUUUAUGUGAUGUCCUUGGUCUUACCAAUAUCGAUGAGUGUUCUUUAAAUUUGCACUUGGCGGAUUCUACUAUUAAAAAACCUGUGGGAAGAAUUAAUGAUGUCCUUAUGUUUGCAAAUAGAAAUUAUGUGCCCAUAUACUUUAUUGUUCUUGAUAUUGAUUGUAAUCCGUCUUGCCCAAUUAUACUUGGUAGACCGUUUUUACGCACUACAAGUGCCGUGAUUGAUAUGAAAGAAGGCAACAUUAAAUUCCAAUUUCCACUAAGAAAGGGUAUGAAGCACCUCCCUAUAACAGGAAUUAAGCCACCAUAUGAAUCAAUCAUGAGGGCAUCUUAUGGAUCUAGAACUAAUGAUGAUAAUACUUAGACCUAUGCUUUAUGCCUAGCUAGGGGCAUAAAACGAUAGCGCUUAUUGGGAGGCAACCCAAUGAAUAAUUUUUUUGUCUUGUUAUUUCUGUUCUUGAGUGUUUGAACAAUUAUGCCUCUGAUUAGAUGUGUUUUAAUGUUUUAAUUAGUGUUUGUGCCAAGUUAAACCUUUGGGAUCAUGUUGGGUGAUAGUUGAUUUGAUCUUGUUGAAAAACAGAAACUUUUGCACUCAGUAAAAUAAUUUUCAUAAAUCACACAAACGUGCUUUUUCUCUGAAUUUUUUUACACAAGAUUGAUGUACAAAUUACCCACAUUGUCCUAAUGUUUCAGAAUUUUUGGAGUUACAGAAGUAUAUGAAGUUUUCAGAUUGCUACAGGUUGUUCUGUUUUUCACAGUUUCUGUUUUCUUUGCAUUGUGUGCUUAUUUUGAUGAAUCUAUGGACUUUNNNNNNNNNNNNNNNNNNNNNNNNNNNNNNNNNNNNNNNNNNNNNNNNNNNNNNNNNNNNNNNNNNNNNNNNNNNNNNNNNNNNNNNNNNNNNNNNNNNNNNNNNNNNNNNNNNNNNNNNNNNNNNNNNNNNNNNNNNNNNNNNNNNNNNNNNNNNNNNNNNNNNNNNNNNNNNNNNNNNNNNNNNNNNNNNNNNNNNNNNNNNNNNNNNNNNNNNNNNNNNNNNNNNNNNNNNNNNNNNNNNNNNNNNNNNNNNNNNNNNNNNNNNNNNNNNNNNNNNNNNNNNNNNNNNNNNNNNNNNNNNNNNNNNNNNNNNNNNNNNNNNNNNNNNNNNNNNNNNNUGGAAUACAGUAGAUAUAAUGCAAAAAUAAAAUAUAAAUGGGUUUGCAACAGUACUUAGAGUGGUGAGUUGCUUUGUUAUACUAACGGGUCCCAGGAAGGUAUUGUUAAGUUUUGUGUGAUUGAAGUUUUCAAGUUUCAGGUGAAAUCACGAUGGAUGAAAGAAUAAGGAGUAAGAAGAGCCUAAGCUUGGGGAUGCCCAUUGACGGUGUCCUGGACCAGGGGGUACUCACGACGUCGUCUCCCGAUCAGUUGGAUUGGGCCGAGGACCCCCAUGGCCGUAUACUCAUGGGCCAGUUCAGACAGCUGCCGCAUACAAGGAAGAUUCCAUAGAACUUGGUGAUCAAGACAAGGACUCCUCCCCCACCGGCGUAUUCGGCCAGGACUCUUGUUAUCCUAGGCCUCUGGUAAAUUAUAUAAACCGAGGCCAGGCUAGUCGAUAGAUUAUUAUGACAUUACUCAUCAUACCUCUAGGGUUUAGACCACAACAUAUGAUCUCGGGGUAGAUCAACUCUUGUAAACCCUAUACUCAUUAAAGUCAAUCAAGCAGCAUCAUCAAGCAGCAUGUAGGGUAUUAUCUCAUCAAGAGAGCCCGAAGCUGGGUAAAAUCCCGUGUUCAUGUUACCAUCGAUCCGAAGACGCACAGCUUGGGACCCCCUACCGGAGAUCCACCGGUUUUGACACCGACAUUGGUGCUUUCAUUGAGAGUUCCGUUGUGUGAUCGACAAGAGGAUCAAUGGCUCGACUGCAGAUCAACUGCGACCUUGACUUCUUCGUCACCGGCUCGACUGGUCACCUUGGCUUGACCGAGGACUGUGCCCUGCCUCCGAUCGUCAUGUUCGGACAAGGGCCUUCAUCAAAACUAACUCUGAUCUCUAUCAAGAUCAUGGAGGAAUCAUCCAUAGAGCUCGGGGGAUCAACGUCAACAUUGCCCUCGGGCGACCGUGUUGUUUUUCUGGACAACAAACUUGUAUGCGCCGCCACCACCUCCUCGAGUGUUGCUUAAACGAUUGCUUUGGUGGAAUUAUGCAGAAUUAAGUCUACAACAACCCUGCAAAAUUUCGUCGAGUUCCGAUGGAGGAAUCUCCGGCAAUCUUCGAUAUACCGGAGCCCUGUUGAAUCUGGACUAGAAUCCGGACGAGUUUGGAGCGUGGUGUCCAGCAUCUAGCUCGGACGUCCUUUGGAAUAUCCAACUGUUGAUCGGCUGCGGAAUUCCUAUAUCUACCACCUGUCAAAAAUUCAGCUCGAUCCGACCGUCCAAACUCCGGAAACCUUCCGACUAGUGCAUCAGUUUUCGGAUCUGUUUUCUGCGCGAGAACGAAUCCGACCCGAGUUCAUCUUAUUUAUGAACGAGAUUGCAGACAUCCUUUUUGAAGGAAGUUUUUGUACGAGGUAUUGUGUUUUAUUCUCAAACACAUCCCAUUAAUAUUAAAAGUAUUUUUACAAUACGAUCUUCACCAUCGCGCCGGUGUCAAACCGGCUCGACAACAUCACUCCACGGCGGCUGACCUGCGCUAGACACAUCGUUGCUUUGUUGAGCCGAGCUCAACUUCUUCGGAUCAUCAUCUCAGCCAGCCAAACAAUAGUUCGGCAUCUCGAAGGAUAAAUCGUCACCAAUAUCGCUGCUACAUGGAUUACACGGAGCGGGCACACCGGCAUCGCCGCACGGUCUCUUCAUGAAGCCAGCAUUGACCACGUCACAAGUUACGACCUGGGUUGACAUGGCCGCACUGUUGCCUCUUCGAGCCUAUGUCCAUCACGCCGAACUACUUCAACACCUCGGCUGACAUGGCAGCUGGAACAUCUCCUCACCGACCUGCUCCGUCUCCUCGCCUGGACUGGGGGCUUCGUCAUCCCUUCAUGAACUCACUUCGGAUACUUCGACAUCACCGGCCGACCAGCUUCAUCACAUUAGCUGGACCACGGGCUUUGCCUCGGCGAGCCAACCUUUGCCAGCAUCGUCAUGCCUUCGCUUCAUCAGCCAUCAGGCAAUGGGUGUGUGGAUCGAAUCCCAAUUUUGGGAGUAACCUUUCUUCGGAACGCUACAACAAACAAACCAGGUGCUAUUAAUCCUAGCAUUUUUUGCUUGUUUGGGUUUAUUUUUCCCAAGGAAUUAUUACUCUGCUUUGUUCCAUCAUCUAUUCAGAGGUCUAUCAAAUGGUGGCCGCAUUAACGACGGUUGCAUGGUGGUUCGGUCAGUUUUCAUGCAUAGUUCGGCGCACGCCGUAUCCGGAACUCAGACCGACCUGUGAAUUCGGGCUUUGUCACGCCUUCACUGCGUCACGCCGACGCCCUGCAUCGACAUUGACCUCGACGCUCAGGCCAUAUCUCUUUCAUUAUUUACUUCACUUGUAUUAAAUAAGUAGAAGAAUUUUUUUAUAUACAUUAUUAUCCUUAUUUGUCAUUACUUUUGGUUUGCACUAUUUUAUCUAUGCAGCCAAUCGACUCAGACUGAGCCGCGCUGUCGCCUCCAUCGACCGAAUUGUGUUGUCGCCUUGGCGCGCUGCCCUAUGUUGGCAACCCCGCGUCGUCGCUUCGUUAGCCUAUUCAGCCGGAGACUCCGGUGUCAUCAAUGCCGAACACAUUAAUCAGCUAAGUUGCUUUCAUGCUAAAAAACUUUCAGUUUUAAAUUUUGUUCGGUUCGACCAAGCAUUAUACUUUUUUUGGCAAAAAGUUGUUUGUGACAAAGUUUCUUGUCAAAACUUUGUAUGUGACGCACAUAUUCAAAUACCCCGUUUAUUUGGGGGCUCCCUUGAUGGAGCUUUUCCCUCUUGCAUAUGAUUAUACUUGUACGGCUUCAUUCCUUGUUCAUGUAUUACGCCACAAUAUGCACCAUAUUGACCUAAGUGAUUUGCAAGCUGGGUUGCCUGGCUCCUGUGCUUACCCCUACAUUCCCGAUUGUUCGGCUAGGGAGUAAAGGGAGCACAUCUGCGAUUGUCACAAUCAGGUCAUCCGAGCCAGACCUCAGACUGGGUGAAGCCAAAAGCUAGCGCUCUUACUGUUUUCAAUAAUGGUCGGCACACAACGGAACUCAUGGGUACAAAAAAUCUAUUGCACAAGUCUCAUAGUAAUAAUGAGCAACCGAAGAAAGGUAUCGGUGGGGGUACUAUUUUCUUCGAAGAUGCUUCUUACACUUCGGCGGUAAUAUAGCAUAAGUUCCCUGAGCGCGCUUUGUUUGUUACAGCCUUAUGGUUUGAUUGCCUGGUUAUAGGAAACACCGUCGAUAUUCUCGACAGCUGGAGUACAUAACACUUUUCGGUCCUUAACCGAAGAGGGAGAAGCCGAUGAUCGGUUAAGACGCGUUCAAAGUUCGGGUGAACACAAAUGUGAUAUAAGUACUUCGGUACAUACAAUCAUCAUACAUAAAAUUCUUUUACCCAAGUCACUUGGGGGCUCUUAAAAUUUAUAUGAGGUGUUUUAUAAUAAAUGUGUUUCCUUCUUGGUCGUUGCAAAGGGUUGACCCGCGUGAAGUCUUGAGAUCGGAUGCGUCAUGUUAAAGCACGACAGAAGCACAAUUUUUUUUUCCAAUUUUUGGAUUGGCACCGAACACUUGAUCUUGUUCGGACGUAAAGUUUUUACUGAUGUUUUUUUGGUUUUACAAAGCUUAUGGCACUUUUAGACUAUUUGUGUGUUUCCAACACAAGUCUCGCGGUGCAAUGCCAGACACCUUUAGAGAUUCGGCAAAAACAUUCUCGGAUAUUGCUAUAUAUGCAUCGGUUUCGAAUUGUGUCUUCGGUCAAUAGUUGGGUUGCCCGGCUCCUGUUCUUGCCUCCUAUGUUGCACUUUGUUUGGCUAGGUGUGCAAAGGGAGAACCACUGCGAUUGUGCUUCCAGCUCGCAUGGUUAAGAACCGCAGUGGAGAAAGCCGAUAACUGACUGUCACAAUAGGUGUAAACUGGUCAGCGAUCCGAUGACCAUGUUAAAUGACGGGCCGUUCAUAACAUGGCCGAAGUGUUUACGGCUUGACCUUGGCUGUCGCCGAACACUAAUCGGGGGCUCGUAGCUAGCUUCCCAAGUUUAAAGCUCCUAUGACUAGGUGAAAGUUAUAAAGCCCGCAUAUAUGAUUGCCUCGUUUCCGCUAACACAACCGCCUUCGGGCACCGAGACGUUGGCUAAGUGUUGUCUUGUUAUUGUGGAAACACCCUGCAUAGUAUCUACAAAGGGGUAGAAGCCGACGAUGGGCCACUUUCAACUGAUAAACAAUCGCAACGGAGUCAAAAUAAACAUAUCAUCGGCAUUUGUAUUUAAUAUACAAGCGCCGCCUUCUGUAAUCAUUGUUAUAAAGCCAUAAAUAUGCAUCAAUUUGACUUAAGAUUUUGGCACAGCUGGGUUGCCUGGCUCCUGUGCUUACCCCUACGUUCCCGAUUGUUCGGCUAGGUGGUAAAGGGAGCACCUCUGUGAUUGUUACUACCGGGUCAUCCGAGUAAGUACCUCAGAUUGGGUGAAGCCGAAAGUUAGCAAUCUUAAAGGAUCACAUUGGUCGGAAACGACGGAAGUGAAAAUUUUGGUUCAUUAAUAACAAAGUUUGGGAACUUUCCCCGAACUGAAUCCUCAAUAUUUUCCUCCCACAUUGACCGGAGGUGAGGUUUCAUGAUCAUGAUAAGCAUGACGACCCAAAGAAAGGAACCGAUAGCGGGACUAUUUUCCUUGGAAGAUGUUUCUUACAUUAAGUAAUAUAACAUAUCUCUCCGCGUACCUUUGUUUAUAAAACCGUAUGGACGGAUUGCCUUGUUUUCCAUAAAUCUUUGCCCUUAUAGCGGCUUCAUAAAGUAGGAAAACACUCCUCAGCUACUGGCCAAAGAGGUUGAAGCCGAUGGUCGGCCAACAAAGUUUUGUACAAUGCAGAUCCAAGCAUUAAUGAUGUAAAGUACUUGGAUACAUAGAGCCAUUACACAUAAUUUGUGAUUAUACUAUGGAUAUCGAUCCUUAAUUCGGCCACCCGUGCCCGCAUUAAGGAUCGGGGGCUACUGGGCUUCGGGCUUAUUAUUUACAAAUAUUAAAGGGGCACAUCGAUCCCCUGAUCCGGUGUUGCCACCCGACCAGUGUCUCGGGGGCUACUACAUUGCCUAUUCAAUGCAGAAAAUUCAAAGCGCUCAGUGUUCGGCUUGACCGGACUAUGCGCAAACGCGUCUUCAGACAACAAUAGGUACCAUAUGGACCUUUUCAGCAUCAAGCUGGUAUGUUACGACAACUUCUCCAGACCCUCUCUCAAGGGCUCGUUAGCCGAUCACCAUUAUCUCUAAUAUAUUACACCACAUUUUUCCCUAAGUAUGCUGCCGAGCUGGGAAUUGAUCCUCAGGCUGAUUUUACGAAUCGGCCUGAGUCUCAGGGCUACUAGGGUCAGCGGUUUGGUUUUUUCCUUCAGGUGCAUCCCAGAUAUUAGGCCAACACGCACCUUGAGGGCUACUGGCUAUACAUCUCGGCCAAGAUUACAUUGCACAAUUCAGAAUUAAAUUCAUAAAAAUUAGCCCAUGGCCAAGGUGGUGCACCACCUCGGAAGCAGUCCGGCAUAAAGCUCGGGCGCUAGUGGCUGGCUCCAUAGCGGGCAUUUCCGACAUUAAGCUCGGCUAAACUCCUUCAAACUUUUUUGAGCCAAGGUGAUCUAUGACACCUGGAUAUAGUCCAACAUUGGAGCUCGGAUACAGUCCGGCGUUGGAGCUCGGAUACAUUCCGGCAUUGGAGCUCGGAAGCAGUCUGGCGUUGGUGCUUGGCUGCAAAAGAUACCUCGAAUGCAAUCCGGCGUUGGGGCUUGGAUGCAAGAGGACACCGCCGCAUGGGAACAACUUCAAACCCGAGGUGUGGCGUAAAAAACAACCAGGCAUUGAUAAAGGCCGAUAACUUAAAGGGGCUCCCUGGAUACCCGACGUGUAAACUCUUCGGAUGCACUUUGGCGAUCUUCAAGAUCGAAGAUAAGGAGAUUUGUUGAACCAGUUUUCAAGACCGACGACCAAAGAUGAAGAAUAGUUCAGAAGAAUCGAGGAGCGUCCCCACUUGAAGACCGGUUCAGGGGGCUACUGACGGUGUCCUGGACUAGGGGGUACUCACCACGUCGUCUCCCGAUCAGUUGGAUUGGGCCGAGGACCCCCAUGGCCGUAUACUCAUGGGCCAGUUCGGACAGCUGCCGCUUACAAGGAAGAUUCCACAAGACUUGGUGAUCAAGACAAGGACUCCUCCCCCACCGGCGUAUUCGGCUAGGACUCUUGUUAUCCUAGGCCUCUGGUACAUUAUAUAAAACAAGGCCAGGCUAGUCGAUAGAUUAUUAUGACAUUACUCAUCAUACCUCUAGGGUUUAGACCACAACAUAUGAUCUCGGGGUAGAUCAACUCUUGUAACCCCUAUUGUCGGAGUAAUGGGCCACGGGUAGGCUCACCCAAGUCCCAUGAUUUAUCAAGACUUUUGGACCAGCUCCGCCUAGCUAGGCCCCAAGCCGAAGCUCCGCCCUCUGAGGCCGGCUGGCUCAGCGGCCGGCUGCCAGAGGGCGGUUGACCCAAGACUACGACGCUCCGGGUGACCGGCUCCUGGCGGCCGCCCUCUAGAGAGGGCGGCUACAGGCAGGCGGCUACCUCAUGACUACGGGGCGGCCAUGCUCCCAUCAAGAGUACAAGGCAAAGCAUGGCUACAGUGAAGCACGUCGCCUCCCACGCUCGAGACGGGCGUGGCUACAGUGCUCUGUAUAGACGGAGAUCUCCGCACGACGGAGCAUUGUGCCGUAUCUACCCUGACGUUGCCCCGAGCAGGCGGAGCCCUGUCCCCCACGACGGCCUGUCGGUACGGCCCGCCAGAGGCGGGCCCUAUCGGGCAGUGACCCUAAGGAAGACGGCGAAAGCUCGACCAAGCGGAUCAGAGAGGGGCCGGCCUCCAGCAGGUGGCCGUCCCUUGUCCCGAGGCGAGCAUGCCAUUAAGCUGAUAAGACCAGGUGUGGCUAUAGUGUCCUCCCACCAGGCGGUGGGACUGUAGCCAUGCUAAGAUGACCAAGCCCCCGUCACUAAAUACACGGCUACAGUGAACAGCCACCAACCAGUCGGCAGGCCCCACCAGGCGGCAGGCCCCAGCGGUCGGCGGAGAAGCCGGAGGCUGGAGACACUGACAGCCGGGCCCAGCAGCCGACCAGAUUACCAUUGUACCCCUGGGGGGUAGGCCUAUAUAAACCCCCCAGGCCACCCAUGCAAAGGGUUCCCACUCCAUUAGAACUAGCCACCCCCUAGAGCAGGAAGAGAGCGAGCCUUGCGUCCUUCUACCUCUAGCGCACAUCUCGAGGAGCACCAUUAUAUCACUUGUGCCUUAGUGAUCAUGCGGAGACCCCGAAAGCAGGACUAGGGGUGUUAUCUCCUAGGAGAGCCCCGAACCUGGGUAAAGUACGCCGACGUUCGUGUCUACGCCUUAUCCCGCUUCCAGGCACCGGCGAUGUUCUACUCGCUCCCACCAUGAUAAGCCAUCCUUUGGCAUAUGUCGCAUCCAACCCCCUACAUUUGGCGCCCACCAUGGGCCGAGGUGCACCAUCUCCUGGAGAUCUGCUCUGGACGGGAACCCUGUUCCUUCCUGGCGAGCAAAGCCAACCCAGCACGCCUGACGGCGUCAGCCCCGACGCGCUGCACGGCAUGGAGAUUGCCUGCACGGCGAGCUGCCCCGCUGACCUCGUCGGCGAGAUCGACCUCUCCGACGAGCCGGCCUCUGACGCGGGCACAAGCUGCCCUGAGGGCCGCCUCGUCAGCCUCCUCGACCAGCUCCAUGUCGCCAGCGAGCCUACUGUGGACCUGGAGUCCGUCGGCUCGACCGAUCCGAUGAUCGUCGACUCCGACACGGUGUCGCUCGACGCAUUCCCCACCAACAUGGUGGUCUACGACGAGCCACCUCAUUGCGAGUACAGCGGAGGAAGCACCGUCACGGAGGUGCUCGUCAUCAAUAGUGAGGAGCACUCGGAUGGGCGUGCGCAAGAUCCCCUCGACGCCGCUCUACGCGACCUCAUGGCGCACAUUCCCGAGGGCACGGACGAUGAGGCGCUGGAGGCACGCCACCUCCAGCUUCUCGAAAAUGCUGGCCGCCUGGCCAGCAUGCGCCGGUUUCAGACGCCUAUCGGCGCGAGAUGGACUGAGCCGUAGGCGGCACGCCGGCCCCUGAGGGGCCUAGCCACCUCGGCACGGUUCGGCAGCGUGGCGCGACUGUCGCCAGCAUGUUCGAGGCGGAGCGCCCCGUCUACGCCACGCUUGCGGAAAACAUCCGUGCCGCCCAGGAGGUGACGGAUGAGCUGGACAAAUGCGACGGCGACGAGCGCCGCCUCAUGACGAAGCGAGUCUAGCAGCUCCUAGACGCGGCAGCCGCGCAGCACGAGGCCGCUUGCCACGCCGAAGUCCCACCCGGACGAAACAACGAGCCGCCCCCACGCCGAGAUCAUGGGCGACCUCCCGAACACCGACUGGUGGCGCCCGCGGAGGAAAGGGCAAUGAGCCGGCUGCCAGCCGCAGUCGGACACACCUCUCCAUCGAGCGGGACGAGGACGACCACCCUCGUGCAGUAGAGCGACGAGGCGACCUGCUGCCUCCCCCGCCUCGCGGAGCGAGAUACCCUACUCCGCCCCCUAUCAUGCAUCCGAUGCUCGGCGACCGCCUUGGCCGUCGAGAGGGAGUCGGAGAGAAUGAUGCUCGCCAUUGGAUCGAUUGUCUCAACCGAUCCCUGGCGCUCGAAGAAGAAGAUGCGCUGGGCCCGCCCUGUUUCGGCCCCAGAAUCCGAGAUGAGCCCUUCCCUAAAGGGUUCACCCUCCCAUGAGACACACCCAAGUACACCGGCUCCGUGAAGCCGGAGGACUGGCUGGUCGAGUACUCCACGCCCGUCAGCAUAGCAAACGGCAACAAGUGUGUUGCCGUGAAGUAUGUCCCACUCAUGCUUCAGGGCACUGCCCGGACGUGGCUCAACAGCCUGAAGCCCCGCAGCUUCAACAGCUGGGUUGAUUUCACCGAGGUAUUAAUCCGCAGCUUCACCAACACCUACAAGCGGGCCCCCAAGCCCCGACAGCUCUCCUUGUGCAUCCAAGGGCCCACAGAGUCGACUCGCGACUACCUCACACGCUGGACCGAGCUGCGCAAUUCCUGCGAAGGCGUGCACGAGGUGCAGGCGAUCGAGUACUUCACUGCCGGGUACCGAGAGGGCACCCUCCUCAAGCACCGACUCCUCUGCGACGAGUCCGAGACCCUCGAUGAGCUGCUGGUCAUCGCCGACAAGCAUGCCACGGCCGACUCCUCCAUGAAGGCGGAAAUCCUGGUUGACACGUCUGACAAGGUGGCCUUCAGGCGCCUCGGACUCCGGCUGGUGACACUAGUCGGCGACAACAACCAGGAGAUCACAAGCGGAAGGCCACCCAGCCGGCUUCCACCAGCCGGCAAGUGGCGACGGUCGAGGAUCAGCAGCCAGAAGGGCAGCCGGCCCCAAGCGGCAGAAGGGCGGCAAGACCAAUUGGUUGCCAGCUUUCUCUUACGAGCAAACCUUGGAUGCACCCUGCAAGUUCCAUAGCGGUGCGAAGCCCUCCAACCACACCACUCGCAAGUAUCACUGGCUCACCAGAAUUGCCAAGGGAGAUGGACUCCUGCCUCCUCCGCCUGCCGGACCGCCGCCUCCUCAGCCUCAGCAGCCGGCGGCCCGGCUAGUCGGUGCCAUACAAGACGAAUACCCGGAGGAACACAGAGCCUAUGUUGUGUUUACCAGCGUGGCUGAUGACAGGCGCAACAGACGACAACAACAAGAAGAAGUGCAGGCAGUGGCCUCCAAUACUCCGGAUUUCAUGCAUUGGUCUGAGAAGCCUAUCAGUUGGAGCAGGGCCGACCACCCGGAAGUGAUGCCUUCCCCUGGUUCGUAUGCCCUGGUCUUAGAAGCAACCCUUGCAAUGGAGAGGCGGGCUGCCUGUUCCUCCAGAAUCUUGAUAGAUGGCGGCAGCAACAUCAAUAUCCUGUACCGCGAUACAAUGGAGAAAUUGGGAAUCAAGCAGAAGCAACUCACCCCCAUUCGGACUAUUUUCCAUGGCAUAGUCCCCGGCCUUUCUUGCUCACCAAUCGGCAAGACUCAGAUUGAUGUCCUCUUUGGAGACAAGAAUCACUUCCGCCAAGAGUCGGUCUGGUUUGAAGUGGUGGACCUUGAAACCCCUACCAUGCGCUGCUAGGCCGGCCUGUUCUAGCCAAGUUCAUGGCGGUCCCCCACUACGCCUACCUCAAGAUGAAGAUGCCGAGUACCAAGGGAAUCCUGACAGUAGUCGGAGACUACAAGAGAUCGAUCGCUUGCGCGGCAGAUAGCAGCUGGCUGGCCGAGUCCCUCGUGAUUGCUGCUGAGAAGCGGCUCCUUGACCGAGUGGUGGCACUGGCAGGCAAGAAGCCGGAAAUGUCACCCACCCCCCAGGAGUCGGAGGUUGAGGGCUCGUUCAAGCCGGCCAAGGAAACAAAGAAAAUACCCUUGGACCCGGAGCACCCGGAGAGGCACGUUGUCGUAGGCACAUGCCUUGACAGCAAAUAGGAAAGCGAGCUUGUCGAUUUCCUCCGUGAGAAUCGGGAUAUCUUUGCAUGGUCUCCCAAAGACAUGCCGGGUGUUCCGACGUAUUUCGCCGAGCACAAGCUACAUGUCCGACCUGACGUCAAGCCGGUCAGGCAGCCCUUGCGCCGCCUGUCAGAAGAGAAGAGUUGUCGGAGAAGAGAUAGCCCAGCUCCUAGCAGCCGGAUUCAUUAUGGACGUAUUCUUUCCAGAGUGGCUGACCAACCCAUUCCUAGUGUUGAAAAAGAACAAGCAGUGGCGCAUGUGCAUUGACUACACCAGCCUCAACAAAGCCUGCCCCAAAGAUCCCUUUGCUCUGCCAAGGAUUGAUCAAGUAAUAGACUCCACAGCCGGAUGCGAGCUGUUGAGUUUCUUGGAUGCAUACUCCGGGUAUCACCAGAUAAAACUGAACCCAGCCGACAGGCUAAAGACCGCCUUCAUCACGCCAUUUGGAGCCUUCUGCUACCUGACCAUGACGUUCGGCUUGAGAAACACCGGCGCCACGUUCCAGCGUUGCAUGCAGAAGUGCAUCCUCAAGCAACUCGGCAGAAAUGCCCACGUAUAUGUGGAUGAUGUGGUGGUGAAGACGGAGAAGCAUGGCACGCUGCUGGAGGACCUCAAGGAAACCUUUGAGAACCUACGCUGAUUCCAGAUCAAGCUCAACCCGGAGAAAUGUGUCUUUGGAGUACCAGCCGGCCAGCUCCUCAGUUUCCUGGUCUCAGAGCGCGACAUAGAGUGCAACCCCAUGAAGAUCAAAGCAAUUGAGAUGAUGACAGUGCCCACCCGACUGUUGGACAUGCAGAAAUUCACCGGCUGCUUGGCGUCAGUCAGCCGUUUCAUCAGUCGGCUGGGCGAGAAGGCCCUUCCCCUAUACCAACUCAUGAAGAAGACCACUUUUUUUGAGUGGAACGACAAGGCGGACAAAGCUUUUCUCCAGCUCAAGAAGAUGUUGGCAACCCCGCCUAUCCUGGCGGCUCCGAUUGAGAUGGAGCCCAUGCUCCUCUACAUUGCAGCCACCAGCCGGGUUGUCAGCAUAGUCAUGGUGGUAGAGCGCAAGGAGAAGGACAAAGCAUUGCCGGUCCAGAGACCGGUGUAUUACUUGAGUGAAGUAUUGUCCGCCUCCAAGCAAAACUACCCCCACUACCAGAAGAUGUGUUACGGCGUGCACUUUGCCGCCAAGAAACUGAAGCCCUACUUUCAAGAGCACCCAAUAACUGUUGUCUGCACAGCUCCACUUGCUGAGAUUAUUGGGAGCCGAGAUGCUUCUGGCCGAGUGGCCAAGUGGGCUAUUGACCUGCCCUCCUACACCAUCUACUACCAGCCUCGCACCGCCAUCAAAUCACAAGUGUUGGCCGACUUCCUCGUCGAUUGGGCCGAGACCCAAUAUUUGCCGCCUGCGCCAGACUCCACUCAUUGGCGGAUGCAUUUCGAUGGCUCGAAAAUGCACACUGGCCUGGGAGCCGACAUCGUCCUCACCUCUCCCAAAGGCGACAAGCUCAAAUACAUGUUGCAAGUCCACUUCGCCGCCUCCAACAACAUAGCAGAGUAUGAGACACUCAUACAUGGGCUCCGACUUGCCAAGGAACUCGGCAUCCGCCGGAUCCUGUGCUAUGGUGACUCCGACUUGGUGGUCCAGCAGUCGUCAGGCGACUGGGAUGCCAAGGAUGCCAACAUGGCAAGCUACCGCUUCCUCGUGUAGCAACUCAGCGGAUACUUUGAUGGGUGCGAGUUCCUUCACGUGCCAAGAAAUGACAACGAGCAAGCAGAUGCUUUGGCACAGAUUGGUUCCACCCGACAAGCAAUACCAGCCGGCGUCGCCCUACGCCGCCUUCUGAAGCCGUCUGCAAGCCGUCUCCUGAUUUAGACUCCAUCUUUGUGCCGGCCCCUCCCGAAGCAGUCAGAUCCGACUUGAGGGCCCCAGAAGCCGGCACGGGGAUCUCGACAAGCGGCCCGGGGACUGCUACAGCCGCGCCCGACGCGGGGACUUCAGAACCCGGCCCGGGGACUUCAGCAGUCGGCCCCGGGACUUCUCCAACACAGCAGGCGGAAGCAGCUGCCAACCCGCCGCCUCCCCUCCCAGCCGCCCUCAUUCAAGUUGCAGUAGUCGCAGUCGAAGAAAUUGUGGCGCCCUCAUGGGCCCAGCCAAUCCUCAAGUUCUUGGUGAAUAAAGAGCUGCCAACCGAUGAAGUCUCAGCCCGACAGGUGCAGAGGCGAGCUGCAGCUUACACCAUAGUCAACAGAGAGCUGGUGCAACGAAGUGUAACAGGGGUUUAUCAGCGGUGUGUGGAGUCGGAUCAAGGCCAAGCAAUACUCAGAGAUAUCCACCAGGGCAAGUGCGGCCACCAUGCGGCUUCAAGAUCACUUGUGGCCAAGGCUUUCCGUCACGGGUUCUUCUGGCCGGCCGCCUUGGAAGAGGCAAAAGAGCUAGUUCAGAAGUGUCAAGGGUGCCAGAGGUUCCGCUCCAAGCCACACCUGCCGGCUUCUGCACUCAAGACCAUUCCCAUAGCCUGGCCCUUUGCUGUAUGGGGACUGGAUAUGGUGGGACCAUUCAAGAUGGCCCGCGGUGGCAUGACUCACUUGCUUGUUGCUGUGGACAAGUUUACCAAGUGGAUAGAGGCAAAACCAAUCAAGAAGCUGAAUGGGCCGACUGUCGUGACUUUCAUCGCCGACAUCACCAUGCGAUAUGGCAUCCCACACAGCAUCAUCACCGACAACGACACCAACUUCGCCAAGGGGGCCUUGGCCCGUUUCUGUGCAACAAAGGGCAUCCGCCUGGACUUAGCGUCCGUUGCCCACCCACAGUCAAACGGCCAAGUGGAACGUGCAAACGGCCUCAUUUUGUCCGGCCUCAAGCCCCGACUAGUCGAGCCUCUGGAGCGCUCAGCCGGCUGCUGGCUCAACGAGCUGCCGGUCGUCCUCUGGAGCCUGCGCACAACUCCAAACAAGUCAACAGGCUUCACGCCUUUCUUCCUCGUCUAUGGUGCCGAAGCCUUCAUCCCGAUGGAUAUUGAGUUUGACUCCCCAAGAGUCACCAUGUACACUGAGGCGGAUGCCAAGGAGGCACGAGAAGAGGGCGUCGACUUGCUGGAGGAAGGCCGGCUGUUGGCACUCAGACGGUCGACCAUCUACCAGCAGAGUCUGCGCCGAUACUACAACCGCAAGGUGAAGCCAAGGUCCUUCCUGGAGGGAGACCUUGUGCUCCGUAUGAUCCAGCGAACAGCCGGACAGCACAAGCUCUCGGCACCUUGGGAAGGCCCUUUUAUCAUCAGUAAGGUGUUGGGCAACGAUGCCUACUAUAUGAUCGAUGCCCAGAAGCCCAGAGCGCGCAAGAGGGAUGAUUCAGGCAAGGAGACGGAGAGGCCAUGGAACGCAAACCUCCUCCGAAGGUUUUACAGUUGAAAGCAGUAUGUAUCACGCUACCUUUUGUACUAUGUAUAAAGACUCCGGGUCCCCCGAGAAGAGCUCGGGGACUGCCCCCCUUUUAUCUAUAUGAUAUGCGUCAUAUGCAUGAGAAUGUGUAGUCUAUCCUUUCCGCCUGGCACCGGGUCCGACCAGUCGGCCCGGAGCCUCGCCGCCUUCUACAAUAUGCCGCCUCCUGCAGCCGGACAAGUAGUGUGCCGACACCAAAAACUCCCUUUGUCAGAAGCCACAGCUCGCAGAGCGACUGCAUGGCGGGCAAAGGUUGCAAAGAGGUGCCCCACACAAAAGAACGACUAAGGGAAAGCACGCAUAUAGUAGAGGGCGGCAUCACACUUAGCCGCCUGGCUGCUUGGCAGCCAGACGGACGGCCUCCGCCUCUAUUACCAAAAAACUCUGAAUGGCUAAGCCCUAGCCCCCCUCACCAAUGGAUAGAAUGCUGAAAUCAGCCACGGUCCGUAGAGCGGCCGGCCGGCUGGUGAAAGCAAAGCCAAAGGGUUGGCGGCAAAGGAAAAUAGCCAAGGAGAAAAAGGGAAAAAGACUAGAGGUCGGCACAGCAAGCAUGAGCAAUGAUAAAUAUUUACACGGAUAAAGGCCUCCGGCCAGCAUUCAAACAGAGUUUUGACAUACACCCCGAGGGUGGAAUUGCGCGAAUUUAACAAAAAAGUUCAGAACGACAAGCGGAAAGCAGAUAAGCCCUAAGGAGCAGUAGAAGACUCCGGCUGGGCAGUGCCGUUUGGUGCAGCAGAAGACUCUAGCUGGACGGUGCCGGCUGGUGGGGCAGAAGGCUCCGGCUGGGCGGUGCCGGCCGAUGGGGCAGAAGGAUCCGGCUGGUUGGUGCCGACUGGAGUGGCCAAGGACUCUGGCUGGACGCUGGAGUCGGCCGCACCACCUGGCGCGGCAGGCGGCUCCGUCUGGACGGAGGGAUCGCCAGCAGCAGGCAGGACGACGGAGGACUGGAGGACGGAGUCGCCGGCAUCCGUCGAAGGAACGGGUGGCUGGUCGGUCCCCACCUGGCCACCUCUAGUAGCAGGUGGCACCUCGGCGCGCGACUCAUUGCUUGAGGCCCUGUCGGGCUGGGGCUGACCGUCCGCCCCGACUUCCGGCACCUCGUCUUCCUCCUGCUCUUCCUCUCCGUCCUCCCCUUCGUCGCUAGAGUCGAUGACUUAUGCCGAAUCCUCGCUGUCCUCCGGGUUUAGCCCGGGCCACUCGUGCGGAGCUUCACCGCCUUCCUCGACCACCUCCGGGACAAAGACACUGGUGUCGGUGAAGUCGGCGAUCGCCGCCGCCCUGUUGAUAAGCUCAGCUUCCACCGCCACAAGCUCCUCCUGCGCCUCCAGUCGGAACGUGGCUAACUGGGCUAGAUCUAGCCCAGGGUACCACGCCUUGACGAAUUCCAAGGCCUGGUGCGCCCCUGCCCGGGCUGCUGAGCCUUUCCAGGCUUCCAGGAGACCGACCGCCACUUCUAGCCAGUCGACAGUCCGACCUGGGGUGCGCGGAGCUGGCAAGCCUGGCCAGAGGGCGGAGACCGCCUGGGCUCCAAUGCGCUGGAGGCGGCAUAGCAAGCAGUGAGCAGGCCGAAGCCGGGCGUGAAUGCUGAGGACUUGUUCGCCAAAAGUCCACGGGGCGUCCGCGGCGAUCUGCGCCCCCUCCGCCCUUCACUCCUCGCGCUGGGCCUCGAUCAUUUGGAUCACGGCCACAGCAUGGCCCGGGAAGAAAUCUAUCCAGGCAGAAGAAGGAAAAGGCCAAGGCCAUAAGCAAAGGCCGAUAGCUCAACACAACAAACCAAGAAAAAAAGGCUUACCAUCGACCAAGUCUUCGAUGCUGCUGAAGCAGGCCGUCACCUGGACCUCCUUGUCGGCCCAGGCAGAGCGCUCGACCUCAAACUCGGCGACGAGACUGGUCUCCAUCGUCUCCGCCUUUAGUUGGGCCGCCUUGAGGGUUUCCGCUUGCUCGGCAAGUUGGGCGACCAGACGGUCCCGCUCCUCCGCCAGCUUGCCGCACUCCGCCUCCUUGCCACGCAGGGCGGUGUUGGCUUCGCCCAGCUGCUGCUACAGGGUGGCGUUGGCCUCUGAAGAAAGAAAAAGAAGGAGAAAGCAUCAGUCAAGAGGACGAGGCAAAGGAAAGAAACAACCAAGGAGAUUCGGCCCGACUGCUCAGCAGUCGGCCCGAACCUCGGGGACUACAGCCCGCGGGUGCGCCAGCACGCCCCCGCGGAAAAUAAGUAGUUUGCAAAGGAAAUAAAAAACCGAGGAGAUUCAGCACGACUACUCAGCAGUCGGCCCGAACCUCGGGGACUACAGCCCGCGGGUGCGCCAGCGCGCCCCCGCGGAAAAGAAGCAGUUUGCAAAGGAAAGAAAAAACCAAGGAGAUUCGGCCUGACUGCUCAGCAGUCGGCCCGAACCUCGGGGACUACAGCCCGUGGGUGCGCCAGCGCGCCCCCGCGGAAAAGAAGAAGUUGGCAGAGGAAAGAAACAACUAAGGAGAUUCGGCCCGACUGCUCAUCAGUCGGCCCGAACCUCGGAGACUACAGCCCGCGGGUGCGCCAGCGCGCCCCCGCGAAGAAUGAAGAAGGAAACUUACGCCGGCUCUCAGCCAAAUGGGCCGUCUGCGCCUCCAGCUCCUGGACCUUGGAGUUGUAGGCAGUCGCGCGGAAGUUGUGAUAAUCCUGAAGAAGAGACAUCAAAAGAAGUCAGUAGUCGAUAGUCGCAAGAUGAAGUUCCGAUCCGCCUGCUCAGCAGCCGGCCCGGAACUUAGGGACUACACCCAGUGGGUGCGCUUGUGCGCCCCCACAAGAGAAGCAAAAAAGAUCAUUCGAAGAAAAAGAGCCAAGGAAACUUACGCGGAUGGCAGUGCACGACUCCAAGUAGGCCUCGUUGCAGUGCCUAAGGGCCUCCCCCUCCGCCCGGAGCUUGGCCUGGACGUCAAGAGACGCCUUGUUCAGGGCACCAGUCCCGUCCCCGUGUAUCCAGCCUACGGGCGCGGCGUUGGUCACCUCGGUAUCAGGGGCCGACGAGCUUGCAGCGCCAUCCGCCUGUGGCCGCGGCGCUGAGGCCGCCUUCUCCAGAUGGCGACGCGCGGGUUGACGGACCGCAAGGAUCAGGUCCGUCACCAUCGUACUUACGACCGGUGGUGCCACCGGCUGCUUGUCCCGCGGCUCGCUGGCUGGCGGGGGCGGCGGGGGCGGGGGUGGUGGCACAAAGAUGUCUGGCAUGGCCACGUCGCCGCCUUCCCGCCCCUGGAUCGGGUAGUCGCCGCCUGCUCCUCUGGCCGUCACCUCGAAUUCAGGCGGAGGCGGCAUGGUAUUCAGGGGCGCCACAAGCAGCGGCUCUCGGCGGCGUGCGGCCUCCGCGAGCUGCUCCCUCUCUGCGGCCUAAGCUUCCGCCUGCGCCAGCACCCUCUCGGCGGACGCGGCGGACAAGGCCGCCUGCUCCCUGGCCAGGCGGUCGGCCUCUUCUUCGCGCGCCUCCCGCGCGUUCCACUCUGUCGCCUCCCGGAGGUCGGCAGCCGGGUCGAUGCGCCGACUGGUCGAGGAGGUCGUUGCCGACCUGAGGACCGAGGCGGCGCCGGACUUCUCGAGGGUUAGCGGGGCCUUGAAACAAGAAAACAAGUUGGAAGGCUUUCACACCAGAAUGACAAAAAUACAAGGAGUGAAGGGAGGAUACUUACGCCGACACCAUAACAGGCACCUUCGGCCGCCUCUGAUACUGGGCCGCCUUGGCCGCGGUUUCUUUCCGCCUGGUCGCCGCGGUCGAGUUCUUGGGCUUCUUCGGAGCGCUGCCGAACAGGGUCGCACCCUGUUUCCGCUUGCACUUGCCGCCUUGAGCGGGUGGUCCAGAAGAGGGGCCGGCGCUGGUGGUGGCGGAGCUUCGGGCAGGGCGCGACUCGUCUUCAUCUUCGUCGUCAUUAGGCCAAGCCUCCAUGCCGCCGCCUCCCUCGGAGCCGCCUGCUCCACUACCGCCGUCCGUUCUGCCCCUGCCGCCUAUCGCGUCGUCAACCAGGGCGGCUGCCCCCAAGUCGGGGUCGUCCAGAUCGCUCUCCACCCUGUCCGCCUGGAGGGCAUCACCCGGCCCCAGGAGGGCGGCCGUCGCCUCGGACAUAUAAAUCUGCAACCAAGGAGGGUGGCGUCAUAAAGAGAAACGAAGCUGAAGGAAACGGUUCCAAAGACCAAGUAAAGAGACUUACAGUCGGGGGAGGGUUGUGGCGGGAGUAUGGCCGCUUCCCGUACCGCCACUCCACCUCCGACACCUUGAGGUCGGAGAUCUCGUUCACCAUCUGCGAAACUUCAGCAGGCGGCAUCCCCUUCGUGCACAGUCGGCACGGAUCGCGAUGUCCGCCCAUCCGGAAGAUCGGAUGAGGGCGGCUCUGGAGCGGGAGGACCCGGCGCUCGACGAAGGCAAUGAGGAGGUCGGAGGCUACGAGGCCCUCCGCCUCCUGGAGCACUCGGAGUCGGCCGAUGGCGGCCCCGCGUCCGCCGACACUGGCUUUGGCUUGUACUUCCAGGAAGUGCGAGCUCCAGUGGGAGGGCCGGCCUCGUAGGCCGGCCGGUUGAGGAAGUCGGCAGCCGGGUCCACGUUCUCGAUGUAGAAAUCGGACUGCUGCCACAUCUUCACCGACUGCGCCAGCUUGAUGACGGGGAAGGCGUUUCGCUUCGCCGGCUGGUGCACGGCGACGAAGCCCCCGCACUCAGCCGCCAUCUCCUUGGUGGAGGUGCCGAGCUUUCCAUAGAAGAAUGCUCCCCACAGCUCGAUUGUGGGGAGGAUGCCGAGGUAGCCCUCGCACGCCGUGACGAAGGCGAAAAGCAGAGUCACGACGUUGGGCAUGAGGUGGUGAGGUUGAAGAUUGUAGAAGCUGAGGAAGGAGCGAAAGAAGUCACUCGCCGGGAGGCCGAAGCCGCGCAGGAAAUGCGAGCAGAAGACGACCCACUCGCCUUCCUGCGGCACCCGCGCCUUGAUGAAGGCCGCGCUAGGCAUCCGGCGCGUGUCGCGGAGGAAGGAGAUGUGAUCCUCGAUCACCGUCAAUCCGUCCCAGUCGCCCAUGGCUUCGGCUGGCGGCACAGAGAGGAGAAACACGCCGGCGGUGGGCAACGGUGGCGGCGAUGGGGCAGCAGUAGGAGCGGAGGAUGAGAAGAGGAAGAAGAUGAGUGGGAGGGGGCGCCAGAGCUCUGCCGCACCUUCCCCUCUCCCUACUUAUAGCGCCCGGGCUGUGAAGCCGAGGGGACGGGAUGUGGGGUCGUGGGAUUAACUGCGCCCACGUCCCCUCGACCCCCGUUUCCCGCACGCAUUUACCACGUCAUAAAAGAUCGUGGGAAAAGCAACUGCCCCCUUCGGCGCAGUGGAUCAGCCCGGUCGCCGAGGCACGGUAGUGGCGGGCCCGGUCCUGUGUCACGCCUCGUCUGAAACGUGGGGUGGCAGGCUGACCCGGCUGACAUGCGCCGCAUGGCGCGUCCGUGGCGGGUGGCGGCCUGGGAAGCUUAGCAGGCACGCCACCUAGACUCCCGCCCUGAAGUUCAAAAAACCAACAGUACGAAUUCUGCCUGCUAGGCUGGUGGCAUAGCAGGCCGGCACCUUCCCGGAGCCCGGUGAGGGUGGAAGCCGCUGAGGCUUCACAGCCCCUCGACCGCGGCGCCUCACCGGCUUCGGGGACUACUGUCGGAGUAAUGGGCCACGGGUAGGCUCACCCGAGUCCCAUGAUUUAUCAAGACAUUUGGGCCAGCUCCGCCUAGCUGGGCCCCAAGCCGAAGCUCCGCCCUCUGAGGUCAGCUGGCUCAGCGGCCGGCUGCCAGAGGGCGGUCGACCCAAGACUACGAUGCUCCGGGUGACCGGCUCCUGGCGUUCGCCCUCCAGAGAGGGCGGCUACAAGCAGGCGGCUACCUCACGACUACGGGGCGGCUGUGCUCCCAUCAAGAAUACAAGGCAAAGCAUGGCUACAGUGAAGCACGUCGCCUCCCACGCUCGAGACAGGCAUGGCUACAGUGCUCCGUACAGACGGAGAUCUCCGCACGAGGAGCACUGUGCCGUAUCUACCCUGACGUUGCCCCGAGCAGGCGGAGCCCUGUCCCCCACGACGGCAUGUCGGUACGGCCCGCCAAAGGCGGGCCCUAUCGGACAGUGACCCUAAGGAAGACGGCGGAAGCUCGACCAAGCGGAUGAGAGAGGGGCCGGCCUCCAGCAGGCGGCCGUCCCUUGUCCCGAGGCGAGCAUGCCAUUAAGCUGAUAAGACCAGGUGUGGCUACAGUGUCCUCCCACCAGGCGGUGGGACUGUAGCCACGCUAAGAUGACCAAGCCCCCGUCACUAAAGACACGGUACAGUGAACAGCCACCAACCAGUCGGCAGGGCCCACCAGGCAGCGGGCCCCAGCGGUCGGCGGAGAAGCCAGAGGCUGGAGACACUGAUAGCCGGGCCUAGCAGCCGACCAGAUUACCAUUGUACCCCUGGGGGGUAGGCCUAUAUAAACCCCCAGGCCACCCAUGCAAAGGGUUCCCACUCCAUUAGAACUAGCCACCCCCCUAGAGCAGGAAGAGAGCGAGCCUUGCCUCCUUUUACCUCUAGCGCACAGCUCGAGGAGCACCAUUGUAUCACUUGUGCCUUAGUGAUCAUGCGGAGACCCCACAGAGCAGGACUAGGGGUGUUAUCUCCUAGGAGAUCCCCGAACCUGGGUAAAGUACGCUGGCGUUCGUGUCUACGCCUUAUCCCGCUUCCAGGCACCGGCGACAUUCUACUCGCUCCCACCAUGAUAAGCCAUCCUUUGGCAUAUGUCACAUCCAACCCCCGACACCUAUACUCAUUAAAGUCAAUCAAGCAGCAUGUAGGGUAUUAUCUCAUCAAGAGAGCCCGAAGCUGGGUAAAAUCCCAUGUUCAUGUUACUAUCGAUCCUAAGACGCAUAGCUUGGGACCCCCUACCCGAGAUCCGCCGGGUUUGACACCGACACCCAUGGCACCCCAAGGAAUAUCCAAGGAGAAACAAUCAACUAAGCUUGGGGAUGCCCCGAGUGGCAUCCCCUCUUUCUUCUAACGGCCAUCGGUAUUUUACUUGGAUCUAUAUUUUUAUUCGUCACGUAUCAUGAGUUUGGCUUGGAGUGUCUUGUAUUAUAUGACUAUUUGCUUGUUUUCCUUUUUGUUUUGUGUCAAGUAUCCUUGCUACACCUAUUAGAGAGAGCCAAAAUUAUGCUAUGAAUUGUUAGAAUUGCUCUAUGUGCUUCACUUCAAUUUUUUGAGCUAUGGAAUUGCUCUAGUGCUUCACUUAUAUCUUUUUGAGAACAAUGUGCUUUAAUACUUUUGAAGAAAUUAUGUCAUGUUUCACUUAGAUUUAUUUAGUAAUUUUUGAAUAUAUUCUCUCAUGCUUCACUUAUAUUAUUUUGAGCGACAAUUGUUUUAUGCUCAUGUUCUUCACUUAGAUUUGUUUGAGCUAUCAAAAGCAGCAUAUGAAACUAGUCCCAAAGUGAUAGAUAUUCAAGAGGGAUAUAAUAAAAACUUUCAUGAAGAUCAUUGGACAAAUUAAACUUGAUUCUUAAUAGUUUUGUGAUAUGAUGAUAGUGAUAUGUGAGUCAUGUUGAUGACUAAUUGUGCUUUAGUAAGAAUAUUGAUGUUAAGGUUUGUGAUUCCCUAUGCAAGCACGAAAGUCAAUAGUUAUGCAAUGAAACUACAUCCUACUUGUGGUGCAUUAUUCGGUGUUAGUUAUGCUUAAUGCUCACUUAUGAGAGUUUUCAUUUCUUGGUUGGAUGCUUCCCAAUCUUUUUGCUAGCCUUCACUUGUACUAAGUAUAAAUACUACUUGUGCAUCCAAAAUCCUUAAACCCAGUUUUGCCUUAUGAGUCCACUAUACCUACCUAUAUGUGGUAUUUCCGUGCCGUUCUAAGCAAAUUUUUAUGUCCCAUCUCUAAUUUUCAAAAUAAAUUUCCUUUUUUGUGUGCUCGUACCGCUCAUGAAACGGUAGGGGGUGGCUAUAUUUUUCCAUGCUAGAUGUGUUAUUCUCAAGAUGAGUGUUUAUUCACUUGUCAUUGCACGAGAGUACGGAAAAGGUAUUAGGGAUGCCUAGUCCCGAAAUGAAAAAUGAAUUUACUUUAUGUUUUCAAAUAAUAAAUUUCUUGGAAAGUGUUGGUAUGGAUGGCACCCGUGGAUACGACUAGUCAUGGAAUGUGAAAGCAUGGUGGAAAAAGGAAAAAACUUUAUUAUCUGUUUGGGAACCGCCUAUGAUAUAUCUAGCAUGAAAAGUAUUGGGAACUACUCGAUCAUUUUCGUUGACAGGAAAAACAUGCCACCCAAAAUCUUUCAUCUCUAUUUCUUUUGCUUUGAGCUCUGGCACCUCCAUGAAUCCCUACUUCCCUCUACUAAGGGCCAUUCUAUUUACUUUAUGCGAUUUUUAUUUUUAUUUGAAUCUCCAUCUUCUCUUACAAAGCACCAACUAAGGGGCACUAUGAUCGUACUUGAGCAUGGGGUGUAGCUAAUAUGUGAGUGUGUUUCAUGAAUGGAUCAAUGAUUGAGCAUAAUGGGCUAGGGAUAAGUUGCUUUAGUGUUGAUAUUUUGAAAUACAUGGUUGCUUGUUGAUAUGCUCGAGUAUUGAAAUCUUCAUGUCAAAACUAGACUAUUGCUUUGAACCAUGUAAAUUGCAAAGUCUUAUAGAUGAUAAUAGCCUUGAUAUUGAAUUUGCAAAUUUGGAUAGUAACAUUCCUAGGUACACUCAAGAUGAAGAAGAAGGUUAUAAUUUCCUUGUUGAUCCAUAUCCUCUUUGUUUCAAAAAUAUUAUCAAAUUACAGCUACUGAUCUUUCAGGCAUCUCAGCUGAACUAUGUGCAUCGGUACUCGCCAAAGAGCGAGGAUGAAUUUACUUAUAUGAUGUCGAUGCAACGUAAGCAAGUGCAACUCCGACCGAGCCCUACUAUUAGGUGCUCCAAACCUCGGUAGGAGUCUGGCCUCACACUCGGGGUAGAUAUCCCUUGGCAUCCGGGUGGAUGACCUUACGAAGCACCGAAGCCUAGCUAUAUGGCUAUAAACAAAGCACUGCCUGGGAGGUAACUGGGAAGUUCGUAGGUGUCUUUCUUAGCUUGGUGUCUUGAGUCUAGAUGCAUUCAUGAUUGCAUUGGCACUUCUAUUUUUGCUUUGAGUAGUUGCUAUUUGAGUUGGUUGCAAUAGUUUCCAUUGGUAAAACUUAUAGCAUGUCGGUAGCCUAUUUUUGUUGCAUACCUCCUCCUAUUUUUAUUGCAAUAUUGCUAUGUGCCUAGCAUGAGGAGGAAGCACAAGAAAUUUCAUGAAGUUCUGCAGGUCCAGGAGAAAAAAUGAUAUUACAUUACAUUCAUGAAUUUCCUGAAGUCUUGAAGGUAAUGAUAUGCACCCAGGUGUAACGAGAGAAAUCGUCAACUAUGACGAAUCCAUAGAGCGAUGCUGCAUUGGCUAGUGUGGCAUAAUGUGUAGGACCAAACAUAUCCAUAUGAAGUAAUUCAAAGGGACGAGUAGUGGUUGGUACGUCUCCAACGUAUCUAUAAUUUAUGAAGUAUUCAUGCCAUGCUUACAACUAUUUUAUAUGGUUUUGGUAUGAUUUGUAUGGAACAAACCCGGAGUGAUGCUAUUUGACGAUUUUUUGGGAACAAAAGAGGCACUAGAAGCUUCGUGCGCACGGGGGGGGGAUACAUCUCCAACUUAGAAAAUCAAUACCAAACGGAGUCCAAAUGCAACGAAACUUUUUGGGCCAAAGAAGUACCAGAGGAGGGGCUCCGAGGGGAGCACAACCCACCUGGGCACGCCCUGGUGGGUUGUGCCCACCUUGACCGCCUCCCCCACCACCUCUUUGCUCUAUAAAUACUCCAAAAAUCCAAUAACCCUAGGGGAGUUGACGAAACACAAUUCCAGUCGCCGCAAGUUCCAGAACCACCAGAUCCAAUCUAGACACCAUCACAGAGGGGUUCAUCAUGCUCAUUGGUGCCUCUUCGAUGUUGCGUGAGUAGUUCAUUGUAGACCUACGGGUCCGUAGUUAGUAGCUAGAUGGCUUCUUCUCUCUCUUUUGAUUCUCAAUACAAUGGUCACUAGGAGAUCUAUUUGAUGUAACUCUUUUUGCGGUGUGUUUGUUGGGAUCCGAUGAGCUUUGAGUUUAUGAUCAGAUCUAUUUUAUCCAUGAAAGUUAUUUGAGUCUUCUUUUGAUCUCUUAUAUGCAUGAUUACUUAUAGCCUCGUAUUUCUUCUUUGUAUCUUUGCUUUCGCUAGGCUGACUAGAUCAAUUAUUCUUGCCUUGGGAAGAGGUGCUUUGUGAUGGGUUCAGUCAUGCGGUGUUCUUUCCCAGUGACAGAAGGGGCAGUAAGACACGUAUUGAUCGUUGCCAUUAAGGAUAACAAGAUGGGGUCUAUUCCUACUUGAAUAGAUCUUGUCUACAUCAUGUCAUCGUUCUUAUUGCAUUACUCCAUUUCUCCAUGAACUUAGUACACUAGCUGCAUGAUGGAUAACUGUCGAUGUGUGGAGUAAUAGUAGUAGAUGCAGGCAGGAGUCGGUUUACUUAUCUUGGACGUGAUGCCUAUAUAAUGAUCACUGCCUGGACAUCAUCAUAAUUAUUUGAAGUUCUAUCAAUUUCCCAACAGUAAUUUGUUUACCCACCUUAUGUUAUUUUCUCGAGAGAAGCCACUAGUGAAAUCUAUGGCCCCCGGUCUAUUUUCUCAUCAUAUAUUUUCAGAUCUAUAUUGUUAUUUGCCUUUUUAUUUAUUUACAUCUUUUAUUUUCAGAUCUAUAUUAUCAAACACCCAAAAAUAUCUCGCUGAAUUUUAUUUGCCGUUAUUUGCAUCUACCAAUCUACCACAAUUUUUAUCCCGUCAACAUGACAAUUUCUGGCACCGUUAUCCGAAUGGGAUUGACAACCCCUUUUACACGCCGAGUUGCAAGUAUUUGUUCUUUGUGUGCAGGUACCAUUUACAUAGUGUUGCUUGGUUCUCCUACUAGUUCAAUAACCUUGGUUUCAUAAUGAGGGACCUACCGAAGCUGUGCUGCAUCAUCCCUUCCUAUUUGGGGAAAUACCGACGUAGUUCAAGCGACAUCAGGGGGCAGAAGGUGAAGGAUGUGAGCACAACCCACCAUGGCGCGCCUGGUGCCUUACCCGUGUGGUGGUGUCUUAUGGGCCCCUUGAAGCCCAUGUUCUCGUGAAUCCAACGCCAGAAAAUCCUAUAAAUACAAAACCCCCCAGAAAUAACCCUAGAUUGGAAGUUCCGCUGCCGCAAGUCUCUGUAUCCCCGAAAAAUCAAUCUGGACCCUGUUCCGGCACCCUUCCAGAGGGGGAAAUCAUCACCGGAGGCCAUCUUUAUAAUCCCUGCAGCCACCAUGAUGAGGAGGGAAUAGCCCACCCUCGGGGAUAAGGGUUUGUACUAGUAUCUAUGUGUUUAAUCUCUCUUUCUCUCUCAUGCUCUUCUUUUGGCAUGACCUUGAGUUUUCACGAGCUUUGUUAAUAUAGUAGGAUCAUAUGGUGCUUUCCCCUCUCUAUCUUUUUGUGAUGAAUUGAGUUUUCCCUUUGAUAUUUUGUUCUUAGCAGAUUGAACACUUUUAUGGAUUUGAGAACACUUGAUGUAUGUCUUGCUAUGAAUAUCCCUGGUGACUAUGGUGUAUCAUAUUGAUUCACUUGAUAUGUGUUUCUGCACUCAAUUGGCAGAUUCCCGAGGUGACAUUGGGGUAAUCUAUGCAUAGGGGUUCAUGCAUGUUCUCGUCUUUGUUUCUCUUGUAGAAAUAUUGGGGAACUCUUUGAGGUUCUUUGUGUUGGAUUGGGUAUUAUGAAUCUAAAAUUGUUUGACGCGUUUCGUAUAAUUAACUCAUGGUUACUUGUGGUGACAUUGGAGUAUCUAGGUGACAUUAGAGUUGGUUGAAGCGUAUCAUAUGGUGUUAUUUUAGUACAAACUCUUGGAAAGAUUGAUCGGAAAGGAUAGCUUGGUGUUAUUUUAGUAUGAACUCUUGGAAAGAUUGAUCGGAGAGAAUAACUUUGAGGUGGUUUUGUACCCUACAAACAAUUUCUUCUUAUGUUCUCCCCUAGAUAGGAAUUUUGGAGUGAUUCUUCAUCGCACGUUGAGGGACUGUUAUGUGAUCCAAUUAUAUUAGCAUUGUUGAGAGAUUGCACUAGUGAAAGUACGAACCCUAGGCCUCACUUUAAAGCAUUGCAAUACCAUUUGUACUCACUUUCAUUACUACUUGCUACCUUGAUGUUUUUAUUUAUCCAGAUUAUAAAAAUAUAUUUCUACCAUCCAUAUUACACUUUUAUCACCAUCUCUUCGCCGAAGUAGUGCACCUAUAAAAUUUUCCAUUGUAUUGUGUGUGUUGGGGACACACGAGAUUUCUUGUAUUUGGUUGCAGGGUUGUUUGAGAGAGACCAUCUUCAUCCUACGCCUCCCACUGAUUGAUAAACCUUAGGUCAUCCACUUGCGGGAAAUUUGCUACUGUCCUACAAAACUCCGUGCUUGGAGGCCCAACACAAGUCUACAAGAACAAGUUGUGUAGUAGACAUCAAGCUCUUUUCUGGCGCCUUUGCUGGGGAGGUGAGUGCUUGAAGGUAUAUCUUUAGAUCUUGCAAUCAAAUCUUUUAGUUUCUUGUUUUAUCACUAGUUUGGUUUAUAAAAACAAAAGUACAAAAAAUGGAAUUGAGGUGGUCUCAUAUUGUUCAUCUUUAUAAUGUCUUUCUUGAAAAUGAUGGAUCAGAAAAUUGGACUCAACUGAUAGAAGAAGAAUUCAAUAAAAUGUUUGGCAUAAAAUCCAUGAAUGAUGAGCAUGAUUGCAAUGUUGCUAGUAUGAAUUCUUUGAAUAUCCGUGGUGCUAAUGAUAUGCAAAGCCAUAAUCUUGGGGAUGCUUUGUUUGAUGAAGAUGAUAUUUUUUGUCCCCCAAGUUUUGAUGAGCAAGUUUAUUAUGAUGAUAGCAUGCCUCCUAUUUAUGAUGAUUAUAAUUAUGAAAGUGGAUUUGGAGAGGUCAUAACUUUAUUUAAUGAUGAAUCCACUAUUUUGGAAGAGGUUUCAAUUGAUCAUGAUAACAAAGUUGCUAUCUAUGAUGAUUAUUGUGAUGACAUGUAUGCUAUAAAGAAUAAUGAUAGGCAUGAAAAUUGUCAUCAUGAUUUUUAUUUUCAUUUGGAUUAUGCCAAUCAAGUAUCCCAUGAUAGUUAUUUGGUUGAGUUUGCUCCCACUACUUUUCAUGAGAAUAAAUUUGCUUAUGUGGAGAGUAAUAACUUUUCUAUGCUUAUGGAUCAUGAAAAGAAUGCUUUAUGUGAUAGUUAUAUUGUUGAAUUCAUUCAUGACGCUACUAAAAAUUAUUAUGAGAGGGGAAGAUAUGCUCAUAUAUAUUUCAACAAUAUCAAGUUUCCUCUCUUUAUGUUGAAAGUUUUGAAGUUACACUUGUUUUACCUUCCUAUGCUAGUUGAUUCUUGUUCCUAUAAAUUGUUUGGUCACAAAAUCCCUAUGCAUAGGAAGUGGGUUAGGCUUAAAUGUGCUAGUCAUAUGCUUCAUUAUGCUCUUUGUGUGUUUCAAUUAUUAUCUUUUAUGUGAGCAUCAUUGAAAUCAUCAUGCCUAGCUAAAAAGGCAUUAAAGAAACACGCUUGUUGGGAGACAACCCAACAUUUACCCCUACUGCUUUUGUGUGUUCACAUGAUUAGUCUACUGUAGUAAUAUGUUUUAUAGCUUUUGUUUCAGUAAAGUGCCAAGUAAAGCCUUUGGGACAGUGUGGAUGAUAGUUGACUUGGUUCUGUGCACAAAGAGAAACUUUUGCGCUCAGUCCAAGAAUUUUCAAAAUUCAUUGGAACGUGCUUUUGAUCUAAUUUUUUUUACAGAUGAUUGAUAUAAAUUCCCUACAUUGUCCUAAUGUUUCAGAAUUUUUGGAGUAGCAGAAGUAUGAUCUUUGUUUAGAUUACUACAGAAGGUUCUGCUUUUGACAGAUUCUGUUUUCAAUGCAUAGUUUGCUUGUUUCCUAGUUUCUGUGGAUUAUAUUGCUCAAUAUAAAUUGUGGAAAUGAUAAGGUACAGUAGGCAUUGUGUGACAACAAUUAUGAAUCUUGUCUUGACAGUACUAAAGUGGAUGAUUUGUCUUUAUCAUACUAACACAUCUCACGAAGUUCCAUUAAGUUUUGUGUGAUUGAAGUUUUCAAGUUUUGGGUGAGAUAUCGAUAUGAGGAGAAUAAGGAGUGACAAGACCCUAAGCUUUGGGAUGCCCAAGGCACCCCAAAGGUAAUAUUCAAGGAAGAUCCAAGCAACUAAGCUUGGGGAUGCCCCGGAAGGCAUCCCCUCUUUCGUCUCCAACAGUAUCGGUAACCUCACUUGGAGCUAUAUUUUCAUUCAUCACAUGAUAUGUGUUCUGCUUGGAGCAUCAUUUUAUUUUGUUAGGAUUUGCUUGCUGUUAUUUAGAAUAUUGUUUUCUAUCUUUUACUUCAAUAAAAAUGUCAAGUAUAGCCUUUGCCAUGCUUAUUUUGCAAGUGUAUAUGUUCCUGUUUGAAAACAGAAAGUUGCACGCUAGUGCGUGAAUUCUUGAGAAAAGUCAUAAUGUGAUAAAAUGUUGAAACUUUUUGCACAAUAAGCUAUGAUAACUUUUCUACAGUGUGGUAUUCAUAUUUUUUGGAGUUAGAGAAGUAUGGAUCUUCUUGCAUCCUUUACAGACUGUCAUGUUUAGACAGAUUGCUGUUAUGUUUGCAUUGUUUGCAUAUGUUUGCUUGUUUAAUGAUUCUAUUUGAGGAUAGGAGUAUUAAAUAUGCAGAGGAAUACAAUAUGUAAUGUUAAAUAAUAAUUUAUUCAUUUGCUACAGUAGAGAAUGAUAAGGUUUUUGCAUUGAUUUAUACUAACUUAUCUCACGAGUUCUUGUUGAGUUUUGUGUGGAUGAAGUUUUUGAGAUUUAGGGAAACCUUGAUAUAAAAGGAAUUAAGGAUGCAAAAAAGAUCAAGCUUGGGGAUGCCCAAGGCAUCCCAAGAUAAUAUUUCAAGAAGUCUCAAGCAUCUAAGCUUGGGGAUGCCCCGGUAGGCAUCCCACCUUUCUUCAUCAACAAUUAUCGAUAACCUCGGUUGAGCUUAAGUUUUUGCUUCUUCACAUGAUGUGUGAUAUUCUUAGAAUGUCAUUUUAAUUUGUUUUGCUUGCUGUAUUAAUAAAAUACUUAGAUAUGGAAGUUUCUAAAUAAUAGUGAGUCCUCAAAUAGUUACUCAGUUACUUAACUACUCAUUUGAUCUUCACUUAUAUCUUUUUGGAGUAGUUUGUCGAACACUCUCAUGCUUCACUUAUAUUAUUUUGAGAGUUGAUAAUAGUGAUGACAAUUUGCACAAUCUAUGAAAUUGGUCCAAAGUGAUGAAUACCCAAGAAAGAUAUAAUAAAAACUCUCAUGUAGAUCAUUGGAUAUGAUAAGUUUGAUUCCUUGCAAUAGUUUUGCGAUAUGGAGAUAGUAAUAUGCAAGUAAUGUUGGUGAGUAAUUAUGCUUUAGUAAGAAUAUUGGUGUUAAGGUUUGUGAUUCUCUAUACAAGCACGGAAGUCAAUAGUUAUGCAAUGAAGUUACAUCCUACUUGUGGUGCAUUAUUUGGUGUUAGUUAUGUUUAAUGCUUGUUUAUGAUCAUUUUAGUUUCUUGGUUGGUUGCUUCUCAAUCUAUUUGAUUCAUACUAAAGUGGGAAUACUACUUGUGCAUCCAAAUUCCUUAAACCAAAUUGUUCCAUAUGAGUCCACCAUACCUACCUAUAUGCGGUAUUUCCUUGCCAUUCCAAGUAAAUUUGUAUGUGACAACUCUAGUUUUCAAGAUGAAUUUCCUUUUUGUGUGCUCGUACCGCUCAUGAAGCGGCAGGGGUGGCCAAUAUUUUUCCAUGCUACAUGUGUUAUUCUCAAGAUGAGUGUUUAUUCACCUGUCAUUGCAUGAGAGUGUGGUAGUAAUAGGGAUACCCAGUCCCGAAAUGAUAAAGAAAUUUACUUUAUGUUGUCAAAUAAUAAAUUCUUUGGAAAGUGUUGGUAUGGAGGGCACCCGUGGAUACAGUUAGCCAUGGAUUGUGAAAGAAUGGUGGAAAAAGAAAUAAAAUUUAUUUUAUGUUUGGGAACUUCCUAUGAUGUAUCUUGCAUGGAAAGUAUUGGGAAUUACUCGAUCGUUUUCGUUGACGGGAAAAGCAUGCCUCUCAAAAUAUUUUAUCUCUCAAUUUAAGCUUUGAGCUCUCGCACCUCUACAAAUCUCUACUUCCCUAUGUGAAGGGCUUAUCUAUUUAAUUUAUGCAAUUUUUAUUUUUAUUUUAGUCUCCAUCUUCUCUUAUAAAGCACCAACUAGGGAGAACUAUGAUCAUACUUGUGCAUUGGAUGUAGCUAAUAUUUGAGUGUGUUUCAUGAAUGGAUCAAUGAUUGAUCAUAAUGGGCUAGGGAUAGCUUUCUUUAGCAUUGAUAUUUUGGAAGAUAUGCCUGCUUCUUAGUAUGCUUGAGUAUUGAUGUCCUCAUGUCAAAUUAUAGACUAUUGCUUUGAAUCAUUCAAGUCCAAAUGUCCAUGCUAUAAAAGAAAAUAGUAUAUGAGGAAUAUGAUAGGUAGCAUUCCACAUCAAAAAUUUCAUUCUCAAUUGCUACUUUAUCAUGAAGAGUUUUAUGAGAAAGAGUAGCAGUUAUGAUGCUAGGAAAAGUGAUUAAAAUUACCAUUGAUCAAAUUAUGCACUAUGCUAGCAUUCACACUUCAUAAAUUAGUUCUUUUAUCAUUUACCUACUCGAGGACGGGUGAUACGUCUCCAACGUAUAUAUAAUUUUUUAUUGUUCCAUGCUAUUAUAUUAUCUGUUUUGGAUGUUUAAUAGGCAUUUAUAUGCUAUUUUAUAUUAUUUUUGGGACUAACCUAUUAACCGAGGGCCUAGUGCUAGUUUUUGUUUUUUUUGCCUAUUUUAGAGUUUUGCAGAAAAGGAAUACCAAACGGAGUCCAAACGGAAUGAAACCUUCGUGAUGAUCUUUCUUGGACCGAAAGCAAACCAGAAGACUUGGAGAUGAAGUCAAAGAGGCAACAAGGUGGCCACGAGGCAGGAGAGCAUGCCCCCCACCCUCGUGGGCCCCUCGUAGCUCCCCUGACCUAGUUCUUUCGCCUAUAUAUACUCUUAUACCCUAAAAACAUCCAGGAGAGCUACAAAACCACUUUUCCACCGCUGCAACCUUAUGUACCCGUGAGAUCCCAUCUUGGGGCCUUUUCCAGCAUCCUGCCAGAGGGGGAUUCGAUCACGGAGGGCUUCUACAUCAACACUAUUACCUCUUCGAUGAAGCGUGAGUAGUUUACCACAGACCUUCGGGUCCAUAGUUAUUAGCUAGAUGGCUUCUUCUCUCUAUUUGAUUCUCAAUACCAUGUUCUCCUCAAUGUUCUUGGAGAUCUAUCUGAUGUAAUACUCUUUUGCGUGUGCUUGCCGAGAUCCGAUGAAUUGUGGAUUUAUGAUCAAGUUUAUCUAUGAAUAUUAUUUGGUUCUUCUCUGAAUUCUUAUAUGCAUGAUUUGAUAUCUUUGCAAGUCUCAUCAAAUUAUCGGUUUAGUUUGACCUACUAGAUUGAUCUUUCUUGCAAUAGAAGUGCUUAGCUUUGGGUUCAAUCUUGUAGUGUCCUUUCCCAGUGACAGUAGGGGCAGCAAGGCACGUAUUGUAUUUUUGCCAUCGAUGAUAAAAAGAUGGGGUUUUCAUCAUAUUGCUUGAGUUAAUUCCUCUACAUCAUGUCAUCUUGCUUAAUGCGUUACUCCAUUCUUUAUGAACUUAAUACUCUAGAUGCAUGCUGGAUAGCGGUCGAUGUGUGGAGUAAUAGUAGUAGAUGCAGGCAGGAGUCGAUCUACUUGACACGGACAUGAUGCCUAUGUUCAUUAUCAUUGCCUUAGAUAUCGUCAUAACUAUGCACUUUUCUAUCAAUUGCUCGGCAGUAAUUUGUUCACCCACCGUAAUAUUUUCUACCUCGAGAGAAGCCACUAGUGAAACCUAUGGCCCCCAGAUCUCUUUUCCAUGUUAUUAAAUCUCAUUUACGUCUUGCUAGUUUCUGAUCUACUAUUUUGCAAUCUUACUUUCCAAUCUAUAAACCAAAAAUACCAAAAAAGUAUUUACUUUACCAUUUAUCUAUCUCUAUCAGAUCUCACUUUUACAAGUGACCGUGAAAGGAUUGACAACCCCUUUAUCACGUUGGGUGCAAGUUGUUGAUUGUUUGUGCAGGUAUUUGGUGACUUGUGCGUUAUCUCCUACUGGAUUGAUACCUUGGUUAUCAAAACUGAGGGAAAUACUUACGCUACUUUGCUGCAUCACCCUUUCCUCUUCAAGGGAAAACCAACGCGAGCUCAAGAGGUAGCAAGAAGGAUUUCUGGCGCCAUUGCGGUGGAGAUCUAUGUCAAGUCAAGCCAUACCAAGUACCCAUCAUAAACUCUUCUCCCUUGCAUUAAGUUAUUCACCAUUCGCCUCCCGUUUUCCUCUCCCCCACUUCUAAAACGAUUUUUGAAAACCUUUGCCUUUUCUUCGCCCCUCUUUCGUUCAUCUCUUUUUGCUUGCUUCUUGUGUGCUCAUGUGUUGGAUUGAUUGUUUUGUCACGGUGGCUCAAGAUAAUACUAAAUUGUGUGACUUUUCCAAUACCAACAACAAUGAUUUGAUUAGCACUCCGAUUGCUCCUACUACUAAUGUUGAAUCUUGUUAUGAAAGAUCAAUUUUUUUCCCUUCCUAGUGUAGAUGUUGCAUCCCAUCUAAACAAUUUCGUUGAUUUGUGCGAUAUGCAAAAGAAGAAAGAUGUGGAUAAUGAUAUUGUUAAAUUGAAGCUAUUUCUGUUUUCGCUUAGAGAUUGUGCUACAACUUGGUUCUCAUCUUUGCCUAAAAAUAGUAUUGAUUCAUGGAAUAAGUGUGAAGAUGCUUUUAUCUCCAAGUAUUUUCCUCCCGCUAAGGUCAUCUCCCUUAGGAACGAUAUUAUGAAUUUUAAGCAACUUGAUCAUGAGCAUGUUGCACAAUCUUGGGAGAGGAUGAAAUUGAUGAUACGUAAUUGCCCCACACAUGGUUUGAAUUUGUGGAUGAUUAUACAAAAAUUUUAUGCCAGAUUGAAUCUUGCUUCUAGAAAUCUCUUAGAUUCGGCCGCGGGAGGCACUUUUAUGGAAAUCACUUUAGGAGAAGCUACUUAGCUCCUAGAUAAUAUUAUGGUUAAUUAUUCUCAAUGGCACACCGAAAGAUCCACUAGUAAAAAAGUUCAUGCGAUUGAAGAGAUUAAUGUUUUGAGUGGAAAGAUGGAUGAACUUAUGAAAAUAUUUGCUAAUAAAAGUGUUUCCUCUGAUCCUAGAUAUGCCUUUGUCCACUUUGAUUGAGAAUAAUAAUGAAUCUAUGGAUGUGAAUUUUGUUGGUAGGAACAAUUUUGGUAACAAGUAUAGAGGCAAUUUUAAUCCUAGGCUGUUUCCUAGUAAUUCCUCUAAUAAUUAUGGUAAUUCACACAACAACUAUUAUGGAAAUUUUAAUUAUAUGUCCUCUGAUUUUGAGAAUAGUGUUAAAGAAUUUAUGAGUUUGCAAAAGAAUUUCAAUGCUUUGAUUAAAGAAAGAUUGCUUAAGAGAUGAGUUGGCUAGGAACGUGGAUAAAAUUUCUCUUGAUAUUGAUUCUUUGAAACUUAGAUCUAUCCCACCUAAGCAUGAUAUCAAUGAGUCUCUCAAGUCCAUGAGAAUUUCCAUUGAUAAGUGCAAAGAAAGAACCACUAAGACGCGUGCUAAAAAAGAUUGGUUUGUAAAAAGCGUGUUCUUCUAGUUUUCAUGAUAAUAAUGAUGAAGAUCUAAAAGUUAUUGAUGUGACUCGUAUUAAAUCUUUGUUUUCCAAUAUGAAUCGUGAUAAGAUGAAUCAACUUUAGUUAAAAGGCGUCCCAAUGAUUCAGAGUUUUUGGAGAUGCAUAAAUUGACAAAAGUGGGAUUGGAGAGGUCAAGACUUUAAGUAGCAAUGAACCCACUCUUUGGAUUUCAAGGAAUUUAAUUAUGAUAAUUGUUAUUUAAUAGAUUGUAUUUCCUUGUUGCAAUCCAUGUUAAAUUCCCCUCAUGCUUAUAAUCAAAACAAAGCUUUUACUAAAUAUAUCGUUGAUGCUAUGAUGCAAUCUUUUGAAGAAAAGCUUGAACUAGAAAUUUCUAUCCCUAAACUUUAUGAUGAGUGGGAACUGACUAUUAAUAUUAAGAUUAAAGAUUAUGAAUGCUAUGCUUUGUGUGAUUUGUGUGCUAGUGUUUCCAUGAUUCCAAAAACUUUGUGUGAUGUGCUAGGUUUCCAUGAAUUUGAUGAUUGUUCUUUAAAUUUGCAUCUUGCGGAUUCCACCAUUAAGAAACCUAAGGAAAGGAUUAAUGAUGUUCUUAUUGUUGCAAAUAGGAAUUAUGUGCCCCGUAGAUUUCAUUGUUCUUGAUAUAGAUUGCAAUCCUACAUGUCCUAUUAUUUUUGGUAGGCCUUUCCUUAGAACGAUUGGUGCAAUUAUUGAUAUGAAAGAAGGAAACCUUAGAUUCCAAUUCCCGUUAAGGAAAGGCAUGGAACAAUUUCCUAGGAAGAAUAUUAAAUUGCCUUGUGAAUUUAUUAUGAGAGCCACUUAUGGAUUGCAUACCAAAGAUGGCAAUACCUAGAUCUAUUCGUGUUUUUAUGCCUAAUUAGGGGUGCUAAACGAUAGAGCUUGUUGGGAGGCAACCUAAUUUUAUUUUUGGUUCUUUACUUUUUGCUCCUGGUUAGUAAUAAAUAAUUCAUAUAGCCUCUGGUUAGAUGUGGUUUUAAGUUUUAAUAAGUAUUUGUGCCAAGUAGAACCUUUGGGAAGACUUGGGUGGAAGUUAAUGUGAUCUUGCUGUAAAAAACAGAAACUUUAUGCUCACAAGAUUAGCUGUAAUUUUUUUAUAGAAGAGUGCUUUUGAGUUGAUUAUUUUUGAAGAAGAUUAAUAGACAAAUUACUCACGUCCAACAAUUUAUUUCAGAUUUUUUGGAGUUACAGAAGUAUUCGAGAGUUACAGAUUACUACAGACUGUUCUGUUUUUGACAGAUUCUGUUUUUCGCAUGUUGUUUGCUUAUUUUGAUGAAUCUAUGAGUAGUAGGGGGGUAUAAAUCAUGGAGAAGUUGGAAUACAUUAGAUAUUAAACCAAUAUAAAUAAAGAAUGAGUUCACAACAAUACCUUAAAGUGGUGAUUUAUUUUCUUAUACUAACGGAGCUCAUGAGAAUUUUUGUUGAAGUUUUGUGUUGUGAAGUUUUCAAGUUUUGGGUAAGGAUUUGAUGGACUAUCGAAUAAGGAGUGGAAAGAGCCUAAGAUUGGGAACGACUAAGGCACCCCAAGGUAAUAUUCAAGGACAACCAAAAGUCUAAGCUUGGGGAUGCCCCGGAAGGCAUCCCCUCUUUCGUCUUCGUCUAUCGGUAACUUUACUUGAGCCUAUAUUUUUAUUCACCACAUGAUAUGUGUUUUGCUUGGAGUGUCUUGUAUGAUUUGAGUUUUUUGCUUUUAAGUUUACCACAAUCAUCCUUGCUGUACACACAUUUUGGGAGAGACACGCAUGAAUCGUGAUUUAUUAGAAUACUCUAUGUGCUUCACUUAUAUCUUUUGAGCUGGACAAUAUUGCUCUAGUGCUUCACUUAUAUCCUUUUAGAGCAUGAUAGUGGCUUUAUUUUAUAGAAAUUUUUGAACUCUCAUGAUUCACUUAUAUUAUUUUGAGAGUCUUUUAGAACAGCAUGGUAAUUUGCUUGGGUUAUAGAACUAGUCUUAAUAUGAUGGGCAUCCAAGAUGGAUAUAAUAAAAAAUUUCAUAAAAAGUGCGUUGAAUACUAUGAGAAGUUUGAUUCUUUGUGAUUGUUUUGAGAUAUGAAGAUGGUGAUAUUAGAGUCAUGCUAGUGGUGCCAUUGUGAAUUUGAGAAAUACUUGUGUUGAGGUUUGUGAGUCCCGUAGCAUGCACGUAUGGUAACCGUUGUGUAACAAAUUUGAAGCAUGAGGUAUCUCUUUGAUUGUCCUCCUUAUGUGUAGAGGUCGGGAUCGCGCGAUGGUUAACUCCUACCAACCCUUCCCCUAGGAGCAUGCACGUAGUGCUUGGUUUUGAUGACUUGUAGAUUUUUGCAAUAAGUAUGUGAGUUCUAUAUGACUAAUGUUGAGUCCAUGGAUUAUACGCACUCUCACCCUUCCACCAUUGCUAGCCUCUCUUGUGCCGCGCAAAUUUCACCGGUACCAUACACCCACCAUUUACCUUCCUCAAAACAGCCACCAUACCUACCUAUUAUGGCAUUUCCAUAGCCAUUCCGAGAUAUAUUGGCAUGCAACUUUCCACCCUUCCGUUUAUUAUGACACGCUCCAUUAUUGUCAUAUUGCUUAGCAUGAUCAUGUAGUUGACAUCGUAUUUGUGGCAAAGCCACCGUUCAUAAUUCUUUCAUACAUGUCACUCUUGAUUCAUUGCACAUCCCGGUACACCGCCAGAGGCAUUCAUAUAGAGUCAUAUUUUGUUCUAAGUAUCGAGUUGUAAUUCUUGAGUUGUAAAUAAAUAGAAGUGUGAUGAUCAUAAUUAUUAGAUCAUUGUCCCAUGUGAGGAAAAAAAGAGGCCAAAGAAGCCAAUAAAAAAAGAGGCCAAAGAAGCCAAUCAAAAAAAGAGAAAAAGAGAGAAGGGACAAUGUUACUAUCUUUUUUCCACACUUGUGCUUCGAAAUAGCACCAUGGUCUUCAUGAUAGAGAGUCUCUUGUUUUGUCACUUUCAUAUACUAGUGGGAAUCCUUCAUUAUAGAACUUGGCUUGUAUAUUCCAACGAUGGGCUUCCUCAAAUGCCCUAGGUAUUCAUGAUCAAGCAAGUUGGAUGCACACCCACUUAGAUUCUUUUUGAGCUUUCAUACAUUUACAGCUCUAGUGCAUCCAUUGCAUGGCAAUCCCUACUCACUAACAUUGAUAUCUAUUGAUGGGCAUCUCCAUAGCCCGUUGAUAUGCCUAGUUGAUGUGAGACUAUCUCCCUCUUUUUGUCUUCUCCACAACCACCACUCUAUUCCACCCAUAGUGCUAUGUCCAUAGCUCACGCUCAUGUAUUGCGUGAAAGUUGAAAAAGUUUGAGAAUACUAAAGUACGAAACAAUUGCUUGGCUGAAACCGGGGUUGUGCAUGAUUUGAAUAUUUUGUGUGAAAAAGAUGGAGCAUAGCCAAACUAUGUGAUUUUGUAGGGAUGAGCUUUCUUUGGCCAUGUUAUUUUGAGAAGACAUAAUUGCUUUGUUAGUAUGCUUGAAGUAUUAUUAUUUUUGUGUCAAUAUUAGAAUUUUGUCUUGAAUCUUUCGGAUCUGAACAUUCAUGCCACAAUAAAGAGAAUUACAUUGAUAAAUAUGUUAGGUAGCAUUCCACAUAAAAAUUCUGUUUUUAUCAUUUACCUACUCGAGGACGAGUAGGAAUUAAGCUUGGGGAUGUUUGAUACGUCUCCAACGUAUCUAUAAUUUUUGAUUGUUCCAUGCUAUUAUAUUAUCUGCUUUGGAUGGUUAAUAGGCAUUUAUAUGCUAUUUUAUAUUAGUGGGACUAACCUAUUAACCGAGGGCCCAGUGCUAGUUUCUGUUUUUUCUCCUAUUUUAGAGUUUUGCAGAAAAGGAAUACCAAACGGAGUCCAAACGGAAUGAAACCUUCAUGAUGAUCUUUCUUGGACCGAAAGCAAACCAAAAGACUUGGAGAUGAAGUCGGAGAGGCAACGAGGUGGCCACGAGGCAGGAGGGCGUGCCCCCACCCUCGUGGGCCCCUCAUAGCUCCCCUGACCUAGUUCCUUCGCCUAUAUAUACUCUUAUACCCUAAAAACAUCCAGGAGAGCCACGAAACCACUUUUCCACCGCCACAACCUUCUGUACCCGUGAGAUCCCAUCUUGGGGCCUUUUCCAGCGUCCUGCCGGAGGGGGAUUCGAUCACGAAGGGCUUCUACAUCAACACCAUUACCUCUCUGAUGAAGCAUGAGUAGUUUACCAUAGACCUUCGGGUCCAUAGUUAUUAGCUAGAUGGCUUCUUCUCUCUCUUUGAUUCUCAAUACCAUGUUCUCCUCGAUGUUCUUGGAGAUCUAUCCGAUGUAAUACUCUUUUGCGGUGUGUUUGUCGAGAUCCGUUGAAUUGUGGAUUUAUGAUCAAGUUUAUCUAUGAAUAUUAUUUGGUUCUUCUCUGUCUUAUAUGCAUGAUUUGAUAUCUUUGCAAGUCUCUUCGAAUUAUCGGUUUAGUUUGGCCUACUAGAUUGAUCUUUCUUGCAAUAGGAGAAGUACUUAGCUUUGAGUUCAAUCUUGCGGUGUCCUUUCCUAGUGACAGUAGGGGCAGCAAGGCACAUAGUAUUGUUUCCAUCGAGGAUAAAAAGAUGGGGUUUUCAUCAUAUUGCUUGAGUUAAUUCCUCUACAUCAUGUCAUCUUGCUCAAUGUGUUACUCCAUUCUUUAUGAACUUAAUACUCUAGAUGCAUGCUGGAUAGCGGUCGAUGUGUGGAGUAAUAGUAGUAGAUGCAGGCAGGAGUCGGUCUACUUGACACGGACGUGUUGCCUAUGUUCAUGAUCAAUGCCUUAUAUAUUGUCAUAACUAUGUGUUUUUCUAUCAAUUUCUCGGCAGUAAUUUGUUCACCCACCGUAAUAUUUUCUAUCUCGAGAGAAGUCACUAGUGAAACCUAUGCCCCCGGGUCUCUUUUCCAUAUUAUUAAAUCUCGUUUACAUCUUGCUAGUUUUUGAUCUACUAUUUUGCAAUCUUUACUUUCCAAUCUAUAAACCAAAAAUACCAAAAAAUUAUUUACUUUACUGUUUAUCUAUCUCUAUCAGAUCUCACUUCUGCAAGUGACCAUGAAGGGAUUGACAAACCCCUUUAUCGCAUUGGGUGCAAGUUGUUGAUUGUUUGUGCAGGUAUUCGGUGACUUGUGCGUUAUCUCCUACUGGAUUGAUACCUUGGUUCUCAAAACUAAGGGAAAUACUUAUGCUACUUUGCUGCAUCACCCUUUCCUCUUCAAGGGAAAACCAAUGCAAGCUCAAGAGGUAGCAACGGGUAGGAAUUAAGCUUGGGGAUGCUGAUACAUCUCCAAUGUAUUUAUAAUUUAUGAAGUAUUCAUGGCAUGUUUACAACAAUUUUAUAUGGUUUUGGUAUGAUUUGCAUGGAACUAACCCGGACUGACGCUGUUUUCAGCAGAACUAUCGUGGUGUUGUUUUCUGUGCAGAAAUGAAAGUUCUCCAAAUGAGCUGAGACUUUUUGAUGUUUUUUUUGAGCAAGAGGCACUAGAAGCUUCAGGGGGGGCGCGGAAGGUGAAGGAGGUGAGCACUACCCACCAUGACGCGCCUGGUGCCUUACACGUGUGGUGGUGUCUUGUGGGGCCCUCGAAGCCCAUCUUCGCGUGAAACCAAUGUCAAAAAAUCCUAUAAAUACAGAAAACCCCACAAAUAACCCUAGAUCGGAAGUUCCGCCGCUGCAAGCCUCUGUAUCCACGAAAAACCAAUCUGGACCCUAGCUCGGCACGCUGCCGGAGGGGGAAAUCAUCAUCGGAGGCCAUCUUCAUCAUCCCGGCGGCCACCAUGAUGAGGAGGGGGUAGUCCACCCUCGGGGCUGAGGGUUUGUACCAGUAGAUAUGUGUUUAAUCUCUCUCUCUCUCUCUCUUUCUCUCUCUCUCUUGUUCUUCAUUUGGCAUGAUCUUGAUCUAUUGCGAGCUUUGUUAAUAUAGUCGAAUCAUAUGGUGUUUUCCCCUCUCUAUCUUGUUGUGAUGAACUGAGUUUUCCCUUUGAUAUUUUGUUCUUAUCGGAUUGAAUACUUUUAUGGAUUUGAGAACACUUGAUGUAUGUCUUGCUAUGAAUACCCGUGCUGACUAUGGGGUAUCAUAUUGAUUCACUUGGUAUGUGUUUUGGCACUCAACUCGCGGAUUCCCGAGGUGACAUUGGGGUAAUCUAUGCAUAGGGGUUGAUGCACAUUCUUGACUUUGUUUCUCCGGUAGAAAUCUUGGGGCACUCUUUGAGGUUCUUUGUGUUGGAUUAAGUAUUAUGAAUCUGAAAUUGUUUGAUGCAUUCCGUAUAAUUAACUCAUGGAUACUUGUGGUAAAAUUGGAGGAUCUAGGUGACAUUAGAGUUGGUUGAUGCGUAUCAUAUGGUGUUAUUUUAGUACAAACUCUUGGAAAGAUUGACCAGAAAGGAUAACUUGGUGUUAUUUUAGUACGAACUCUUGGAAAGAUUGAUCGAAAGAAUAACUUCGAGGUGGUUUCGUACCCUACAAACAAUUUCUUCUUAUGUUUUCCGCUAGAUAGGAACUUUGGAGUGAUUCUUCAUCGCACGUUGAGGGAUUGUUAUGUGAUCCAAUUAUAUUAGCAUUGUUGAGAGAUUGCACUGGUGAAAGUAUGGAUCCUAGGCCUUAUUUUCAAGCAUUGCAAUACCGUUUGUGCUCAUUUUGUUACUUGCUACCUUGCUGUUUUUAUUUAUUCAGAUUAUAAAAAUAUAUUUCUACCAUCCAUAUUACACUUUUAUCACCAUCUCUUGAUUGAACUAGUGCACCUAUAAAAUUUGCCAUUGUAUUGGGUGUGUUGGGGACACAAGAGAUUUCUUGUAUUUAGUUGCAGGGUUGUUUGAGAGAGACCAUCUUCAUCCUACGCCUCCCACGGAUUGAUAAACCUUAGGUCAUCCACUUGAGGGAAAUUUUCUACUGUCCGACAAAACUCUGCGCUUGGAGACCCAACACGAGUCUACAAGAACAAGUUGUGUAGUAGACUUAAGUGGUCAUGAUUGUCUUUGUCGUGUGCUUGGAUCUGGUCAUCUUCCCAGACUCACAAGCACCAUACAGAUGAUCUUUAACGAAUUUGACACCCUCGACGCCGAUGAUAUGCUUCUUCUUGAUGAGAGUGCUCAAAUUCCUCAUGCAAGCAUGUCCAAGUCAUCGAUGCCAAAACCAACAUUCUGAAGCUUUUGCCAAUAGAAUAUUGUAGGCUGAGGACCUAGAGGGAAAUCUAUAAUGUACAAAUCACCUCUCCUAAAGCCUUCGAAGACUUUGGAUUUUUCAGAGUCCAACAACAGAAUGCAUCUAUAUUUUCCAAAGAUGACAAUCAUAUCAAGAUCACAAAGCACUGAGAUAGACAUGAGGUUGUAUCCAAGGGAUUGGACAAAUAUCGAUUUUUCCAUGUGUUGAUCCUUUAAGAUAGCAACCUUGCCUAGACCCAAUACCUUGCUUUUCCCUUUGUCAGCGUAGGUGAUAUGCAUCGGAUGAGAAGGUGUAAGGGGAGCAUCAGUGAGUAGAUUCCUAUCACCAGUCAUGUGAUUCGUGAAACCACUGUCUAGGACCCAUUUAGUGGCUUUGGGUGUGUCAUCCUGUGGAAGCAUUAGUCUGACUUACUAAUUCAUAUACUUUAGAGUGAAGAAUAUGAUCAUCAAUUUCGUUAGUGAUUUUCAUCAAGUGAUAGUGACUAUAGCAGCAUAUGGGAUGUGUGAAAUGAAGAAUUCAUUUCAUCAUGAUUGACUUGCAUCCCAACAAUCACAUGUUAGAUCUUCAACAAAUACGCCAGACAAUUGUUGUUGGCUAAAGACCUGACCCUGCAUAAGAGAUUAGUUCUUAUUCUUAACCACCCACAUCUGAAUGGGUGGCUGAGAAGCAAUGCAUCGACGAGCAUUGAUAGAGAACUGAGCAAUUGAAGAGUAUGCAUUCCUCUUCACAGGGGGUUAGAGUAUUCAAAUGAACAUGCAGAGAAAUUCUUCGAAGACUUGUGAACAUAGUGGUUCGAAGAAUAAUGCACAUAUUCAUCAGACCGAUAUUUGUUUCCCUGCGAAAUAGAGGCACACGACCAUAGUUGGGUCUAUGACCAUUCGAUGACUUUUGUCCAUGUGAAGAAUUGGCCCUAGGAUUUUUCUUCUUCAUCGGUGGUGUCAUGUUUACAUUCACCUGAACAUUUUUGAAAAGGCUUUUGGGAACCCAAAUUUUCUUCACCGGGGAACCAUUCCUGCAGUUAGUAUCAAUGAAUCUGGCAAAUACUUCACCAUUCUGAUUUUUGAACAAUUUCUAGUUAGAGUCAAAUGACUCAUCUAGAUAAUAUGAAGUAUCAUAGUUGUAACCAGAUAAUGUGGAUGGAUCUACUGGAGGUCCUUUUGCAGUAACCCAGAUGGUUUUGGGAUACUGCUCAGGUUUCCAAUACGAUCCAUCAGCAUUGAGCUUUGUCUCAAAAGCAAUGCCCUAUUUCCUAGGGUUCCUGUUCAGAAUGUGUUUCCUGAGCACAUCACAAAGGGUCUGAGGCCCUUUGAGGCUUUUUUACAUGCCAGUGACAUACAAUCCCUUGAGCUCUGCAUUUUCGUCAGUAACACUUGCGGUCUCCUCUGAUGAGGGCAUUGAUACCACAAAUACAAUUGAAGAUAUUGCAGAGACAUGCAUUUGAACAUUUAGCAGAAGAAUUUGCAUUUUUCACGUUCAAGGCAUUUUAAGCAAGGUGCAAUAAAUUCUUCCUGAGCAGUAUUGAUCUCUUGCGCGAGUAAUGAAUCGUUUUCUUUUUGAAGAUCAUCGUGAGACGCUCUCAAUUUCUCAAGAUCUUGAUUCCUUUGAAGAAAUUCAUAGGGCAGGUUCUCAUGUUUGGCUGAGAGGGCCACAUGAUGACUUUCAAGUUAUCAAACUUUAACUGAAGACUUUUGAGGUUGUUAGUCAAAGUUUGAGUAUGUUCCAUUUCAUCAUUCAACAGGUCAUUGCUUUUGAAUAACAUAUUUUGAAUUCUUUCCGUAGCUGUUUGUUGCCUAGUAGCAAUGUUUACAAGUUCGGAAAAACUGGGCAUCAUGUUUUCAUCAGAUUCACCUUCACUAGAGGAAGAUGAGGGUCAUUGGAGUACCUUGGCGCCUUUUUCCAUGAGUAAAGUUGCACAAGAUGUUGAGGCAAGAUCUGGUUCCCGAGACUUGAGGGAUUUCCUAAAUUCCAUGAGCCAGGGAUCUUCAUGUGUGUAGGUGAUACGUCUCCAACGUAUCUAUAAUUUUUUACUGUUCCAUGCUAUUAUAUUACCCGUUUUGGAUAUUUAUGGGCUUUACUCUACACUUUUAUAUCAUUUUUGGGACUAACCUACUAACCGGAGGCCCAGCCUGAAUUGAUGUUUUUUGCCUAUUUCAGUGUUUCGAAGGAAAGGAAUAUCAAAUGGAGUCCAAACGGAAUGAAACCUUCGGGAGCGAUCUUUUUGGAACAAACGCCAUCCAGGAGACUAGGAGUGGACGCCAAGCAACGAACGAGGCGGCCACAAGGGUGCCCGGCGCGCCCUAAGGGGGGGGGGACGCCUCCCACCCUCAUGGGCCCCUCGAGCUUCAACCGACAUACUUCUUCCUCCUAUAUAUAUCCACGUACCCCGAAAACAUCCAGGAGCACCACGAAAAACUAUUUCCACCAUCGCAACCUUCCGUAUCUGCGAGAUCCCAUCUUGGAGCCUUCGCCGACGCUUCGCCGGAGGGGUAAUCAACCACGGAGGGCCUCUACAUCAUCUCCAAGGCCUCUCCGAUGAGUUGUGAGUAGUUUACCACAGACCUUCGGGUCCAUAGUUAUUAGCUAGAUGGCUUCUUCUCUCUCUUUGAAUCUCAAUACAAAGUUCUCCUCGAUCUUCUUGGAGAUCUAUUCGAUGUAACUCUUUUUGCGGUGUGUUUGUCGAGAUCCGAUGAAUUGUGGGUUUAUGAUCAAGUUUAUCUAUGAGAAAUAAUUGAAUCUUCUCUGAAUUCUUUUAUGUGUGAUUGGUUAUCUUUGCAAGUCUCUUCGAAGUAUCAAUUUGGUUUGGCCUACUAGAUUGAUCUUUCUUGCAAUGGGAGAAGUGCUUAGCUUUGGGUUCAAUCCUGCGGUGUCCUUUCCUAGUGAUAGCAGGGGCAGCAAGGCACGUAUUGUAUUGUUGCCAUCGAGGAUAAAAAGAUGGGGUUUAUAUCAUAUUUCAUGAGUUUAUCCCUCUACAUCAUGUCAUCUUUCUUAAUGCGUUACUCUGUUCUUCAUGAACUUAAUACUCUAGAUGCAGGCAUGAGUCGGUCGAUGUGUGGAGUAAUAGUACUAGAUGCAGGCAGGAGUCGGUCUACUUGUCACGGUCGUGAUGCCUAUAUACAUGAUCAUGCCUAGAUAAUCUCAUAACUAUGCACUUUUCUAUCAAUUGCUCAACAGUAAUUUGUUCACCCAUCGUAAUACUUAUGCUAUCUUGAGAGAAGCCACUAGUGAAACCUAUGGCUCCCGGGUCUAUCUUUUAUCAUAUAAGUUUUCAAUCUACUUUUAUUUGCAUCUUUUACUUUCCAAUCUAUAUCAUAAAAAUACCAAAAAUAUUUAUCUUAUCUUAUUAUCUCUAUCAGAUCUCACUUUCGCAAGUUACCGUGAAGGUAUUGACAACCCCUUUAUCGCGUUGGUUGUGAGGUUCUUGUUUGUUUGUGUAGGUAUGAGGGACUUUUGAGGAGCCUCCUACUAGAUUGAUACCUUGGUUCUCACAAACUGAGGGAAAUACUUAUGCUACUUUGCUGCAUCACCCUUUCCUCUUCAAGGGAAAAACCAACGCAUGCUCAAGAGGUAGCAAGAAAGAUUUCUGGCGCCGUUGUCGGGGAGGUGUUUGCUCAAGUAAAGACAUACCAAGUACCCAUCACAAACUCAUCUCCCUCACAUUACAUUAUUUGCCAUUUGCCUCUCGUUUUCCUCUCCCCCACUUCACCCUUGCUGUUUUAUUUGCACUCUCUUUUCCGUUCGUCUCUCUCUUUUUCGCUUGCCUUUUGUGUGCUUGUGUGUUGGAUUGCUUGUCACGAUGGCUCAAGAUAAUACCAAAUUGUGUGACUUUUACAAUACCAAUAAUAAUGAUUUCCUCUGCACUCCGAUUGCUCCUCUUAAUGAUUCUAAAUCUUGUGAAAUCAAUGAUGCUUUGUUGAAUCUUGUUAUGAAAGAUCAAUUUUCCGGCCUUCCUAGUGAAGAUGCCACUACUCAUCUAAAAAAACUUUGUGGAUUUGUUUGAUAUGCAAAAGAAGAAAUAUAUGGAUAAUAAUAUUGUUAAAUUGAAGUUAUUUCCGUUUUCACUUAGAGUUCGUGCUAAAACUUGGUUUUCGUCUUCGCCUAAAAAUAGUAUUGACUCAUGGAAUAAGUGCAAAGAUGCUUUUAUCUCUAAGUAUUUUCCUCCCGCUAAGAUUAUCUCUCUUAGAAACGAUAUUAUGAAUUUUAAACAACUUGAUCAUGAGCAUGUUGCCCAAUCUUGGGAAAGAAUGAAAUUAAUGAUUCACAAUUACCCUACUCAUGGUUUGAAUUUAUGGAUGAUCAUACAAAAAAUUUAUGCCGGAUUGAAUUUUGCUUCUAGAAAUCUUUUAGAUUCGGCCCCGGGAGGCACUUUUAUGGAAAUCACUUUAGGAGAAGCUACAAAACUCCUUGAUAAUAUUAUGGUUAAUUAUUCUCAAUGGCACACUGAAAGAUCUACUAGUAAAAAAGAUCACUUUAGGAGAAGCUACAAAACUCCUUGAUAAUAUUAUGGUUAAUUAUUCUCAAUGGCACACCGAAAGAUCUACUAGUAAAAAAGUUCAUGCUAUAGAAGAAAUUAAUGUUUUGAGUUGAAAGAUGGAUGAACAUAUGAAAUUGUUUGCUACUAAGAGUGCUCCUAUUGAUCCUAAUGAUAUGCCUUUGUCUACUUUGAUUGAGAAUAAUAAUGAAUAUAUGGAUGUGGAUUUUGUUGGUAGGAAUAAUUUUGGUAAUAACGCGUAUAGAGGAAACUUUAAUCCUAGGCCGUUUCCUAGUAAUUCCUCUAAUGAUUAUGGUAAUUCCUACAACAAUUCUUAUGGAAAUUUUAAUAAGAUGCCCUCUGAUUUUGAGAAUAGUGUUAAAGAAUUUAUGAUCUCUAAAAAGAAUUUCAAUGCUUUGCUUGAAGAAAAAUCGCUUAAAGUUGAUGAAUUGGCUAGGAACGUUGAUAGACUUUCUCUUGAGGUUGAUUCUUUGAAACUUAGAUCUAUUCCACCUAAGCAUGAUAUCAAUGAGUCUCUCAAAGCCAUGAGAAUUUCCAUUGAUGAGUGCAAAGAAAGAACCGCUAGGUUGCGUGCUAAGAAAGAUUGCUUUGUAAAAGUGUGUUCUUCUAGUUUCCAUGAAAAUAAUGAUGAAGAUCUAAAAGUUAUUGAUGUGUCUCCUAUUAAAUCUUUGUUUUGCAAUAUGAAUCUUGAUAAUUAUGGGACUGGAGAUGAGUCAACUUUAGUUAAAAGGCGUCCCAAUGAUUCGGAGUUUUUAGAUCUUGAUGCUAAAUUUGGUAAAAGUGGGAUUGGAGAGGUCAAAACUUUAAAUAGCAUUGAACCCACUAUUAUGGAUUUCAAGGAAUUUAAUUAUGAUAAUUGUUCUUUAAUAGAUUGUAUUUCCUUGUUGCAAUCUGUGUUGAAUUCUCCUCAUGCUUAUAGUCAAAAUAAAGCUUUUACCAAACAUAUCGUUGAUGCUUUGAUGCAAUCUUAUGAGGAAAAACUUAAUUUGGAAAUUUCUAUACCUAGAAAACUUUAUGAUGAGUGGGAACCUACUAUAAAAAUUAAAAUUAAAGAUCAUUAAUGCUAUGCUUUAUGUGAUGUGCUAGGUUUCCAUGAAUUUGAUGAUUGCUCUUUAAACUUGCACCUUGCGGAUUCUACCAUUAAGAAACCUAUGGUAAGGAUUAAUGAUGUUCUUAUUAUUGCAAAUAGGAAUUAUGUGCCCGUAGAUUUUAUCGUUCUUGAUAUAGAUUUCAAUCUUUCAUGUGCUAUUAUUCUUGGUAGACCUUUCCUUAGAACGAUUGGUUCAAUUAUUGAUAUGAAGGAAGGGAAUAUUAGAUUCCAAUUUUUAUUAAGGAAAGGCAUGGAACACUUCCCUAGAAAGAAAGUCAAAUUACCUUAUGAAUCUAUUAUGCGAGCCACUUAUGAAUUGAAUGCCAAAGAUGGCAACACGUAGAUCUAUCCUCGCUUUUAUGCCUAGCUAGGAGCGUUAAACGAUAGCGCUUGUUGGGAGGCAACCCAAAUUUAUUUUUGUUUCUUACUUUUUUCUUCUGUUUAGUAAUAAAUAUUUCAUCUAGCUUCUGUUUAGAUGUGUUUUGAUGUUUUAAUUAGUGUUUGUGCCAAGUAGAACCUAUAGGAUAACCAACGGUGAUAGUUAAUUUGAUUCUGCUGAAAAACAGAAACUUUGCGCGCACGAGAAUAAUUUUAGUAAAUCACAGAAACGUGAUUUUGUGUUGAUUCUUUUUUCUGUAGAUCAAUAGAAAAAAUUUCCAGGACUUCCUAUUUUGGUAGGAGUUUUAGAGUUCCAGAAGUAUUUGAAAGUUACAGAUUGCUACAGACUGUUCUGUUUUUGACAGAUUCUGUUUUUUGUGUGUUGUUUGCUUAUUUUGAUGCAUCUAUGGCUAGUAUCGGGGGGUAUGAACCAUAGAGAAGUUGGAAUACAGUAGGUUUAACACCAAUAUAAAUAAAUAAUGAGUUCAUUACAGUAUCUUAUGUGGUGGCUUUUCUUUCUUGCACUAACGGAGCUUAUGAGAUUUCCUGUUGAGUUUUGUGUUGUGAAGUUUUCAAGUUUUGGGUAAGGAUUUGAUGGAUUAUGGAAUAAGGAGUGGCAAGAGCCUAAGCUUGGAGAUGCCCAUGGCACCCCAAUAUAUUCAAGGACAACAAAAUCCUAAGCUUGGGGAUGCCCCGGAAGGCAUCCCUUCUUUCGUCUUCGUCUAUCGGUAACUUUACUUGGAGCUAUAUUUUUAUUCGCCACGUGAUAUGUGUUUUGCUUGGAGCGUCUUGUAUGAUAUGAGUCUUCGCUUUUUAGUUUACCACAAUCAUCCUUGCUGUACACACCUUUUGGGAGAGACCCACAUGAUUUAGAAUUUAUUAGAAUACUCUAUGUGAUUCACUUAUAUCUUUUCAGCUAGAUAGUUUUGCUCUAUGUACUUCACUUAUAUUUUCUAGAGCACGGCGGUGGCUUUAUUUUGAAGAAAUUGUUGAUCUCUCAUGCUUCACUUAUAUUAUUUUGAGAGUCUUUUAGAACAGCAUGGUAUUUGCUAUGGUUAUAAAUUUGGUCCUAGAAUGAUGAGCAUCCAAGUUGGGUAUAAUAAAAGCUAUCAUAGAAAGUGCAUUAAAUACUAUGAUCAAUUUGAUACUUGAUAAUUGUUUUGAGAUAUAAAGGUGGUAAUGUUAGAGUCAUGCUAGUUGGGUAAUUAUGAAAUUGAGAAAUACUUGUGUUGAAGUUGUCAAGUCCCGUAACAUGCACGUAUGGUCAAAGUUGUGUGACAAAUUUGUUGCAUGGGGUGCUCUUUUAAUUGUCUUCCUUAUGAGUGGAGGUCGGGAUCGCGCGAUGGUUAACUCCUACCAACCCUUCCCCUAGGAGCAUGUGUAUUAGUACUUUUAUUCGAGGGCAAGUAGACUUUUGCAAUAAGUAUGUGAGUUCUUUAUGACUAAUGUGAGUCCAUGGAUAUACGCACACCCACCCUUCCACUUUGCUAGCCUUUAUUAUGUCGCGCAAAACAGCCACCAUACCUACCUAUUAUGGCAUUUCCAUAGACAUUCCGAGAUAUAUUGCCAUGCAACUUUCCACCGUUCCGUUUAUUAUGACACACUCCAUCAUUGUCAUAUUGCUCUUUGCAUGAUCAUGUAGUUGACAUCGUAUUUGUGGCAAGGCCACCUUCAUAAUUUUUCAUACAUGUCACUCUUGAUUCAUUGCAUAUCCCGGUACACCGCCGGAGGCAUUCACAUAGAGUCAUAUUUUGUUCUAAGUAUUGAGUUGUAAUUCUUGAGUUGUAAAUCAAUAAAAGUAUGAUGAUCUUCAUUAUUAGAGCAUUGUCCCAAGUGAGGAAAGGAUGAUGAAGACUAUGAUUCCCCCACAAGUCGGGAUGAGACUUCGGACUUUACAAAAAAAAUAAAA